rnacentral:lncRNA from 1 species
UGCACCAGAAAUUAUAUGGAGAAAAGAUAAAAAGGAGAGAACAAUUUUUUCAAACGCAAUUAUAUCGCGUCAAGAGAAGAUUUUUGGCCUUAUAUUUACCUUAGGAAAAGAGAAGUGUCUAAUGGGAAUGAGGUAUGAUAUUUUUGUCAACAAUUAUUUACAUCUUGCUGCAAAAUUAUCUCCUCCUUCUCGACUUGAUAUUGUAACUGGAGCAGCACUACAAAUGCAAAGGGAACUGCAAUGGUUUAAGGUAAUGUAUUUUGCUCAGUAACAUGAGUGUGUGUGUGUGUGCGUGCGUGUGUGAAUGCAUGUGUAUGUAUACCGUUAUGAUUGUUAUUCGAGCCAUUGCAUCUGCAAACUUAAGCUGAUGAAAGAUAUCAUAAAUUUAUUUAUUUGAAUUUUAUAUUAAACGUGUUCCCUCUCUAUAACACUUGCACAGUUCUCAUAAAUUGGUGACAAUUAUCAAAGACAGAAUUCACAUAAAUAAAUUUGUCUUUUUUCUGAACGUUUAAACUUUAGAUGAGAUGAUUCAAUAUGAUAUUAUUCUGAAUAUAAUUAAAGACAUAAUUCAAGUCUUGUCACCAUCUAUUUAUGAAAAAUUGUGCACUUGAUUUCGUCCCUAAAAUUCACAAUAUUUUGUUUACUCUAUUGCUGCACAUUCAUCUAACUUAUCUAAAAUUGAAUCGUCAUUCUAUGUCAUUUCUUCCAAUAUGCAGGAAGUUGGGAGCUUGGUACAACCCAAACUCAAAGAGGAACUAAACAGCCAUUACAAAACACCGAAGAUUUUAUUCACUGAUGAACAUGAGAAGUUAGCCAAAAAAGCAGAGGACUGGAUGAAAAAUACAGCAGGGUCAAGCAUGAUAGUGGCAACUCUAAUUGCUGCUGUAAUGUUCACAACAGCUUUCACAGUACCAGGUGGUAAUAAAAAUGAGACAGGAAUGCCAACAAUGCUGGAAACUCAAAGGAUUCCAUUCUUGAUUUUCAUGAUUUCGAAUGCCCUGUCGAUGUUCAGUUCGAGUACAUCACUGUUGAUUUUCUUGGGAAUUCUUACAGCGCGUUAUACAGAAGAUGAUUUUCUCAAGUCCUUACCGACAAAAUUAAUAUUAGGACUGACGAGUUUGUUCCUUUCGAUUGUUACCAUGAUGGCAUCCUUUGGCUCUGCAUUGUAUUUGAUUCUUCAUGAGAAUUUGUCUUGGGUCACCAUUCCUAUCAUCGUCCUUACAACGAUUCCAAUAGUUCUUUUCUCCAUCUUGCAGUUUCCUCUCUUGAUUGAGAUGACCCAACGCACUUAUGGAGCCGGGAUAUUUGAUGAAUAUAAGAAUAAAUCACGUUUUGCUAAGUUCAGAGCAUAUUUGAUAAGGAGGAAUCCAUUGAGGAAGAAAAGACAUUAAAAAUUUUAUAGGUCUUAUUAUAGAGUACUAUUGAAUAAGGUGUCCCAAAUGUGCUGUUAGCUCAUUUUGGUUUCUGUCAUUUUAAGUAAUGAUGUAUCCAUGUUGUUUUUUCUUAUGAAUAAUUCAUGUAUUGGAUCUAAUUGAGUGUCUCGUAGAAUUCCGUUGUUUGAAGUCAUCUUGAAUUCUUAGUAUGUACAAAUAGAACCACAUGUAGCAAUAUUUUGUAAUGCAAAUACGAAGUGAAUUUCAGAUUAUAUAUCUCCAAUUUAUCUUGCCUUCAAACUGGUAUUAAAGCCUUGAAAAAGAAAAAAAUAAUGUCCAACAUUCUUGUUUCUCUUGUGCCUCAUUUUAAUGGAAAAAAUUUGAUUAAUAUUUCAUUCAUCAACCAUCCAUAAAUUUAUUCAUCCAUAAAUAAAUCCAAUCAUUCAAAUAAACGUAUAAAACAACCCUAGGAAUCUCUCGACUAUAAAAUCAUGCAAUAAAUCAAGAAUUAAAAUUACAACACACGAUUCUAGACGAACCCUCUAAUACCAGUUUUUGGAAACUGGUCCAUUAGGAUUAGGAAAAACAAAAAUCAAAAUAAGUUUAAUGGCCGUGGUCUUUACUAGAUUACUAUGUGUUGCAUUUCUAAUUAAUAGCCACACAAGUGUUUAGAUGUUACACCUAUUCCGAGCAAUUAAUUUCAUUAUCUUCUGUCUCGAGGUUUAUUGAUUUGCAAGCUUUUGAACUAGAUCCCAUCCAAUAAUUACUCCUUCCUUGAUCUAAAAACUUCUAACACUUGGAUCUUAUCUCUGAUCUUCUCCUCAACCUGGUUGCACCUGAUUUAUGGCAGCAAUUAUCGAAAUCCUAAUCCUCAAGAACUCACAAGAAAAUAUUAUGAUAUCAAGAACUCUUUGAAGUAAUGGAAGUUGUAUUGAAUAUGUAUGUUCUUUUACAGUCCAUUAGAUUUAUACAUAUAGAACUAAAUAGCCUUAUUCAUUGUUCCAACACAAUUGGGAUUCAAAUUAUAAAGGAACCAAGUUAUAUACACAAUAAAAUUCCUAAACAAUCCCGAAUUUUAACUCAUCAGGUCGUCUUUGCUUUUGAUCAAUGGCUGACUUUGGUAAAGUUUGACCUAAUCAACUAUGCAACCUGUCAAUUCAAUUAUUACCAUAAUUAAAUCAAAAUUUUUAUUUGAAGCUAUCAAAGGCACCUAAUUGGACCUCUAUAAUUCAAGCUUCAGAUAGUUUGGGCCCAAUAACUUGGGAGAAAGAUCGGAAAAUAGAGAAAAAUUGCGAAAUUCCAAGUUCUUGGAUUACUGUGCCGUAAAUCCUAGUCCCUUUAGUCAAGUUAUAAUUGUAAUACUUUGGUCAACCUUUAUCUGUUGGUCAAAUAUAUCAAGCACCAAAAAUGAAAAAAAAAAUAAAAUAAAUUUAGAUGAAUAAGUUCAGACGGUGGAUGGAUGGUGGGGGACCACCUUUAAGCAUUUGUAUGAAUCCAAAUUUUUGUCAAUACAAAUCCAUUACCUACAAUUUAUAGAGAGAGAAAUCGGAGCUAAGAGUCCGUUUGAUUGCAAAGAUGAAAUUUGGAUGAAAAGAAAAUGAAUUUCAAGAAAUUGAAUUGCCUAGAAAUUAUUUUACUGGGAAUUGUCAAUUAUGGUGUUUGAUUGAUAUAAAUUUCCACUUGAAAAUUGUUAAAAUAAAGGUGUAUUUUGAAGCUCGUUUAGCUUUGUUUUUCAUGGAAAUCAUCAAUUUAAAGAAUAUAAUCUUUUACAAUUGUUCCUAAAAUUUGUUCCCAUUGUCCAAAAAAAAAAAAAAAAUGCAGCCAAGAAAAGAAAUUCCCACCAUUUCAUAAAAAACCAAGAAAAUAGGCGCGUGAAGGGCAAGCCAAGAAAACCAUUUGCUUAGAAAAUUUUGGCUAUCAAACAAACAAAAAGUGGGAAACGGAAUUUGUUUUCCAUUUUCCAUGGAAAAUUUGUGGCUAUCAAACAUAGCCUAAGAGAAAAAAAGAGAAAAAGGAAAAAAAAAAAUCAGAAAAUUGAAAAGAAGAAGAAUUGCUUUAACCAUGGACUCAUUUUAAUCUGGUUCUUGAAGUUGAUUCCUCUUUUGGCUACAAAAAUGAGGUAAGAAAUGAAAUUACAAAUUUCAGGAAUCUACAAUAUUUAUGAGUUUAGAUGUCUUAAGGGGAUGUAUUCAAUUGAAACUUUUAAUAACUUUUUGAAAUUUAAAAAAGUUUAGGGUAUUCAAUUGAGACUUUCUCUAAAAGUCACGAUCUAUUUAAUUGAGACUUUUAUAAACUUUUAAAAAGUCUCCCAAAGUAACGGUGUAUUUAAUUAAAUUUUUUUAGAUAAAUCUUGAGGUAUUCAAAUUUUAAUGACUUCUAGGGUUGUAGAGUACUAAUUUUUAAGCAGAAAGUACUCAUAUAAAAUCUAAAAAAGUCUCUCAUUAAUCGCGAGAUUUUGGGAGACUUUCACAAUUUUUUUCAAUCCUUCUUUCUUUUAACCUUCUAUGGACAUAUAUGAUUAAAAUUUAUUUUUUUCUAUUGAUUAUAUUCCAUUUAUCUUUCUUUCUUUCUCUAAUUUAUUAUUUAUCUAUAUUUUGUAUGAAAAAGUUAAAUUGAAUUCUUGUAAUUUUUUUAAAUUCAUUUUUUGUGAAAAAUAUCUAUUUUUAUUAAAUUAUAAAAUUUUAUAUGAAAAAUUUAUAAUUAAAUCUAAAUAUGAUUUUUAUUUAUUUUUAAAAGUAUACUAUACAAUAAAAAGUAUACUAUACAAUAUAAAUAAAAAUCAUAUUUAGAUUUAAUUAUAAAUUUUUCAUAUAAAAUUUCAUAAUUUAAUAAAAAAUAGAUAUUUUUCACAAAAAAUGAAUUAAAAAAAUUAUAUAUAAUUUUGAUUAUUAUUUAUUUAAGUAAGCUCUUAGAUUUUUUAUGUUUUAUUAUAUGAGAAAAAGAAGGGGAAGGAAAAGGGGAAUUGUGAGAACUAACACCUCGUAUGUGAGAAUUUUUUACACGAAAUCCAUGUAAAUUAUAUUUCAAAUGAAAGUCUUCAAAAGUCUUUUGAAUUCCACAAAAAUCUAUAAAAAAUUUAAAUAAAAAUCCAUAGAAUUCUACGAAAUACUUUCAAUAAUUCCAUAUAAAUCUAUAAAAGAUCCACGAAAUCCACAAAAGUCAUCACUUAAAAAAAAGGUUAUCAAAGUUUUCAAAAGUUCCAAUUGAAUACACCCCCCUUAAUUUCUGUUGAAAAUUUAAAUGGGAGAAAGAGAUUAAGGUAAUGAAGGACUUCAAAUUAAGUGAUGAGAAAUGAGUGAAAAGGCUUUGUGUGUGUGUGUGAGAGAGAGAAUUGCAAAGAUUAAGUUUGAAAUUGGGAAAUUAAGUGCUAACAUAUAAGGGAAGAUGUUUAUGAAUACUUUAAAAAGAAAAAAAUCAUGGUGGGGGAAUAGGUUGUGUAACAGUCAGAAAAUUUAUUUAUCCAUGGUUGAAAAAGGACUUAUUUGGGAUAUACUCGUGUUUCAGGAAAUGACGAGAAGAUCUUGGUAUAGUUUAUCAAUCAAGUUAAUCUACCUUACAUAGUUCUGUGAGUGACAAAAAAUUUUAAUUUUCUAAUAUUAAUAAGGUACUUAUUUUAUUAUAUUAGGUGAGAUUAUGUGAAUUAUUUGUUUGAUUACAUGAUUAAUAUGGAAUGGUUCUUUCACUCUGAUAUAUGUGGAAUUUAAAGUUUUGGAUAUGGAUUCUUUGUGAAUUGGAAUGCGAGACAGAUGUGACAUUGAGAUCGACCGAAAAAGUACCCAUAAUUAUAUAUUUCUUCUAGUUCACUGAGGGGCAUUGGCCGUGUUCUAUACUAUAUUGAGGGGUUUUUGAUCGUGGAUGAAGGGGUUUUGACCGUGUACAUAUAGUUCACUGAGAGGCCUUUGCUGUGUUCUAAAAUUGAUUAUCAGAGGUUUUGAGACCCACUUUCGUUCACGGAGGGGGCCAAAGGCUCAUGGCAAAAGUUCUUAGCCCAAGAGACGGAUUACAGAUUUCAGUCAGAGAGUACAUUUUUUGUGAAUUUUUCAGUACAUUUGAUGUGAUGAGAUUAUAGUAUGAUUACCAACUUGUGUUCAUAUCAUGACUUGAGAUGAUAUUUUACAACGUUAUGUGAAUAUCUCAAUUUUUGGUUGUAAUUAUAUAUUGUUAUCUUGGGGAUUAUUAAAUGAUAUGAACUCAAUUUCGAUACAAUGUAUAAAUGAAAAAGUAUCAUUAUUUUCGAAAUUCUUUACUCACUGAGGUAUGAACUCAUAUAUUUUCUCACGAUUAUUCUAACCAAGUAGCAACUGAGUUUUGCCAGCUUGAAUAGCCUAUUGAUUUUAGAGCCACAACCACAUGACAGUUUAGGUUAUUAUGCCAUUUGAAUUGAGCAUGUAAAUAUCACUUUGGGCUAACAUUAUUUUGACAUAAAAUAGUUUUUUUUUUUCAUUAUUUAUAAUGAUUGGUAAAAGGUCAAAGAUAGCCUCGGUGGUAGGUUUGGCGUCUAGCUGGAAUCAACAAUUAGCGUACAUCAUGUUUCGGAUCCGCUGGAGUGAUUCAGGACGGGUCGUAUCAGUUGGUCUCAGAGCAUGGUUCAAUAAUAUAUAUUUUUUAUUUUUUUAAUAGCUUGAGUAGUUUAUGAAUUUUUUCUUUCACCAUAAUAUUUUCAUUGGGAUUGUUAAUCAUGUGGUGUGGUGGCAAAGUUCACGGGUUCUAAUAUUUUGUUGCAAAAUUCAUAUUGCUAUCGAAAUAUAAAGAAGAAGGCAUGGAAGUUGAGAUUAUGUAAGCAUUUGUAUCAUAGAUUGAGCCAUUGAGGAAUAACCCCGACAUGAAAAUGUUGAGAAGGACCCUACUGUUGAAAGGAUUACUAUUGGAGUUGAUUCUAUAUAUAUGUAACAUAAAAUAGAUGAAAAAUACAUUGUUGAAGAGACAAUAAAUUUGGCUGAAGGAUUUUGAUUAUUUUGGCAUAUUUCCAGUAUACAUUUGAACUAAUGGUGCGAAGCCACCUAAAUAAGUUGUCUAUUGGAUUGCGGAUUCUUUUACGAGUGUGCUGAGGAUUGAAAAAUCUUGUCAUACUUGUGUACUUGGAGAAGAAUCUGUGAUGGAAUUAUGAUUAUCUUGAGGAAUUAAAUAUGGGUUACUAAAAUGAGAAAGAUAAGUAGAGACAAAUGGAGGUUAGAGAAGGAAAAAUUAUUUGGCAGGUUACUUGGAGGUGUAGAAAAUCUGAAGUAAAGAGAUAGAAAAUGAUUAGUUAAAGAGAGGAUGAAAUUGAGGGCAAUGAAAUCAUAAAUGGCAGUAUAGCAACUAAGGGAAUGGUGGGAAAAAGUAGAAGAAUCGGUUAACCUAGGACUGAGGAAAGGGGAAGAGGAGUUUUGAGCUUGGUUCUCUUCCGCUCUUAAAUUCUGGCAUAAGUUAAGGAAAUUUUACGAUUUCAAGAAUCUGUUAAUGUUUUACGUGUACAUAUAUGUGUGAAACCGAAAAAAAAAAUGAUAGGGGGAAGAGACGAUAAAUUGAUAUAAUGGAGAAACAAGGUAGAAUUAUAUUGAGGAAGAAUUUAAUUGUGGUACUAAGUGGGGUUGCUUCAUUUUCAAUGUUAAUCCAAUAUUCAAUUUUUAAAGUAUUAUAUAGGCAGGCUUUUAUGUAUAGUGAAUAGAGAAGGAAAAAAAAAAUGUUGAAUUGGGUUGUGAUUCCACUGAGUAUAAUGAAUUAAGGGAGUUCUGAUUAAUGGAUAUGGACACUUGUAAUUGACGGGUAUGUGCAAUAAUAAUAAUAAUAAUAAUAAUAAUAAUAAUAAUAAUAAUUGGGACUCAUCCUUAAGUUUCUUGUUUCAUCUUCUAAUUACAGUAAUUAUUUUCGAUUAGAAAGUGAUUGCAAUUGAAUAUAAAUUAUCCUUAAUAAAAGAUAACGUGAAAGGAGAAAUGGGAUGGAAAAUGGAAACACAUACGGGUUCUCUGCAUCAGUGGACUGGAAUGGGAAAUUGAUAAGAAUGAGCAAUAGAUGAAGUUAUUGUUAGAAUAUAGUGGUGUUAAUGAAACUGGAUUAUCACAUACCGUAUAUGUAGUUUAGAUACCGAUUUUGAGCAUACCGUAUAUGCAAUAUACUGUAUAUGCAGCUUAUCAUAUUUGCAGACACCUUACUGUAUUUGCAGCUUACCGUAUAUGUAGCCUCCUAUAUUUACAACUUACCGUAUAUGCUUUUAUCCGUAUUUGCACAUAUUUUCUUUACACUUUUCAUAUAUAUCGUAAUUUCACUUACACAUAGAAAUACAAUAUGUGUAAUAUACAUAUACCGAAUUGCAUAUACCAACUGUUAGGAAGAAAAUUCAAAUAUAUAUUUUUUUUCUUUUACAAUUUUUAUUUCUAACAUAAAUAUAACAAACAAGUAAAUUGCAAAAUAUAUGAAUCAAGUAAAUUACAAACGUGUAAAUCACUUAAAUAAAUAAAUAACAUGUAAGAAUAAAUUGCAAAUAUGUAAAUUGCAGAAAAUAAAUAAAUUUUCAACCGGAGGCCAGUGUGAGCAUAGUUUUCUUAAAACAAAUUCGUUCCCUCACAGUAAAUGCUUGAGAUUUAAUCCGAGCGUCUAUUUCCCAGGAUACAAUGGUGACAGUAGAAUCUAAACACUGCAGAAACUACUGCUGCAAACUAAGUUUGUAUUGAACAAUAUCACCACCAAGACGAUGUUAAAAAAAUGCAAUAGAUUAUGUAUGCAAACAACACUAAUUUGACAUAAUAUUUUCAUGUGAAUACAGUAUUCUCGUGGUUAGAAUUGCUGGAAAAUUGAGACUUAAUAUAAGAUUAAAUUUGCCUAUUAACUCCAUAGCAAUAAACACUAGAGUUGCUUUAAUUUCUGGGAGUUUUGGUAGUUUUCGAAAACUCAAAGGUCAGUUGAAGAAAGCAAAAACUUGCAAAACAUGGACAUUCCAAACGGGGCAAUUUUUGUUCCGUUCGGUCCGACAUUGUUGAGAGUUAGCUCUUUUCCCAAGGUUAUCUUUAGAACCACCUUUCCUUGUCCCUUGACUUCAGAAGUUGCUGAAUUUCUCAUGAACAACUUCUCCCCAUUCUCAAUUGCUUCAAACGCAGCAAAUAGCUCCUUAUCAGAGCACACAUGUCUCGUAGCACCAGUGUCAAUCCACCACUCCUUAGGGUUUGAACCCACCAUGUUCACUUAAAAAAUGACAGCUAAGAGAUUCAGCUCCGACACAUCUUGUGCCAUGUAGUCAACCACAUUUGCUUCUUUCUUCUUCUUUAGCAAUUUGCACUCCGAAGACUUGUGGCCCACUUUAUCACAAUUGAAGCAUUUUCCUUAAAAUUUCUUCUUAAAAAUUCCACCUUUCGAUCCUUACUUGGUGCUUUUGCAACCGGAUGGCCCAGACUUAUUUUUUGUAAUUCUUUCUCUUUGACCAUACCCCCACAACAUUAACUUUAGCAGUACCAGGAUCGAACCACUUCUUUUAGAACUCUUGUUGUCUUCUUCAAUUAGAAGUCUAACUAUUAGUUCUUCGACGUUCAAUUUCUUUCGUUUGUACUUCAAAUAAUUCUUGAAAUCUUUUUAUGCGGGAGACAAUUUUUCAAUAAUUGCAGCCACUUGAAAAGUUUCACUCAAAAUCAUCCAUUCGGCAUGAAUUUCGUGAAAAAUCACUUGGAGUUCUUGCACUUGACUGAUAACUAUUUUGGAGUCUACCAUUUUAUAAUCUAGGAAUCUGUCGAUAAUGAACUUUUUAGCCCCUGCAUCCUUAGUUUUAUAUCUUCGGUACAAAGACUCCCAUAGUUCUUUAGCAGUUUUCAUUGUACUAUACACAUUAUAUAACGUGUCUGCUAAGCUGUUCAUAAUAUAGUUUCGGUACGAAAAAUCCGAGUGGUUCCAAGCAUCAAGUGCACUGAUUGCUUGAACAUCUCCCUCACUCUCAUUGAGUUUUGGAGCAGUCUCAAUCAAAAAUCUUGCAAGAUUCAACGUGGCCAGAUAAAAUAACAUUUUCUGUUGCCAUCUUUUAAAAUCCGAGCAUUGAAUUUCUUCAAUUUUUCUCCAUGAUUAACUGGAAUACUAACAGUGUGGCCAAUUGUUGGAACCAUAGCUUGACUCACAACAUGACUUGGCAAUCUAGCCACAGUCGAGCCACAACAGAACUUGGCCCUUGAGCCACAGCUGAGCCCAUAGCUUGAUUUCCAGUAUGCACAAUAUGGGUCACAUCCAUGUUGGUUGAUUCAGUUGUCAUUUUUAAAAUCAAACCAAAAAAAUUAGUUUCUAAAAAUUAACAGUAUAAGAAAUCAAUUUUUUCUUUUAGGAAUCUGUUUUAAAUUUGUUAUAAUAUAGUGGUGUUAAUGAAACUGGAUUAUCACAUAUCGUAUAUGUAGUUUAGAUACCGAUUUUGAGCAUAUCGUAUAUGUAAUAUAUCAUAUAUGCAGCUUAUCGUAUUUGCAGGUAGUUUACCGUAUAUGUAGCUUACUGUAUUUACCACUUACCGUAUUUGCAGACAGCUUACCAUACUUGCAGCCUACUGUAUAUGCAGCCUACCGUAUUUGUAGCUUACCGUAUAUGCUGCCUACAGUCCUACCAUAUAUGCUUUAAACUGUAUUUGCACAUAUUUUCUUUACCCUUUUCAUAUAUACCGUAUUUCCAGUAACACAUAGAAAUACCGUAUAUGUAAUAUACAUAUACCGAAUAGCAUUUACCAACGUUAGCAAGAAAAUUCAGAUAUUAUUUUUUUACGACUUUUAUUUCUAACACAAGUAUAACAAACAAGUAAAUUGCGAAAUAUAUGAAUCAAGUAAAUUGCAAACGUGUAAAUCGCUUAAAUAAAUAAAUAACCUGUAAGAAUAAAUUGCAAAUAUAUAAAUUGUAGAAGAUAAAUAAAUUUUCAACUCGAGGCCCCUGUGAGCUCAGUUUCCUUAAAACAGGUUCGCUCCCUCACCGUAAGUGCUUGAGAUUUAAUUCGAGCGUCUGUUUUUCCCAGGAUACAAGGUGAUAGUAGAAUCUGAGCACUGCAAAAGCUACUUUGACAAACUGAGUUUGUAUUGAACAAUAUCACCACCAAGACGGUGUUGAAAAAAUGCAAUAGAUUAUGUACGCAGACAACACUAAUUUGACAUAAUAUUUUCGUGUGAAUCUAGUAUUCUCGUGGUUAGAAUUGCUAGAAAAUUGAGACUUAAUAUAAGAUUAAAUCUACCAAUUAACUCUAUAGCAACAAACACUAGAGUUGCUUCAAUUUUUGGGAAUUUUGGUAGUUUUCGAAAACUCGAAGGUCAGUUGAAGAAAGCAAAAAAUUGCAAAAUGUAUACACUUCAAACAGGCCAAUUUUUGCUCCGUUCAAUCCGACAUUCAUGUACGCAGUUGUGCCUGCACACAAGUUCAAGGUCUAAAGGCAAUUUCGGUCCGUGAUUUGCACCCCUUGCGCGCAUACAUGGAGAGAGCCUCUAUGCUACACAUGAUUACCCCAUUCCAAAGUGUUAUCCUAUAUAAAGUGGUUCAUACUUUCUUCAUUUUCCUAUGUGGGACUAGUUUUAUUUUCCACAUAAACCAUCUUCCAAUGGUCAUCUUUGAUCUCCAAUUUCUCAUUCAUCCAUUCAUCAGUUUUGGCAAAUGAAUAUAUAGUUUCGAUGCUCUCAUGGAUGAGAACAAGGAUCAACUUUGUUCUUCCAAAUUUGACCAAUGGAUCCCACACAAAUUUUAUGCCAAAAUCAUCCAUUAGCCCAUUUUUUCCAAAAGUUAUGAAAUCUGCUAUUCAUUUAUUAGUUAGUGUAUACUAAAAGCCAGGAUAAUCAAUAACUGUGGACCUUGAUUAGACGUGAUGGUAUUUUUAGUUUUUGUUGUUGCAGAACAGAUUGUAGAAACUUAUAAGUAGGAUAUAGAAUCAUCUUAUGAUAACAGGGAAUGAAGUCUAGUGGCGAGAAACAAAACAAGAUUAAAAUAUUGACAAGGAAGCAAAGAUAGUUUCUUGAUGUUGGUUGUUGUUUUGUUUUGUUUGAGCAAAGCCAAAUAAACUGAAACAAAGAAGUUGUUGUGCUCAAGCUUCGUAUUUCGUUUUCUGUUAUAGUAAGGUAAAAAAUUUAGGAUUUAAGCAAGACAUAUAUAUUUUCUACUUAUAUGAAGCUGUAGUGCUUGCAAGUAUUAAAUAUACAAGGAAAAAUGAUGUGAAAGAAAAAAAAUAAGGAAGUGAAGACGGUAGUGGUAAGUUGUAUGGUGCUGAGAAAUUAGAUUAGUAUAUGCAUAUGUAUAUGUGAGAUAGUGAAAGUAAUGGAAUAGAAGAAAGAGGAGCAGGACCAUAUGCCUUGGCUAUGUUCCUUUGUUUAUCUGAGGCUACUAAGGGAUUUCGAUUAUUAAUAGUUGGAUGGAAAUAAUCUAAAGGGCACUGACAAAGGAUAUGUGAAGAAGAGAAGGGAAAUUACAAGUUCAAGAGUUUGGUUGUUUACAUGUAUAUAUAUUUAUAAAACAAAAAAAAAAAGAGAGAGAGAGAGAUGUUAAAUAGAUGAAAUGGAGAAAAAGCCCUUAAAUUAAUUAAAGAAAAGAGGGAGAAGGGAUAGGAAAUGGGUUCAUGUGAUAGCUGUGACUAUUUUUAUGCUUUUGGUUAUGGAAAUUGGGCCACUAAUAUCGGUAUAUAUAUGGGCAGACAUAUGGUAAAUUCAAUUUCUGGAGAAAGCAUUAACACUUCAAGCUAAAAUUGAAAUUAUUUCGAUAUAGCAUAAGAUGAGAAGACAAGGUUCAAUAUUGGGGUGUAGUGAGCGAACUAAUCAAGGAAAGGAAGAUAAUUAGAAAUAAGACUAGCAUGGUAGUUACAGAGUGCAUUAGUAUGUAAAUUUAGUAAGUAGAUUAGCCUUAAUGAAAUCAUGGAAUGGAUUAGUUUAGUUACUCCUAGUUAGCCUUGCUAGCUUGCUUGUUUAGCAUUCCUGAUGAACCUUGGCCAAUUGAAUUUGGAGGACGAAAUUCUUUGAAGGGCGUGAAUUUGUAAUAUCCUAGUCCCUUUAGUUAAGUCAAAAAUCUAGUUGUAAUUGUAAUACUUUGGUCAACCUUUAUUUGUUGGUCAAAUAUGUGAAGCACCAAAAAUGAAAAAAAAUAAUAAUAAAUAAAUUUGGAUUAUUAAGUUCAGCCGGUAGAUGGGUGGUGGGGACCUCCUUUAAACAUUUGUAUGAAUCCAAAUUUUUUUCAAUACAAAUCCAUUACCUACAAUUUAUAGAGAGAGAAAAGGGAACUAAUGGCUUGUUUGAUAACCUUUUAAUUCCAUGGAAUUGGAAUUCCACCAAUUGUCGCCACAUCAACAUUUUCCUUCUAAUGAUGGAAUUUCAGUUCUCACCAACAUAGUGAGAAUUUGAAUUCCAGCUUUUUUUUUUUUUCCUUUUUGUGUUUUUGGCAAUGGAAACAAAUUUUAAGAAUUAUUGUAAAAAAAAAAAAAAUUCCCUUUAAUUGACAAUUUUCAUCUAAAACAAAGCCAAAUAAAAACCAAAAGAUAGAUGAUUUUCUUGAUUUUUUUUUUUUGGAUUUUGGCAAUGGAAACAAAUUUCAUUCCCAAUACCAGUAAAUUCUAUCCCUUUAAUUAAUAACUUUCAUGUAAAAUAAAGCCAAACGAAUACCAAAAAACACAUUUAUUUCAACAUUUUUCACGUAAAAAAAUUAUACCAAUCAAACACAAUAAUUUACAAUUCUCAGGAAAACGAUUUCUAGGCAAUUUAAUUCCAUUUUUGCAAUCAAACGGACCCUAAGAGAAAAGAAGAGGAAAGAAAAAAAAAUCAGAAAAUUGAAAAUGGACUCAUUUUAUUCUUGUGCUUGAAGUUGAUUCAUGUUUUGGCUACAAUAAGAAAUGAAAUUGCAAAAUUUUGCUCCGUUCGGUCCGACAUUCGUGUGCAUAGGUCGUAUCCGCACACAAGUUCAAGGUCCGAAGGCAAUUUCGGUCCGUGAUUUGCACCGUCCUGCGCACGCACGUGGAGAGAGCCUCUAUACUACACAUAAUUACACCAUUCCAAAGUAUAAUCCUAUAUAAAGUGGUUCAUACUUUCUUCAUUUUCUAUAUGGGACUAGUUCUAUUUCUCACAUAAACCAUCUUCCAAUGGUCAUCUUUGAGCUCCAAUUUCUCAUUCAUCCAUUCAUCAAUUUUGGCAAAUGAAUAUAUGGUUUCGAUGUUCCCAUGGAGUAGAACAAGGAUCAACUUCGAUCCUCCAAAUUUGACCAACGAGUCCCACACAAAUUUUAUGCUAAAAUCAUCCACUAGCCAAUUUUUUCCAACAAUCCUCCACAUGAAUAAAAAUUGGGAGAGAUAUGAAACCAUGAGACACGAGACUAGGUGAUAAAGUUCAACGGUUGAAGCCUGCAUAGGAUAGGUAGGUAUUACUCUUUGAACCUUCUCCUGUGAAAGCAUAUUUAUUUUACGAGCUGGCCAGUAGACGUGUUGUCAUUGAACUGUUCUGCCAUUUAUGUAUACGAUGAUAUACUCCACACAGGAUUCUUCCUGACACAAUUCAGUUCUCAUUAUUAUGUUUGUUUUGACCAUGAACAUAUGCCUAGUUCUAUGAGAGUUCUUAAGAAUUGAGCCCCACCUAAUUCUCUUAGAAGCUGCUCCACUUCUUUAUCACAUAGGUGAUUUCUUAUUACAAAUAACCAGCAUUUCUUGGCUCGAAUAUUGACCCUUAAGAAUUAAAAGUCUAUUGCUUAUCCUUCAUCUUUACGGGCAUCAAUGUUACAUCAUAGGAAUGGACAGGAGGAAACACCCCCCACUGUGAUUUUAUUAAGCUUUUACAAUUAGGUUGUCCCUUUGAACCUAGAUCUUGGGAUCUCCAGUCAACUAGGUUGGGUUUUCUAUGUAAUGUCUUAUUCAUUUAAGGGCUUAAGUCACAUCCAUUUUAAUGAUUUCCCAACUAACUCUCUAUUUAACCCUUAGGUUAGCGGAUCCGCAAUGUUAUCUUUUGACCUUAUAUAGUCAAUAGUGAUCACUCCAGUUGAGAGUAGUUGUCUUAUGGUAUUGUGUCUACGACGUAUAUGUUUAGACUUACCAUUGUACAUGUUACUCUGUGUCCUUCCUAUUGCUCAUUAACUGUCACAAUAUAUGCAAAUCCCUGGCACAGGUUUUGACCAUCUUGGAAUAUCAUCUAAGAAGUUGCACAACCAUUCGGCCUCUUCACCACAUUUAUAUAGAGCUAUAAACUCAAAUUCUAUCGUAGAUCUGGCUAUAACUGUUUGCUUAGAGGAUUUCCACGAUAUGGCAGCACCUCUCAAUGUGAACACAAAUCCACUAGUGGACUUUGAGUCUUUUAUAUCAGAUAUCCAAUUAGCAUCAUUGUAUCCUUCAAUAAUUGCCGGAUCUCUGGUAUAAUGUAGUCCAUAGUCACGAGUAUAUCUUAAGUACCUUAGUGCUCUUACUAUUCCUUUUCAGUGAUCAGCUCCUGGAUUACUCGUGUAUCUACUCAGUUUACUGAAUGUGUAGGCUAUGUCUGGUCUUGUACAACUCAUCAAGUACAUUAGACUUUCAAUAACUCUCAAGUAUUCUACCUGAGAGACACAUUCACCUUUGUUUUUAGAUAGAUGUUGACUUGUAUCUAUCUGUAUUCUAACCAAGCUAAUAUCAUCCUUCUUGAACUUUUUCAAAAUUUUGUCCAUAUAAUGUGACUGACUUAGAACAAGCCCAUUUGAUGUUCUUAAGAUUUUUACUUCAAGUAUAACAUCAGCUGAACCCAUUCUUUCAUAUCAAAUCUUGAAUUUAACGUAUUUUUAGUAGAUUCAAUCAUCUUAUUAUCACUACCAACAAUAAGCAUGUCAUCAAUGUAAAGACAUAAAAUGACAUAACCAUCUUUAGUGUCUUUGACGUAAACACAUUUAUCACACUCAUUGAUUUUAAAUCUACUCUCUAUCAUGACAUCAUCAAAUUUUUCAUGCCAUUGUUUGGGUGCUUAUUUCAAGCCAUAUAGUGAUUUCACCAAUUUAUGAACUUUCUUUUCCUGCCUUGUGAUGAAAACCCCUUGGGUUAUUCCAUAUAGAUUUCUUCUUCUAAAUCUCCAUUUAAAAAGGCAGUUUUAACAUCUAUUUGAUGUAUUUCAAGAUUUCGCAAAGCUACAAUCGCAAGUAUCAACCUAAUAGAUGUUAUUCUCGUCAUUGGAGAACACGUAUCGAAGUAAUCAGGGUCUUUAUUUUGUUUGUAACCUUUUAUUACUAAUCUGGCCUUGACUUUUCGAUAGUUCCAUCUGCUCUCGUUUUCUUUUUGAAAAUCCAUUUAUAAACUAGUGGUUUGCUUCCUGGAGGAAGAUUCGUUAGCUCUCAAGUAUGAUUUUGCAGUAUGGAAUCUAUUUUACUUUUAAUGGCAUCCUUCUAUUGAGGUCCUUCCGAGGAAUUCAUAGCCUCUUGAUAACUUUGAGGUUUACUUUCUAGCAUAUAGCUUAGAAAAUCAGGACCAUACGAUUUUUCUGUCAUUUCCCGUUUGCUACAUCUAACCUUAGUCUCCUCUUCUAGUUCUUCGUCAUGACUCUGUUCAGUCAUACUCUCAUAUGUUCGUUUGAAGGAGCUUGCUUCCUCUUUGGACUUGUACGGAAAUAUAUGUUCAAAGAAUGAAGCAUUUCUUGAUUCCAAUAUCGUGUUUUUUUGUAUGUCUGGGAUUUUAGAAUCAUACACAAGAAACCGACAAGCACUACUAUUGUGUGCAUAGUCAAUGAAAAUGCAAUCUACUAUUUUGGCCCGAUCCUUACCUUCUUUGGUGUUAGAAUGACCACUUUAGCAAAACACCCUCACACUCGUAAGUAUUUAUAGGAAGACUUUCUUCCUUUCCAUAACUCAUAAGGGGUCUUUUCCAUUUCUUUCGAGGAACCUUAUUUAAAAGAUAAUUUGCUGAUAACACAGCUUCUCCCCACAUGUUCUGAGGUAACCCAAAACUUACUAGCAUUGCAUUCAUCAUUUCCUUUAAAGUACGAUUUUUUUGUUCAGCAACACCGUUUUGCGGUGAAUAAGGUGCAAUGAUUUCAUGUAUGAUUCUGUGUUGUGCACAUAAUUUCGCAAAUAGUGCUUUAUACUCACCACCUCGAUCGCUUCUUAACACCUUAAUUUUCUUAUUAAGUUGAGUUUCAACUUCAUUCUUAUAGAGAAAUUUUUUUUCUAUAGCUUCAUGUUUAUUUUUAGCAAAUACACAUAAUAGUAUUUGGUGCUAUCAUCGACAAAAGUAAUGAAAUACUUGUUGUCACCUCUUCUUUGUACGAGUUUUAAAUUACAUACGUCACUGUGAAUUAAAUCAAGUGGUUCUGUGCUCUGUUCAAUUGAUUUAAACGAUGACAUUGUCAGUUUUGUCUUAACAUAGGUUUCACACUUAUGUUUUGAAUCAAUGUGGAACUCAGGUAUGUAAUUCAAGUUAACUAGUCUUCAUAAAGUAUCAUAGUUAACAUGUCCUAGUCUACCAUGUUACAAAUUGGAAGACUUAAGCAAAUAAGUAGAAGAGUUUGCUUUAUUCAUUUUUAGUUUAACAAUCAUUACAUCGAGUUUAAACAUACUAUCGGAAACAUAUCCUUUUAUGACAAACAUUCCAUUUUUUGACAAAAUAACUUUGUCUGACUCAAAUACAAUGCAAAAGCCAUGUUUAUUCAAAAGCGACCCGGACACUAGAUUCUUGCAAAUUUUCGGCACAUAUAGCACAUUGUUGAGAGUCAGCACUUUUCCCGAGGUCAUCUUCAGAACCACCUUUCCUUGUCCCUUAAUUUCAGAAAUUGCUGAAGUUCCCGUGAACAACUUCUCUCGAUUCUCAAUUGCCUCAAAUGCAACAACCAGCUCCUUAUCAGAGCACACAUGUCUCGUGGCACCGGUGUCAAUCCACCACUCCUUAGGGGUUGAACCCACCAUGCUCACUUCAAACAUGAAGGCUAAGAGAUUCAGCUCUGACACAUCUUGUGCCAUGUAGUCAACCACAUUUGCUUCUUUCUUCUUCUUUGGCAAUUUGCACUCUGAAGACUUGUGGCCCACUUUAUCACAAUUGAAGCAUUUUCCUUGAAAUUUCUUCUUAGAAAUUCCACCUUUCGGUCCUUGCUUGGUCCUUGUGCCACCGGAUGGCCCAGACUUAUUUUUUGUAGUUCUUACUACUUUGACCAUACCCCACUACAUUAGCUUUAGCAACACCAGGAUUGAACCACUUCUUUUUAGAAUUCUUGUUGUCUUCUUCAAUUAGAAGUCUAACUAUUAGUUCUUCGACGUUCAUUUCCUUUUGCGGGGGGCAAUUUUUCAAUAAUUGUAGCUACUUGAAAAGUUUCAAUCAAAAUCAUCUCUUUAGCAUGAAUUUCGUGAAAAAUCACUUGGAGUUCUUGCACUUGACUGAUAACUAUUUUGGAGUCCACCAUUUUAUAGUCUAGGAGUCUGUCGACAAUGAUCUUUUUAGCCCCUGCAUCCUCAGUUUUAUAUCUUUGGUCCAAAGACUCCCAUAGUUCCUUAGCAGUUUUCAUUGUACUAUACACAUUGUAUAGCGUGUCUGCUAAGCUGUUCAUAAUUUAGUUUUAGUACAGAAAAUCUGAGUAGUUCCAAGCAUCAAGUGCACUCAUUGCUUGAACAUUCCCUCACUCUUAUUGAGUUUUGGAGCAGUCUCAAUCUAGAAUCUCGCAAGAUUCAAAGUGGUUAGAUAAAAUAACAUUUUCUGUUGCCAUCUUUUAAAAUUGAAGCAUUGAAUUUCUUCGAUUUCUCUCCAUGAUUAACCGGAAUACUAACGGUGUGGCCAGUUGCUGGAGCCACUGUUUGACUCACAACAUGACUUGGCAAUCUAGCCACAGUCUGAGUCACAACAGAACUUGGCCCUUAAGCCACACCUGAUCCCAUAGCCUGAUUUUCAGUAGGCACAAUAUGGGUCACAUCCAUGUUGGUUGAUUCAGUUGCCAUUUUUGAAAAUCAAACCAAAAAAAUUAGUUUCCAAAAAUUAACAGUAUAAAAAACUAAUUUUUUCUUUUAGGAAUUUGUUUUAAAUUUGUUAGAAUAUAGUGGUAUUAAUGAAACUGGAUUAUCACAUACCGUAUAUAUAGUUUAAAUACCGAUUUUGAGCAUAACGUAUAUGCAAUAUAUUGUAUAUGCAGUUUACCGUAUUUGCAGGUAGCUUACCGUAUAUGCAGCUUACCGCAUUUUCAGACAGCUUACCGUAAAUGCAGCCUACUGUAUUUGUAGCUUACCGUAUAUGUUGCCUAUCGUAUAUGCUUCCUACCAUAUUUCCACUUACAUAUAGAAAUACCGUAUAUCUAAUAUACAUAUACCGAAUUACAUUUACCAACGUUAGCAAGAAAAUUCAGAUAUAUAUUUUUUUCUUUUACUAUUUUUAUUUCUAACAUAAGUAUAACAACGAAGUAAAUUGCAAAAUAUAUGAAUCAAGUAAAUUGAAAACGUGUAAAUCGCUUAAAUAAAUAAAUAACCUGUAAGAAUAAACUGCAAAGAUGCAAAUUGUAGAAGAUAAAUAAAUUUUCAACUCGAGGCUCGUGCGAGCAUCGUUUCCUUAAAACAGAUUCACUCCCUCAUCGUAAGUGUUUGAGAUUUAAUCCGAGUGUCCAUUUUUCAGGAUACGAAGUUAUAGAAGAAUCUGAGCACUGCAGAAACUAUUUUGACAAACUGAGUUUGUAUUGAACAUUAUCACCACCAAGACGACACUGAAAAAAAUGCAAUAGAUUAUGUAUGCAAACAAAACUAAUUUGACAGAAUAUUUUCGUGUGAAUGCAGUAUUCUUGUGGUUAGAAUUGCUUGAAAAUUGAGACUUAAUAUAAGAUUAAAUUUGCCUAUUAACUCUAUAGAAAUAAACACUAGAGUUACUUCAAUUUUUGGGAGUUUUGGUAGUUUUUGGAAACUCGAAGGUCAGUUGAAGAAAGCAAAAAAUUGCUAAAUGUAGAUACUCCAAACGGGCCAAUUUUUGCUCCGUUCAGUUCGACAUUUGUGUACGCAGGUUGCACCUGCACACAAGUUCAAGGUCUAAAGGCAAUUUCGGUCUGUGAUUUGCACCACCUGCGCGCAUACGUGGAGAGAGCCUCUAUGCUAUACAUGAUUACACAAUUCCAAAGUGUAAUCCUUUAUAAAGUGGUUCAUACUUUCUUCAUUUUUCUAUGUGUGACUGGUUUUAUUUUCCACGUAAAUCAUCUUCCAAUGUUCAUCUUUGAGCUCCAAUUUCUCAUUCAUCCAUUCAUUAGUUUUGAGAAAUGAAUAUAUGGUUUCGAUGCUCUCACAAAGGAGAACAAGGAUCAACUUUGAUCUUCCAAAUUUGACCAAUGGGUCCCACACAAAUUUUAUGCCAAAAUCAUCCACUAGCCCAUUUUUUCCAAAAGUUAUGAAAUCUGCUACUCAUUUAUCAGUUAGUGUAUACUAAAAGCUAGGAUAAUCACUAAAUGUGGACCUUGAUUAGAUGUGAUGGUAUUUUUAGUUUUUGUUGUUGCAUAACAGAUUGUAGAAACUUAUACGUAGGAUAUAGAAUCAUCUUAUGCUAACAGGGAAUGAAGUCUAGUUGCGAGAAACAAGUUAAUCAAGAUUAUAAAUAUUGAUAAGGAAGCAAAGAUAGUUUCUUGAUGUUGGUUGUUGUUUUGUUUUGUUUGAGCAAAGCCAAAGAAAUUGAAACAGAGAAGUUGUUGUGCUCAAGCUUCUUAUUUCGUUUUCUGUUACAGUAAGGUAAGAAAUUUAGGAUUUAAGCAAGACAUAUUUAUUUUCUACUUAUAUAAAGUGCAGUGCUUGCAAGUAUUAAAUAUACAAGGAAAAAAUGAUGACAAAGAAAAAUAGUUAGGAGUUGAAGACGGCAGUGGUAAGUUGUAUGUUGCUGAGAAGUUAGAUUAGUAUAUGCAUAUGUAAAUGUGAGAUAGUGAAAGUAACGGAAUAGAAGAAAGAGGAGCAGGACCAUUUGCCUUGGCUAUGUUCCAUUAUUUAUCGGAGGCUACUAAGGGAUUUCGAUUAUUAAUAGGUGAAUGGAAAUAAUCUAAAGGGCACUGACAAAGGAUAUGUGAAGAGUAGAAGGGAAAUUACAAGUUCAAGAGUUUGGUUGUUUACAUGUAUAUAUAUUUAUUAAAAAAAGAGAGAGAGAGAUGUUAAAUAGAUGAAAUGGAGAAGAAGCCCUUAAAUUAAUUAAAGAAAAGAGGGAGAAGGGAUAGGAAAUGGGUUCAUGUGAUAGCUGUGACUAUUUUUAUGUUUUUGGUUAUGGAAAUUGGGCACUAAUAUCAGUAUAUAUAUGGGCAGACAUAUGGUAAAUUCAAUUUCUGGAGAAAGCAUUAACACUUCAAGCCAAAAUUGAAACUAUUUCGAUAUAGCAUAAGAUGAGAAGGCAAGGUUCAAUAUUGGGGUGUAGUGAGCGAACUAAUCAAGGAAAGGAAGAUAAUUAGAAAUAAGACUAGCAUGGUAGUUAUAGAGUGCAUCAGUAUGUAACUUAAGUAAGUAGGUUAGCCUUAAUGAAAUCAUGGAAUGGAUUAAUUCAGUUACUCCUAGUUAGCCUUGCUAGCUUGCUUGAUUAGCAUUCCUAAUGAACCUUAGCCAAUUGAAUUUGGAGGACGAAAUUCUUUGAAGGGGGUGAAUUUGUAAUAUCCUAAUCCCUUUAGUCAAGUCAAAAGUCUAGUUGUAAUUGUAAUACUUUGGUCAACCUUUAUUUGUUGGUCAAAUAUUCAAGCACCAAAAAUGGAAAAAAAAUAAAAAUUAAUAAUAAAUAAAUUUGGAUUAUUAAGUUCAGGCGGUAGAUGGGUGGUGGGGACCACCUUUAAACAUUUGUAUGAAUCCAAAUUUUUAAAAGGGAACUAAUGACUUGUUUGAUAGCCUUUUAAUUCCAUGGAAUUGGAAUUCUACCAACUAUCGUCGCAUCAGCAUUUUCCUUCUAUUGAUGGAUUUUCAAUUCUCACCAAAAUGGUGAGAAUUUGAAUUCCAGCUUUUCCUUUUUUGUUUUUUAUUUUUUUGUUUUUUUGUUUUUUUGGCAAUGGAAACAAAUUCUAAGAAUUAUUAUAAAAAAAAAAUUUCCUUUAAUUGACAAUUUUCAUAUAAAACAAAGCCAAAUGAACACCAAAAGAUAGAUGAUUUUCUUAAUUUUUUUUUUUGGAUUUUGGCAAUGGAAAUAAAUUUCAUCCCCAAUACCAGUAAAGUCUAUCCCUUUAAUUGAUUAUUUUCAUGUAAUUUAAAAUCAAACUACCAAAAAACACUUUUAUUUCAACAUUUUUCACGUGAAAAAUUACACCAAUCAAACAUAAUAAUUUACAAUUCUCAGGAAAACGAUUUCUAGGCAAUUUAAUUCCAUCUUUACAAUCAAACGGAUCCUAAGAGAAAAGAAGAGGAAAUAAGAAAAAUCAGAAAAUUGAAAAUGGACUCAUUUUAUUCUUGUGCUUGAAGUUGAUUCAUGUUUUGGCCACAAUAAGAAAGCAAAUUUCAAGAAUCUGCAAUAUUUAUGAGUUUAGGUGUCUUAAUUUCUGUCAAAAAUUUAAAUGGGAGAAAGAGAUUAAAGUGAUUAAGGACUUCAAAUUAAGUGAAGAGAAAGGAGUGAAAAUGCUCUUUAUAUGUGUGUGUGUGUGUGUGAAUUGCAAAGAUUAAGAUAGAAAUUGGGAAAUUAAGUACUACCAUAUAAGGGAAGAUGUGUAUGAAUACUUUAAAAAGAGAAAAAAUCAUGGUGGGGGAAUAGAUUGUGUAAUACUCAGAAAAUUUAUUUAUCCGUGGUUGAGAAGGGACUUAUUUGGGAUAUACUCAUGUUUCAGGAAAUGACGAGAAGAUCUUGGAAUAGUUUAUCAAUCAAGUUAAUCUCCCUUACAUAGUUCUAUGAGUGGAAAAAAUUUAUAUAUUUUCAAAUAUUAAUAAGGUGCUUAUUCUAUUAUAUUACGUACGAUUAUGUGAAUUAUUUGUUCGAUUACAUGAUUAAUAAGGAAAGGUUCUUUCACUAUGAUAUAUGUGGAAUUUAAAGUUUUGGAUAUGGAUUAUUUGUGAAUUGGAAUGCGAGACCAGAUGUGAUAUUGAGGUCGACUCAAAAAGUAUCUAUGAUUAUAUAUUUCUUAUAGUUUAUUGAGAGGCCUUGACCAUGUUUUAUACUACAUUGAAGGGUCUUGGACCGUGGAUGAAGGGGUUUUGGCCAUGUACAUAUAGUUCGCUGAGAGGCUUUGAUCGUGUUCUAGAAUUGAUUAUUAGAAGUCUUGAAAUCGGCUUUCAUUCAUGGAGGGGGCCAAAGGCCCGUGGCAAAAGUUCUUAGCCCAAGGGGCGGAUUAUAGAUUUUACUCAUAGGGGUACAUUUUUGGUGAUUUUUUCCAUACAUUUGAUGUGAUGAGAUUAUAGUAUGAUUGCUAACUUAUGUUCAUAUCAUGACUUGAGAUGAUAUUUUACGAUGUUAUAUGAAUGUCUCAAUUUUUGGCUAUAAUUAUAGGGAGAAGAAGAUAUUGUUUAUGAAGAUUUGAAGAUAUUUUCUAAUAUUACUGAGAAAAGGACUUGGUCGAGAUUAGAAAAAGUUCAAUAUUCCGGAAGCUAUCAAGCUAGUAUGUUAGAAACAAUUUCAGAUUGUCGAUCAUCUACAUUGCGAUUGUAUUUCUGUUCAUAAGAAUUUGAUAGAUAUAGGACUUUGAGUUCUUUUUUCAUAAUAUCUUCCACGAGGUUCUUAGCUCUUUCAAACUUGCUCCCACCCUGCUUACUCUUAAUGGGUGGGCUCAUAUGGUUGACUCUUUCCUUUUGUGGACCAUUACAAGGUUAGUAGUAGAAUUAUUCUCUAAUAUUUUCAGGUCAAACUAUCACCCAAUAAAUGCCAAUAACAAAGCUAAUCCUUAAAAUGACUUUUAUUAUCUUUCUCUUUGCUCGCCCAAAUUCUGCCCCAAACUUGUAAUUACUUCAAAUAAGGUGCAUAACUUGAAAGAAAGUUUCCUCUCCUUUCGAGUAGCAACAUGCCUUGUUCUUACAACAAAUACUGCAAGUAAUGUUAAUUUACUCUUUGCACUCAUUAAAUUUUCUUUUGAUUUUUAUUAAUGUUUCCCCUUCUAUGAAAGGAAAAAAGUCUGCUAGGGGUUCGAGCACUUGUUGACCUUCAAACUUUUGUGACUCUAUUUCUUACUUUGAAUUCAAAACUUUGCAAAGCGGAGAGAAUGCUUCAUCCUUCUAAUUAAAACUUUUACAACAAUAGGAUAGAAACUACGAUAGGUACAUGUGCAUACUAAAAGCUUCUUUUGGUCUUUAAACCCUUCUAACUUUAAUUUUUGCUUCAUAGCGAGGAUUGAUUUUGAUGCAAUUCCAACUGAAAACUACUAGAAGAAAAGUUUUCAUGUGCUCACUUCUCCUAACGAUGUUUUCUCACUGUCGGCCAGAAGAUCAAAGGUUACGUCCUUGCAAGGGGCCUAGGAGAUCCAGAGGCAUUUCUUUGAAGAAAACAAAAACUCUUCCUCAAUUGUCAUGAAUGAUUCUACUUUUAGAAAAAUGAAGGUGUUGUGUACUAAUAAUCAUCUGGAACAUCAAGUCCACGUUGUCUUUUGGACCUUUUUUAAUAUUGUUUCUUAUGGUUCAUUUUGUGCAAGUUUAUUAAUGAAAACUUCAUUGUGAUGUGUUUGAUCAUUAAUUUGUUGUUCUUGUAAAUUGUCUAACAUCCAACAGUUGGAAGAACAACAAUAUUAGAAGAAGUUGAGGAUAAAAGAAUUUGAACUAUUACUUCUUCAAUUUCCAUCAUAAGUGGUGCUACAAUCCCACAAACUUCACUAUUCUCAAUCAAUUUCAACAAUUCUAGUACUAUGGUUAGGAUACUAAAAUCUAAAACCCUUCAAUUUUUUUUGGAUAACCAAUAAAGUUCUAUGGGUCUUUCUUGGGUUUAAUUUUUUUUUCCAUGUGGAUUACAAAUUCAUACUUCUGUCUUAUAACCCCAAACAUGCAAGUGCCUUAUAAUGAGUUACCUUCUCGUCUAGUAUUUAAAUUGAGUCUUUAGAGUUGCCUUACAAGGAACAUCUUUAUCUAUAUUCACAAUAGACUUCAAAUCAUAUAUCUUCAAAAAGAUGGGAAAAGAAAAAUUAAAUAACAUACACUUUGGAGUAUUGUCUACUUACAUCAUACCCUCUGAUCGUAUUAAAUUUUGAAAGUGUCUGGUAUCAUGAAUAAGUAAUAAAAUGAUAAGUAAAGAAUCGUUCCCAUGAAAACUAAAUCAUUCCCACUAAAACUAGAUACUUAACCUAUGAUCAAUAAAUGUUAACUUUAAUCAAAUAGCCAAAUAUGUUUGAAGAAUUAAUACUAGUUAACUAAUUAAACUAUUCUAAUGAUAAAAUUAUGAAAGCUUUGUAAAUUUAGAUAAGAUGAUUACUAAGACUUUGAAUCCCCAUUCUUAGUCCAUUUUAAUGAAAUUCAAUAUCAUGACAAUAUGUAUGUGUUCUUGUUGAUCGAUGCUCCUAAAUUAUUUUAUAAUCUCUCUCGAGUAUAAUUAAAUCAAUCCUCUCGUAUGACCUUUUCGUAUCUCUAUGACGGAUGUGAACAUGGGAAUAUUCAUUAAGAGCGUGUUUGAGUCCUUUACAUUGCCCAAAAUGUAUUUUGAAAUAAUAUAUUGAUGGAGAAUGUUUGGUUAGGAAAUAAGAAAAACUUCUGAAUUUUUGUGCAAUAUUAUUUUAUUGAAGGAUGUGUAGUUGAAAAUAAGAGAAAAAUGUAUUUUAAAUAUAAAGGGGACCAAACAAGGACUAAAAACACUAGAACAUCGAUUGGAAUCAUACAAAUCAUAGACGUAUAUCUCUUUCUCUUUUAUGAACCUCAUAAUGGUUGUUAUAAGCGCAAUCUUCCAAUUAUUUCUCUCAAUAACAAUAAAUUUCACAAAUAAUCCAAUUAGUGAUCAAAUAAUUGAAAUGCGUCAAACAUAAUAACAAUAAUUUCAGAAUAAACACAUAUUGAGCAUCCAAAUAUUGAAUUUUUAUUCAAAGCUUCAUAACAAGGGUUCAUCUAUAUCUUAGUAAAUGAAAAUCUAGCUUAACAUUACAAAAGUACAAGAAAUCAUAAUAAUAUGUAGAACGUCACCCGAUUUAUUGAUAAAUUAAGAAGAAAAAGAAGAAGAAGAAGAUAAAUCUUGAAAUUUUGAAUCUCUUCAAUGAUUUCUCUAUUGAUCUCCAAUUUCAUCUUCUCUUUUUUGCCCAAGAAUCAAAAUUGGAUCUUCAAUUGAUUGAAAAUUUUCAAUUUCCUCUUAAUUUUUACAAAAUUUUGUUGAAUUGGCCACACUUUUCUUGUAAUAAUUCAUGAAAUAUAAUGUAUGAGGGGUCCCUUUAAUGUUUGCCCAUGUUCUUGAUUUAUAGAAUGUGAAAUUAGGUCAAGAAACGCGUGUAAAUUGGGUUCCAAAUUAAAAGGUUUCAAUCAAAUAAAGAAAGUUGCCUUUGCGUUGCGCAUGGUUAUGUCUCAGUUUAGCCGUUAGUAUUUUUAUCAAAUUUUGAUAUUUGGUAUUCGAUUGAUGAGAUUUAAAUUGCUUUAGAACUCUAACACAAAGAAAUAAAAUUAUUCUAGAAGUAUCAUUUUUCCAAUUCAGACUUUUACUAUAUGAAAAAUGGGUGUCUCGAUCUAUGACUGAAAAUUUGGACUGGUGAAACUACUUUGACUAUAUUUUAAUACUUCACUUAUUUGACUUCUAAUCACAUCUAGUUGAUCCUAUGUGAUCUCCGAUCAUCUUUUUCUGGUCCGAACUAAUUACUAGAUAUUUAAAAUUAGGUCCCCAAACUUUGGAAAUCCUCAAUUUUCGCUAAUUUUCGCCUCUUUCUUCCAAUUGCACUUUCAAUCAUUGAGUUUUUACCUAACAAACAAAGUAUACAUAAGUAUUAAUUUUACCUUUAUUUCCUAACCUACAUAAGCAUUAGGCUUACCUUUAAUUUUGAACAAUGCCUUACAUUUCCAGCAGCCUUUUUGAUACUAAAAUGACACAUAGCUUUCUUAUGCAUUUGGACACAAGAUUCAUUUAUCUUUGUGGUCAAUGCUUAAUGCCCAUUUCAAACUUCUUUUUAUAUUUCUUUUAAGCUCUUUGAUGACUUUACAUGAUGAAUAGAAUUAGUUCCUUUAAUUUUAAGCCUUGUCUCCUCUUGCACAAACAUACUAUGCAAUUUAUUCACAUGCCACUUGUACUUUGAAGUAUUGUAGUUCAUUUGUAGUGGACCUUAUUCAAUAAGAAAGGAGUUGAUAAUAUAUUGUAUCAUUAAGUUGUCAUCUGAAGUCAUUCCUAUAAUCUUUAAGACUUGCUACAAUAUUAGACAUCUCAAUAACAUGCUGAUGCAUGAAUCAUCAAAUUUUAUGGUGGUUAGAGUACCCAUUAGUGUGUUAGCAAGCGACUUAUCAGGUGUUUGAGUAUGAUUUUCCACAAAUUUAUAUAGUCCUUAGUCAGUUUGAUCUUUCCUAUAACUUAUCAAAAGUCUUUUAUUUGUGAUGCUCAGUGAUGUGAGAGAUCAACAUAUUUUUCUACUUGAAAUAGAAAACAUAAGUGAAAUCAAAGAAUUGAGCCCAUUGAAUAGUUGAUUAUCUAAAGCAUGCAAAUGUAGAGAUAUACGGAUGCAUUAUUUCCUUGAGUUUUAAUUUAAGCAUUUAGAACAUAUUCAAAAGAACCGAUUUUGGGUGGCACCAUUUAUGAAGGGUUGGAAGAACAGUGAUGGCUAGUUCCUUUGACAUUGGUUCUAGGGUGAUUAAAAAUCAGCCAAAAAUAGUGUAGCGUAAUUUUGAUCGACUCUCUCAUCCCAUCAAAUCAAUGAUAUUUUGCUUUUUCUUAAAUUCUCUUCCAAUUUUACUCUCUGUAAAAUAAUUAUUUCCAACAAACGUACUUUGUUUGAUACUAACUUAUAACUAAAAUAAUUAUUUGUAAGCAAAAAAAUUUCGUUAAAAUUAAAAUAUUACUUAUAAGUAAAAUAUUACUUAUAAGAUGAAAAAUUAUUUUUGUGUAAAAAUCUUACUAAUAAGACAAAACAUUACUUAUAAAAUAUAAAAAGUUAUUUAUGAGGUAAAAAAAAUCAUUAAUGAAUAAAAAUUAUUUAAAAAUACAAAAUUAACUUAUAAUUAUAAAGUUUGUAUACAAAUAAGAAAUAGUAACAUAAAAUUUUAAGUAAAUAUUUAUGUCUAUUUAACUUUUUAAGUUAAAUAUUAAUUAUAUGUAAAAAAAAAUUGCAUAUAAGUAAAAUAUCCUUUAUUAUUAAAAAAAUUUCAUACAAGAAACCAUAUAUUCAAAAUUUCACAAAGGGACGUAUAUGUGACUUUACUCUUAAAAAAAAUUUAGAAUCAGUGAAUAAUAAAUUCUAAAGCCUGGGUUACACUAUUUUAAAAAUCACUACUAAAACUACUCAUAAUCGGUCCAUUCAUAAACGCUAAAAAAAUUGGUUCUUUAAAAAAGGCUCAUAACUAGUACGAUGGAACUACUAAGCGGCCCUUAUGAGAUUUACUUAAUCAUUGCUUAAUGGUAAAAUAUUAACCAUCAAUACCAGUUUAGCCAAUUAGAAAAGAAAUUUUGUCAAAAUAUGUAGUCCCAGUGGAAACAACAGUUAAAUAAUUUAAAUCAUCGAAAUAAACUAUAAUUGAGAUGAACAAUAAUUGGAAAAUCACAAAUUCCUUAACCAAGCUCUUUACCUAUGUAUAAGAAUUUAUUUAUUUCUUGUAAAAACAUAAUUUGCUUAUACCUUAGUUUCCAAAUCUUAGAAAUUAAUGAUUUUAACAUGAACAUUCAUCAAUUAAGAUGUAUACCUUGAUCCAUAACAAAUUAUUGAAAGAUUAAACUUGCAAAACAAACCGAAUGAAAGAUUGAAAUUGUCCACUUACUGUCAAAGUGUGCAAUUAUCCUAAUAAGUUGUCCUUGAUAUUGCUAUUUGAUUUACGAUGGUAAUAAUAAUGUAGAACAAAGCAGUAUCACACAAUAAAAGAAGAAUACAAUCAAAUAUUCGUUGAUAAUGUGAAUACUUGAAUAUUUAGAGACAAUAAUUCUAAAGAUGAAUACCAAAAUUGACUCCUGAAAGUUUAAAUACAAAAUAAAUUAUACGUAAUUUCUUAAAAGUAAGGAACGCUAAUUGCUUUUAUACCCUCUACUUAUAACAUAAGUUAUAUCAAUAAAAUAAAAAUGUAACAACUAUUUCUUAGGAUACAUGUGCCAAGAAUGCAAAGUACAGUGUAGCGCAUCCUAUAGGACUCUUUUGUAGUCCUACAUAGAGGUGACAAUGGACUGAGCCGACUCGACCUUUAGACAUCUAAGCUGGGGCUAGACCUAUGCUGACAAGAGCUGAGCCAAAUUCCGUUCGUGUCCACAAACAAUGUUUGACUCAACCCUUUGGCCCAUGAUGACAUGAGUCAAGCACUAGCCGGCUCACGAGCCACUCAUUUUUAAUAAAAUAAUACGAAAAUGAUUCAAAAAGAGAGUUGAACCCUGGUUCAUGAAUAUUUUUUGAACUCGACUUGGUCUACGGCUCAUCUCAAUAUGAGCCCGAGCAGUCCAUGGACCAAUACGAGGUGAAUUGACAAGCGGCUUGGCCCAUUUGCCACUCCAAGUCCUAGAUUUUUCUUCUACAAUUUUAAAUUUGCAGCUGAAGUCCUUAAACUAAAGAUAUUUACAUACAACCCUAGUUAACUUUAGUUAGCUUAUGUUUAGUACAAAUUCUUUAAAAUUUAUUUUAUAAAAAACUCAUUUUCAACCACAUAUAGACCUAUAACUUUUUUCUAUUUUUUGGUCACACAUUCUAAAAUAAAAUUAUUUUUUAUAGAUUUUAUUUUCAAAAAGUUUAUAUCAAUCAGACCCUUAAUAUAAUUAAAUAUGAUUGAUAUAUUAUUCAAUAACCAAUAAUAAUCCAUUAUUUCUGUAUCCCACUACAAAACACGACACAUAAAUACUUUAUCUCCAAUGGGUUUUGUCUAUAAUUCAAAUUUGAGCUUUAGUGUAUAUUUUAUAGGGGAGAGAAAAGAAGUAAACAUGAGAGACAAGAAAUAAGGAACAAGAGACACAAAUAUUAAAUCAUGGUAGUUCAUCCCGUCUACAAGAGUUCCAUAUGUUUCGCCUAGAUGUGGUGUAGCAAUAUGACUUAAGAACCUCAUCUCUGGUGGCAUUACAUCUCCAAUGGUCUUCACAUGAAUAAUGUCUUCAUCAAGCAUCGGCUUUUGUCGAACCUCGCGUAAGCUUAAGGGGUCGAUGCACUCAAUGGGUUCAUCAUACAAGGGCCAGUUAAAAAGGACCUUUGCUUUCAAUGAUCAGCUUCUGUGUCAUGAUGAUUUGGACAACUAGACUGUGGGAUUAGGCUGAUAUGUUCUACAAGGAAACCACUUUAUUAUUUUUAAAUAAUCGCCUAGAAUCAUUUGUGAUCAAGAAGGAUCUGGGAGAAUGGUCUUCAAUAGGGUAAUUCAAUUGGGAAAGGAAACAAUAUUUUAAUAGUCACAAUUCCCCAGCCAAUGGAGGCGUUACAUGGGUGAAUUAGGGUUUGCAACAUAUAAACACAAUUUAAUCUCGAAACUCACCCAUGAAUAUCCUUCCAUAGGUUAAUAACACAUUUACGUCAUUUUUUCAUUGUAGCCAAAACUCUACUUUCUUGUCUCUCCCACAUCCCAUGUCUCUAUGUUCUCCUUCUCAAUUGAAAGUUGACUUGAUCAACAGAUUAACAACGAUCACUUGUCCUUUUUUAUGGAAUGAAGAUCUUGGUACUUAAAUAUUUCUCCAAAUGUGCGGAUAAUAUAUAAGUUAGCAACGGGUGACAAGGGAUAUGUUGACAGCAAUGUCAUUCUAAAUUUUGAGAUCAAUGAAGAUAAUACGACUUUAUGAGGAAAAAAAAAAAAGAGUCCAACUUUACAUUCAAUUAGUUUUGAUCACGUUAUAAAUUGAAUUCGAGUGCACCUAACAACAUAAGUGAUCAAUUUAAAAUAAUUAAUGUGACCAAUGACUCAACAAUUUAAGUGAUCAGUUAAUAGUAAUAAAUGUGACCAAUGAACAUUUAAUUUGAUUUUAUAAAAAAUAAUAUGAUCAACAAUUUUUUAUAUCAAAAUCACUAGUAGUUACAUGUUUUAUUAAUAGUAAAACAAAAAGAGUACAACUUAGAAGGGGGCUGGACUUAACCUCUAGCAAGUGAUGAUCAAAGCGAAUGAGACUUAUUGCAACCAAUGCAAGAAUUAUAUUAAAAAUAUAUUGAAUAGAACUUAGUCAAAUCUAGAAAUAUCUCCGCCUUUCAUGUGUUUUCAUGCGGCUCGUGAUAUAAUUGUGAGUCAUCAACAUAGUCAACCCACUAGAAGGUGACUUCUGAUUGUAACCAAAAGGGAAAGCCCCAAUUUCCAAAAAAUCAUCACGUAGAUAGCCAUAGGCAUCUCUUGCAUAAUUAGCAGAGCGGUGACAGAACUGUUGAACAUUAUAGUUAAAAUCAUGUGUUCAUCCAAAAAAUAUGGAUCAUCCUCAACAAUAACAUUGCAAUCGCCAAGCCCCAUGUCGUCAAUAUUACUUUGAAUGUUUUCUCAUAUUUUAUCUGUACUGUUAAGUUCUUGAACCUAAUUCACCGAUGAGGAGUUAGCUUGCUCUUAUGAUGUUGGGAGUCCUAAAAAUAACAUGCACUAAAUCCUCCACAGCUUCCCUCAAUUUUGGACCUACAUGGACCCAGUGAUUUUGAAGUGAUCGGUAAGUCCCUACUUAACAAAAGAGUCGUUGAAAAUGCCAAACACGCACUUAUCUUUAUUUAUGCAUGAGUCCAGUGAUUUUUCAUCCAUUUGCAAGUUAGUCCCUGUAUUUUCUACAUUUUUCAAUUUGGUCCCUAAACUUUUCAGAAUCUGCAAAUCAUUCCCUACAUUUUUGGAAUUGUAGCUAUAGUCGCAGCCUCUGAUGCUCAAACUCUUGGAAAUAGUAGGAGUACCCUUAUCGAACAUGACACAACAUGGUUAUAUGUAUAAAAUAUGUAUUAGCUCCUCCAACUUUCAAUAGGACGCUUCGCCAUUUUUACUUCUUUCUUCUUCUUCUUCUUCUUCUUUUUUUUUUUUUUUUCCUUUUCCUUUUCUUUCCAAUUUUUGUUCUCUGUAAACUUAGUGCCACCUUUGAGAGGGUGAAAAAGGGCGAUAGCGCUAUGUUUUCUCUUCUUCUUCUUCUUCUUUCUUUUUUCUUUCCAUUUUCUUCUUUUUAUCCUUUUUUCCCUCUCUAUAUUGGGGGUUUAAGGUUUUGUUGGUAUAAAAUGAAAAUGGGUUUCAUAUAGUGCUGCUUAGUACUCCGCUAAGUCUAAAUUACAAUCAAGUCCCUCAAUUUUAUUUUAUAUAACAUUUAGUAAUUAACUUCCAAUAAUUAAAAACUAAACCCCAAAAUUUAAUUUUAUUUGUGUUAAUCCCUUAUUGAAUACUUAUUUCCUUCUUUAUGAAUAAUUAAUUUUGGUUUAUUCAAAAUGACAUUUUUGAUUAGUAAAAAAAUUGAAUCUUGAAAGAUUUACCCAUGUACCCGUAUUUGAAAUUUGGACUCUUUUUAGAAAUGUCUCCAUAUCCUACAUUUUAAAAAAUAAAAGAUCCGACAGUUAGAUACGUACCCGUACCCGAUAUCUGUACUCGAGUCUGAGCAUCACAGGUCGCAGCAAUUUGCCCAUCUACCCACGAAUUUAUAUUGAUCCCUUGAGUUUCUGCAUAAUUCAUUUCAAUCCCUUAGGCCCACUUAAUAAUAAGAUAGGCUUCGUAGUUAUAAGCUCAGGGCCUAAAAAAGAAACAUGGCCCUACAGAUCAUGUUCCAAUGUAGCCCAAUCAAAUUUAUCUUGUCUAUUAGGCCCAAGUUUUCCAUCAGUAACAACAGUGGCCCUUCUCUCAAUUUACCUUCAAUUAGACUCAUUGGGCCAACUAUCCACAAUGAAUUGCUCCAUAAUCUGUUGGUUAGCACUUGACCCAGCAUGAUUAGGCCCAAUUAAAUCCACAUUGUAAUGCGGGAAAAAUUUAUAUUUCAGGUAUAUUCUUACACCAUUUCAAAAAUCUGGUAAGAAGUUUGAAAAUUCAAAAUUCAGGUUUGUAUUUAAUUAAUUAAAAAUAUUUAUUAAAUAAAUAUAUUAAAGUCACGAUUAAUUAAUUAAUGGUCAUAGAUUUAUUUACUGGUCAUAUGUCAUCAAAUUAAUUAAUUUCAAAUUUAUUUAUGGUCACAUAUAAAUUUUUUUUAUAGGUUACAAAUAAUUUCGAGGUCACGGAUCAAAAUUUUUAGAGGUCAUGGAUUUUUUUUAGACACGGAUUAUCAAAUUUCAAGGUUACAGACCAAAUCGUUGAGAUCACAGAUUGUCAAAUUUUAAGGUCACAUGCUAAAUCGUUGGUCACAUAUACCAAAUACUCCAUUGCCGAACCCAAUCCACCACCAACGAUUAGUCACAGAGCAACCAAAUGGUCACCACCAACAAUGUCGCCACCACUAGAUCCAACAUAUUGCCAACAAAAAUCACCACAACUACCACAAUCAGAUUUAUACACACAGAACUCACACAAAUCAGCACAAAUACACCAUAGAUCUACCACCUGCGCCAACGACCAUCGUCACCACUGUAGCCACAACAAUAAUCCUAAAACCACCAAACACAUAAAAUCAUUGCAGCCUCGAUCUGUGCCAUCAUCAUGUCGCUACAGCCAUCAUGCACAGCAUCGCGUUGAGAUCUUCGUUCCCUCCACAGAACCGCACACCUCCACUACCACCGCAAUCGCAAAACUAGAACACCAUCAUAGCGCAUCGCUCCACCUUCCCCGAUGGUGUCACUGCAAGGCGCCGAUCAACCAGCUAGAAUAGAGAGGGUGUUGGUAAGGAAAGGGAUAAAGAUGGAAUGGAAAGAGGGAGGUAGAAGGGAGAGAGAUCUAGGGUUUGCUAUAUGAGAGUUGAAAUCGGCUUCUAUUGUGUUUUAAUUUAAUAUUUAAAUAUAUAAUAACUAAAUUGAAACCUGAGAUUUACAUAAACAACUUUGGAACCUGACUCUUGCAUUGGGAUCUACAAAUACCUGAGAUUUUGUAAUUUCCUCUUGUAAUGCCCUAAGAGCCUUAGGUUCAUUUAAAGAAGUUGGCCCAAACUACCAUUUUCUUGUAACAUUUCAGUUAAAUGAUUGAUGUAGACUAUAGUAGUGGGUCCUAAAAACUUCUGACCCAUUUGAGAUGACCUACUUAUGUAAUUUGUCUAAAUAACAUUUUAUUUAGAGCAAAUAUGCUUCUAUUUGGCCCACAUUAAAUUCUAUUAUAUUGUAUUCUAUUUUCUCUCUCUUAUUUUUAACCAUACAAUUUUUCAUAAAAUAAUAUUACACGUAAACAGAAAACUUUUCUUUCUUUUUCAACCACUCAUUUCUCAAAAAAAAAAAAAAAAAAAAAAAAAAACACUAUCCACUCAUUUUUAUUUCCAUAAAAUGGGGGCCAAACGUGGGAUAUAUAAACUUUCCAUGUUGUUGUGUAAAUUUUCUUAUUUUACUCGAAAAAUUUAAAAAAACUUAUUAAGAGGUGUAGCAUAAUCCCUUGUACUCAGUAUUAUUUGUAUACUCGAAAGAUUUGAGAUUUUACCCAUCAGAAAAUUAAUUAGUCCGAAGAUAGGUUACAUGUCUUCUUCCUAAAUUUGUAUUUUAUUUGAACUUUCAGUAAAUAAAUACUUUUACUUUGUUGUGGUGGGAAAUUUGAAAACACUUCAAUUAGGAACUUGUUUUUUCUUAUUUAUUUAUUUAUUUAUUAUUAUUUUUUUGGGUAAAUUUUUUUUGUCUACAAAAUGUGUAGCACAUUGUCGGCCCUCCAAGUAGUUGAGAAUAAUUUCUCAGGAAUGCACCAGUUUUGUAGAAACAAAGAAGAUUAAAAGAGAGAGAGAGAGAGAGAGUAAAAUAAUAAUGUACCUUAAUCAUAGAGUUAUACAAUAUUGUUCAUCUAUAAAUACUGCAUGCCCUUCUUGAUGAUCAUAGCAUAUUUACAAUUGACUUCCUCGCUAGAGAAAAUGACAGAAUUAGAGUCAACUAAGCUGCUUUAACUUAUUUGUGUUGUUAUUAUUAUUUAUUUUUAUUUUAAUUUUUAUUUUUUGUGUUCGUUGUCUCAAGUUUCCUUAUCUUCUUGAGCUCUAUUAUUCAAUUGCUAGUUCAACUAGCAUCAUCUAUUAUUCAAAAGCUUUGAUGUAGCUUUUCUUGACUGUUAGUGUAUGUAUGUACAAUGUCUAUUUUUAUUUAUAUAAAGAAUUAUGCUGCUGAAAUUCUUGAGCCCGUUGAUGAUCUGCAAUUGAAUGUGAGACCCAGCCUAAUGAUUGGAAUAUUUUAAUUGAAGGUUCCAUAUUUAACAAAGUCAUGUUUUUUGGAAAUACAAUUUUAACACAAACGCAUCCUACACUGGAUUUCUUACACCUGGCACAACUGUGACUGUUGGAUUGGUCUCUUGGAUGCGCCCCAUAUAAAUAGGGUUAGGAGGUUUUUGUCUAACCCUUAUCUCUUUUGACUGCCGCUUUUCUUCUUCGUUUUCUUCAUCUUCUAGAUGAUUUUCUUUGUGAUUUCUGAGUGAAAUAUUGUAAUAGAACAAUAGAAGUGAUGAGAUUCAUCUCUUAGUGAGAUUAGUGUAUGAUUUUCUGAGGGUCUGAUUGAAAAACGGCAGAACACUUUCAUCUUUUGUAACUUGUUUUUGCCCAUUUAGGGAGCGGUGAUAGUGGAUUUGAGCGUAAUCUGUAUGUAUGGAUGCUCAAUGGGGAUGUAGGCGUUAGUUGGUCGCCGAACCUUGGGGCCUUUCGGCCAAAAAUCCCUUCGUGUUCUUUUAUUUUCUAUUAAUUUGUAUUUAUUAUUUUUACUGUAAAAUACUCAAGUCACAAAAGAAUUUGUAAUACUAGGAAUUACAGUGGUAUCAGAGAUACUAUCAAAAUCCUUUUUCAAAAUAUUAUUGUUCGAAUCUUUUCUGUGACUUGGUUGUACUAAAAAUUGCCAAAACUGAUAGAUCUAAUUUUAUUGUACAGGAAACAAUCUUCGAUUUGAAUCUUGAGUAGAUCAUCGGUAUCAGUUGGUACUUUCAGCAUAAGCUGCAGAUCUGGUGAAAUCUAUACCUAGCCCCAACUUUAAUACUUGUCGAAUCUUGAUUAGGAAUUAAGUUUAAGGAUUUUUCGAACCCCCUUUAAUUUACCUUUGUCUAGGGUUUCAUGAGAGAACCCCUAAAAUCUGAGGAAAUUAAGGAACAUUAAAGAAAAUCCAUUAGGGGUUUAUUACUUUGUGUUCUGCAAUUUUUGUUAUUGUCCUUGCAUAACCUAAUUCUUGUGUAUAGGGUUGACAAUACUAAUCAUCUAUCUGCAAUUGAUAUUAUUCAAUUGACUUUUGUGUCAGUACUCACGUCUGUAUAAUUUUGCAAGAAAGUGCUUUAUUUGUUACUGUAAGGAUUAAUUUGUCAAUUGUUAAGUUUACUGAGUGUGAACUAUUCUUUAUGUUAUAUACCUCUGUUGUGUUCUGCAUAUAGUGUGAUCUGUUUAGCUGAGAUUAGAUCUUGUCUGAAUCAUCUUGAACCUUACUAUGACAUACUUGCACAAUAUGUCCACUAAAAUUGAUAUUCAACAUUGGGAUGGCAAAGAAGAUUUUACUCUCUGGAGCCAGAAGAUGAAAGGUCUAUUAAUGCAAUUGAAAUGUGUUAAAGCAAUUGAUGAAUCUUGACCAGAAACUUUAUCAAAAGUUAGGAAAAUUGAGCAAGAUGAAUUAGCAUGGAGUAUCAUAUUUCUUCACCUAUCUGAUUUUGUGAUUAGAAAGAUAGGAACCACCACUACUAUCAGUAAAUUAUGGACAGCCUUAGAAAAACAAUAUGUUUCUAAGUCUCUACCAAAUAAGUGUUUUCUUUGAAAACAAAAUUUCAACCAUAAAUUUGAUCCUACUGCAGAUCUAGAAGAAAAUAUGGAUAUAUUUAAUAAGAUUAUACAAAAUUUCAAUUGUGGGGAAAAGAUUUCAGAUGACCAGAAAGUAGUUGGUCUACUAAAUGCUCUGGGUGAUAAGUAUAAAGACAUAAAGAAUGCCUUAGAAUAUGGUAGGAGUGAUCUAACUGUUGAAAUCAUUCAGACUCACUCAAGAAUAAAGAUCUAGAACUUAAAUUUGAACAUAAAGUUGCCUUACAUGUUGAAAAAUCCAUGUCCAAUCCAAAACUCCCUACAAAAGGCUUAAAUAACUUGAGUCAAGCUAAUUACAAUAGAGAUAAAAAUUUCUCUAAAAAGAAAUGGGGGAAUAAUAAAGGAAAGGAUAAAAAGGUAUACAAGGGAAAGGCUAAUAAUAGGAAAUGCUAUUAUUGCGGUAAAACUGUCAUUUGAUAAAAAAAAAAAAUUGUUUCAAGAGUGCUAAGGAUCUAGGAAAUGGCCCUAAGCAUGAUAAUGGCACUUCAGCUAUUGCUGUUUCCUGUAAAAGGGAAGAGAAUGCUGAUAUUAGGGUAGCUUAUAUGCUCUCAUUAGAAAAAUCAGAACAUGAUUGAGUUCUAGAUUCAAGAUGCUCCUUUCACAUGAGCCCUAAUAUUAACUAGUUUACUGAUUUCACAAGCCUUAGUGGUGGGUGUGUAAAACUGGGAAUAAUGAUUCCUGUCAUGUAAAAAGGAAUUGGAAAUAUUGUUUUAAAAUUGAAAAAUUGUCAACUCCUAAGGCUAAACCAUACUAGGUAUGUUCCAGCACUUAGAAGGAAUCUUAUAUCACUGGGGGUAUUAGAUGAUGAAGGGUAUCAAAUUGAAAUUAAUGAUGGUUUUACCAAAAUAAAUAGAAAUCAGUUACUUAUAUUCAAAUCACCCAAAAUUAAUGGUAUCUAUACCCUAAACCAUGAUUUUGUCAUUUAGAAUACUGCUGUGAAUUUGGUCACACAACUAGAUAAUUAUGAAUUGUGGCACAAAAGACUAGGUCAUCUAAGUGAGAAAGACCUAAAGAUACUUUCAAAGGCUGAUGUUGUUAGGAAUGACAAUGUUCAGAAGUUAACCUUAUGUGAACAUUGUAUUAUGGGAAAACAUAGGAUGCCCUUUAAUCAUGGUAUACAUAAGUCCCAAAAUAUACUUGAAUACAUUCAUAGUGAUUUAUGGGGGCCUGCACCUUUGUCCACUGCAUCUGGAUAUAGAUAUUAUCUCCUUAUUGUUGAUGACUGCUCUAAGCGUUAGUUGGUUGCCGAACCUCGGGGCCUUUCAGGCAAAAAUUACUUAGUGUUCCUUUAUUUUCUAUUCAUUUAUAUUUUUUAUUUUUACUGUAAAAUACUCGAGUCACAAAAGUGUUCGUAAUACUAGGAAUUACAAUUUAUUUAUUUAUUUAUUUUUAAUACAAAAACUGUUUGCCACAUGUUGCAGUAUUAAUUUUGGAUUACAUAUCUCCAAAUUAUCUUGCGUUCAGACUAGUAUUAGAACCUUGAAAUAACAACAACAACAACAACAACAACAACAACAAUAAUAAUAUCCAACAGUCUUGUUUCCCUUGUGCUUCAUUUUAAUGGAAAAAUUUGAUUAUUAUUUCAUUCAUCAACCAUACAUACAUUCAUCCAUUCAUGAAUAAAUCCUAUCAUUCAAAUACACGCAUAGAACAACUCUGGGAAUCGCUUAACUAAAAAAUCAUACAAUAAAUCAAUAAUUAGGAUUAAGACACAAGAAAACUUUAGACCUACACUUUAAUACCACUUUUUGAGCUGAUCACUAGAUUUAGGAAAAACAAAGAAAAAAAAUGAAAAUAAGUUUAAUGGACCAGGUCUUCACUAGAAUCUAUGUGUUGCAUUUCUAAUUAAUUGCCACAGAAGUGUUUCGAAGUUAAACCUAUUCCAAGCAAUUAAUUUCUUUAUCUUCUUGCUUGAGGGUGAUUGAUUUGAAAGCUUCCUUCUCAAUCCCAAAAACUAGUUUAAGAGGUGAUGCUUUCCUUUACAUUUAUAAACUCACCAGCCCGUUUCACAAUCGAUGUGGGAUAACUUCAACAAUCUUUCCCUCACACAUCGGGUCAUACUGGAGAUCAAACACGUCUAUCUCUCGCACAAAUUCACAUCUUCUAUGACUGUUGGGCUUGAGUCGUGUUGAUAACCUGAGCUCUAAUAUCAGUGUUGGGUGAUAUUGAGCUUCUCAACCCUAAAAGUUAAUUCAAGAAGUGACGUUUUCCCUCACACUAAUAAACAGACCAUCAGUUCCUUUCACAAUCAAUGUGAGACAACCCCAACAAGUAAUUGUUCCUUCCUUAAUCCACAAGCUUCUAACCCUUGGAAUCUUCUCCAAAACCUUGUUGCACUUGAUUUGUGGCACCAAUAAUCAAGAUUUCCAAUUACCAAAUUCCUAAUCCUCAAGAAUUCACAAGAAGCUAUUACAUAUAUCAAGAACUCUCUUAAGUAAUGGAAGUUGCAUUGUAUGUUUGUGUUCUUUUUUCACGUCCAGUUAGAUCUAUAUAUAAAACUAAAUAGCCUUGUUCAUUGUUCCAACACGAUUGGGAUUCCAAUUAUAAAGAAACUUGAUAACCAAGUUAUAUUCAUAAAAAAAUUCCUUUUAGGACUUGGUCAAAUUUUAAUUCGUCAAGCUCGUCGUUGCUUUUGAUCAAUGAAUGACGCGAGUUAAAGUCUGACCCAAUCAACUAUGCAACCUGUUAAUUAAAUUAUUACCAUAAUUAACUCCAAGUUUUUAUUUGAAGCUAUCAAAGGCACCUGAUCGGACAUAUAUAAUUCAAGCUUCCAAUAGUUUGGUCCCAAUAACUCCAAUCCAUAUUGUCCGGUCCCAUUAUGAAUCUAUACUUAUUCCACCUAAGGCCCACAAUUGCACUCUUGAAUUACAUAGAUUUGCAUAAGCAAUAUUAUUUCAAGUCUCCAUAGUUACAACCUUAUGACUUGCUAUCUAUAUGUUCGACGGACAUUUAAGAAGUGGUGCAGGAUCAAAAUGAACUUUUUCUCUUUUAAUUAUUAUCUCACUUAAGCUAUCAUUUUCUUCAACGGUUUCUUUGCGAACAGAUCGUGGGAUUAUUCGGGCAUCCACAAAUGGUGAGUUCAGAUCAAACAACCCAUAAGAGAAUACUUAAGUUGGUUCAUUUGCAUAUUUGAAUAGGGGCAGGUAUCAAAAAAGAAUAUCCAUUCCUUUGUUUUCAGCUCCAAAUUUAUUGAGAUGUUUGACUAUAUAUAGAUCUUACUCAUUGGCACAUCAAAUAUAAAAGUUCACAAAUAGAGAACACUACCUCUGUUUCGAAUUCUGUUAAUCUAUAAAAUAGUUAUUUAGAGUUCAAUUUUUCGCACGAUCAUUCGGUAGACUUAAAAUCUAUCAAGAGGUCCUAUCUAAUGCACUUCAAGAUAUACUCAAUGGGCCAAUGUUAUGAAUCCUGAUAUCGUCUCGCCACGAUCAAGACAAAUCGUGAAUUCCAUGUAGCCGAUCCUAUGACCAUACUAGAACAAAGUAUUAAUCUUUGCUCAUUCGCCAACAGUGAAUAUUCCAAGAUGUGGAAUUCGAGUAACAUAUGGGUUUAUGAUUCGGGGUUUUAACAGCAUUGAUGUGCAUGGGUUGGCUAUCCAUUGCAGGACUAUUAAGAGAGAGAAGAAAGCAUAAAAAAUUCAACUCAAAAUCAAAUUCUGGAGUUCAUUAUUCGUCAUAUUAUGUGAGAGGAUCCAGGAUUAAUUAGUCGGGUACCUUUUUGGCAUAAACCAUAUAUCUUUGAGAGAUCGCAUUUCUUAGGGUUGGUAGUAAUGGAAUGCUUGCAAGUUUUUUUUUAGAAGAUUUUCUCAAGUCCUUACCGACAAAAUUAAUAUUAGGAUUGACGUGUUUGUUCCUUUCGAUUGUUCCCAUUAUGGAACCCUUUGGUUCAGCAUUGUAUUUGGUUCUUCAUAUGAAGUUGUCUUGGGUUACCGUUCCUAUCAUCGUCCUUACAAUUAUUCAAAUAGUUAUUUUCUCCAUCUUGUAGUUUCCUCUCUUGAUUGAGAUGACAAAUCGUCUUAUGGCUUUGUGAUAUUCAAUAAACCUAAGAAGAAAGUCUGCCAUUGCUAUGUUCCGCUCAUGUUUGAUAUGGUGGAAUAGAAAGUAUAUGACACUAUUGCAGAAGAAAAAGAAAUUAAAAUCUUAUCAAUCAUACUAUAAAGUAUUAUUGAAUACAACGUCAUAUUGUUCUCUUCCUUCAUUUUGGUUUCUGUCAUUUUAAAUGUUUAUGAUAGAUUCCUGGCAUUUUUUCAUAUGAAUUCCAUUGAUGAAAUCCGUUUCUCCAUUGUUGAGGCAUUUAAUUAGACGAUAUGUGCCUGUUAAUCCAAGGAAUAGAGGUUUUCUUUGUACUUGUUUGUACCUUUUAUUUUUUUAUUUUUUUUGUUAAUGUUGGAUUUUGAGACCCAAUAAAUCCGGGUGAUGAUAUUAAAACGAUGUUAGGAAAUUUAUAUUGGCGCCUUAGCAAUUGGUUCGACCUGAAAACGACUUCGGCCAUUUGAAGAAACUUAAUUAAGAUUGCUCGUGGCCCAACACUUUAGUUGGCCCAUGUGAGUGUUAGCCCAAUUGGUGGUGACAUGAGAGUUAGCCCAUUUUGUGGUAAGUUGAGACUUUGGUUGUGUGGCCCAUUUACAUGUCUUUGGCCCAAAUUCGAAGGUAGCCUAAUCGAAGGCUUUAUAUCCAUCCUCUCCAGCCGUGUGUUUUGUGGGUUAAUUUGGCAUAGUGGAAAGAAAACGUGAGGCAGCCGUCUUGAGGGGGGGAAAAUAGGAGUUCAACCAUUACUUCUUCUAUUCUCUUUCGCCUUUGUUGGUGCAAGUUGUUCACCAUGCGAGCAUGGGUGUGUGCAAUAGAGGCAAGAGAAAUAGGUAGCCGUUAUGGGAGACUUUGUAUUCAACAAUUGCUACCCUUUUCUUCUUCAUCCCUUUGUAAUAUUGCUACAACCACCACUGUAUCUCCACCUCUUACUAUGACUAAGUUGCUUCGGACAUAGAACUUUGGAGAUGCCAAUAUAAUUAUAAUGAAAGUACCAAAAUGCUCGUUAACUUACAAAACGAGGAUAGUAGGUGCAAUUUUCUUCGUUUAAAAGUUCAUGUUGCAUGCGUCAUUAAAUUAGUUGAUAGCGUGACCGUUAGAUAGAGCUAAGAGAAAUCUUCUAAGAAAUGAGGCAAUAUCACCAUUUCACCAAUUUUGCAUCAUGUUGACCUCGAAAUAAGAUUAAUAAUUUUUUUUUUUCACUAUCUAGAAUUUUCUCCUCCUGGUUUUAUGAUCAAGCAAGAGCAAGAAAAGACAAUGCUAUUUAAAAGGAGAAUAUUUUGAUAUUGCAUUCCUUUCUUUGUCGCCAAUUAUGUUAUUUAUAGAUUUCUAAUGAGGUCUUAGAGGUAAUUAAGUGCCUUUCACUAAUAACGUGGCAAUCAUUCACUGGUUGAUUUCUAACCGAAUUUGCUAACUUUUCACAUUUUAUUCACGAGUCUCUAUAUUUCUCAUUCAUUGGCUCUGAAAUCAUACUUUAUAUUUUUACUCAUGUGUGCUUUGAUAAUGGUUAUUGUUGUUGUGGAAUAACUAAUGAAACUAGUUAAAGAACAUUUGCUCACUUAUGUUAGCUUGAGUUCGCAUGUGAUUUGGUUUGCUUUGAAAAUGUUUGCGGGCAGAAAUAUAGGUUCUCCGCUAAUCCUUUGUAAAUUUUAAUUACAACAAAUAUCUUCAAAGUUAGAAUCUAAUCAUUUAUAUUAAGUUUAAGACUUUAUUUAAUUUCUACGACAAAUAUUUAAUUAUUUUAGAAUUUAUUUCGGUAUUAUGAGCCCUUAAAAAUAUUUGCGACAAACGAGCCUACAACAUGGCUUGUUUUGUGUGGUUUAACUGAUUCCGAGUGAAAUAAGGUUGGAUGAUUAACAAAUGAUCCUCGAAGUUCAGGCUUAACUAUUUUUGUUAAGUGCUGAACUUGUGAACUUAAGGCAAGGAUUUUAAUACUAAAAAUACCUAAGGAUAUUCCACUCACCAAUAGCAGUUGAUGUAUGGCAUGAUGAAGGGACGUGUAAUGAUUACUACGGUUCUUUACAUAUAUCAAUGGGGAUGUUGCAUACUUCAAGGUACAUAGGCUGUUAGGGGUGAACACGGUUCGAUUUGGACAAUUUGAAAAGUUUCAAACCAAACCAUUUAAAGCGGUUUGGAAUUUUUUCAAACCAAACCAAAUCACUUCAAUUUCUAAACCAAACCGAUCCAAACCAUUUUUUUCGGUUCGGUUUGAUUUAAAACCAUGGUUUAACAAUGAAAAAUUUUUAUAUCAAAUAAGUUAAAUCGUUUAGUCUAAAAUUUCACAUUAAAACAUAACUUGUAUUGUUAAAAAAAUUACAAAUCAAAAUUAUAUAAUUAUAAUCAUAAUAAUGCAACAACAUGAUAAAAAUAUUUUAAACUCUUAACCAAUACUAAUGACAUCCAUUUACAAUUGUAAUACAUAAUUUAUUCUUUUGAAUUCAUUGAUUAUAGUUAAAUGAUAUAACUAAUAAAAGAAAAUGAAUAAAAAAUAAAAUACAAUAAUACCUAGCUACUGUGACUUUUUGUGAAUCAUUCAAUACUUCUACUCUAUCCAAAUAUUAGGAAUUAAUUUAAGGAAGCCUGAUAAUUAUUAGAACAAAACAACACAACUACCAAUAAAAACAUAGAGCACAGUUCUUUACAUAUAUCAAUGGGUACGUAGGCUGUGCUCAUUUAAUUCACGUGUUGCUAACACAUGAUUCGAUUUGAAUUAUUUUUGGAUCAUACUAUAUGUAGAAAUUUUUUUUACAAACUCCCUUACUACUUACAAUGAGGGUGUGGAUCAUAAGUCGACAUUGUUUAAAUUCACGUGGGGUCUGCUAAUUUUGUGAGAGUGAGUACACCAUUUUGUCAACAAGACUUUAUACAAAUAUUAUUAUUCAUUAUUUUUAGGCCCCUUUUUUAUAUCCAAUGCUAAUAUCUUUCAUCAGAAAAUAUAAAUACAACACCUCUAUUAUUUGUUUCUAGAAGUAAGUAGCGUAGUCAGAUGCAAAAAUAGCAUAUAUUAACGUAGAUUGUUUUCAGAGGUUGGAUGAUGUUGUAUGAUGUUUUAAUGAAUGAAGUUUUUCAAAAAAAAUAAUUUGCUUUUCUUUAACUUUGUUGUUAUAUGGUGUUUAAAUGAAUUAUUUACAUAAAUGUAAUAUUAGAAGGUAAUAUGGAUUUCAAAUAGUAUUUAAAAAAAAAGAUAAAUUUUAAUAAGAAUAGAUCUAGAGUGGGAUAGAUAUAUAAAAAGAAUUGGUAAAAAAAUUAGCGGCUCCCUUGACUGCCCAACAGGAAACUUAACACUUUCCAUUUGCUAAUAUGGUAUUAAAAAUUUCAUUUAUAAAAUGGAGAAUUGGGAAAGUUUCAGUUACAGUAUUUUAUGUGUUUGUUUUUACAUUUUUAAGUAUACUUAGCCCUUGGCCCUGUUUUAUCAAAAACUCAUUUUUAAUUGCAUAUUCUUCAAUAAAAUAAUUCCAUACGUAAAUCAAUUUUUUUUUUAGCCGCACAUUCUCCAGAUAACGCUAUUUCCACCAAAAUGGGGGCUCAAAUAAGUGCUUAUUUGAUUCUUUUUAUUUUUAAAAUAUAUAUUUCUCUCUCUUCUCUUCAACAACAUAUUUUUGAAUAAAAUAAUAUUACACAGAAAUCCAAAAUUUUUCCUUAUUUUUUAAUUACACAUUCUCCAUCAAUCUACUGUUCUAAAAUAUAUUCUUUAGAAAUAAUGGAGCUCAAACAGUAGGACAGAUUUUUUUUAGUAUUUAAUGAAAUGUUUUAUUUUUAAUGGUACAUAUAUGGUUUUUCCCCAUUUAUCUUGUCUAUUAAACCAAGUUUACCAUCACUAACAACAGCGGUCCUUUUCUCAAUGGCCAAAUAUCCACCUUCAAUUAGACUCAUUAGGCCAACCAUCCCCAAGAAAUUGCUCCAUAAUCUGUUGCUAAGAACUCGGCACAGCAUGAUUAGGCCCAAUUAAAUCAACAUUAAAAUGCCCAAGUAACUUAGGUUCACUUAGAGAAGUAACGUAUUUUUGUCAAAUAUUUUUUUUUGUUUAUUUACAUUUUUAUUAUUUUAAUUAUUAAUAGCAAUUCAACCCAAACUACUAUUAUCUUGUGAAAUUUGAGCUAAAUGGCUUCUGUAGAUGACCCGUUUAAAGAUGACCCACUUAUGUAAACAUUUUAUUAUGGCUUUAUUUUGUGAGUAUUAAAAUUAAAUUUUUAGUAAUUUUUAUAAAAGUUGAUAAAAUGUACAGUUGAAAAGUUGUGAGUCAUAUAAAAUAUGUGAUUAAAAUGAAUUGUUGACUUCCACUUAAAUUAAAAUCUGAAUUUUAAUUUCUAUCAAACAUUGGCUAUAUAAACUUUCCAUGCUAUUGUGCAAAUUUUCUUAUUUCACUCGAACACUUUUAAAAUGUAUUUUGAAGUGUAGCAUAAUCCCUUAUACUUUGAUUAUUAUUUGCAUAUCUAAAAGAUUUGAGAUUUUACCCUUUUAGAAAAAAUUAAUUUGUCCAAAGAUAGGUAACAUGUUUUCCUUCAUAAUUUGUAUUUUAUUUUUAUUUUUAGUAAAUAAAUACUUUUACUUUGUUGUGGUUAAUUUAGUUAAAAGCACUAUUCUAAAAGGCUAGGAGCCGCUAAUGUGCAAUGCACGGUCGAAAUGCCAAAUCAAGUGGCUUGGAGCUUCAUUUAGCUGUCAACAGCCAUCGUUGACCUCUAAGGUACGGUUAUGCUCAUCUAGGCGGCAUAAUUAUAUAUUUUAUUUAAAUUAUUAUUAUUAUUUUUAUUUUUUUCCCAGUUCUUCUAAAUUAAAACUUAAAUGUUGAUUCUUCACUUCGUUGGUUCUAAAUCUAAAAUAGUCGCUUGAAAUCUUGAACAAAAGAAAUCUCUCAAAAAUUCCUAUUUAUUCACUAUUUAAUAUUUACAAUUGAAACUUAUCUUUUUGUUGAAAACUUUGAAAAAAUGUAUAAAUUUAUUUUAAAUGUUUGGCAGGUAUUAAUUUUAAUUAUUAAAGGAUUUUCAAUUGAUUAAAAAUUAAAAUAAAAAGAUGUCUUUUUACGCUUAUGCCUUGCCUAAGCUUGCCGAGCCCAUAGUUUGGCCUCCACGUAUCGUCACGCAUUAUGUUUUUUAGAACAUUGGUUAAAAGAACAAAAAAGGAAUCAGAAAACAUUUCAAUUAGGAACUUUUUUUUAAAAAAAAAUUUUUUGGUAAAUUUUGUUUGUCGGCACAAUGUGCAUACAUUAUUGGCUCCAAGAAUAAUUGCUUAGGAAUACACCAGAGUUCUGUGGACAGCAAAGAAGAAAAAAAAAGAGAGAAGACAAAAAGUAAAAGCCAAAAAAAAGAAAAAGAAAAAGUAAUGUACCUUACUUUAGCACAGGGUAAUAAUAUAUUAUGCAUCUAUAAAGACAGCUUGCCAUUUAUUUAUGGUCAUAGCAUAUUUACGAGCGUCCUUCCACGAGAAAGAAGAUGACAAAAUUAAAGUCAAGUAAGAUGAUUUUAAUUUACUUUGCAUUAUUUGCUGAGUUUGUGGUUAGUUCUCAAGUUUCCUUUUCAUUUGGAACUCUAUUAUUAAAUUGUUAGUUCAACUAGCAUUCUCGAUAUUAUGCUUUGAAUGAGCUCGUGAAGUAACCAAAAACGUGUUACUUUUUGUGAUCCUUUUAAAAUGCUCGGCAAUUCAACUUUCGUGUGCAGUUUGAAAACACUAUUUAUCACCGAUGUCACGAAAUUUUUUUGAUUUAAGUUAUCGUAAGUACACAGUUCGUUAAUAAGUAGUGAAAUGGAUUUUGAGUCGAGUAUCUUACUCACAGAAAUUGUACUAAUUUAAAUUUAAAUUAUCUUCGGCUUAUUUGAAACAAUGAAACUUAUAAUUUUUCUAUACUCAAAAUGUAAUCACUUAAAUUAUGUAUCAAUGCAGAAUCUAAACUAAUUAAAAUCAAUGCAGAGUUAUAAUUAAAUUAAAUACUAUUCAAUUAUGAAGAUCAAUAUUUCUAAUUUUCUUAACAAUCUCUCUCGAGUAAAAUUAAACAUAUUCUUACAUGUGAUCUGACUAUAUUUCUAUGACAGAUGCAAAUAUACAAAAAUGCAUUAAGGAUUUGGGAUUUAUGAAUACUUAAUGAUCAUAUAGAGUAUAGCAAUAUAUUUCUAUUAUCCUAUCGAACUCUACAACAAUUGACAUUGUGUUUAACUUAUUUUCAAUCUUUCAAAAGUAAAACAAGUCACAAAACUCAUACAAUUAUUGUGCAUAUAAUUGUAGAAAAAAAUAAAUACAUGUCAAUAAUUCAAUAAUUGAGAACAUAUUUUGAAUGUCAAAAAUAAAUAAGGUUAAAAAAUCAAAGGUUUUUUAUAUAAGUUUGAUCAUGAUCAUAGCACAAAAAUCAUAUAAUUAUUCAUAAUAUCAGACUUAAACAAAUAAAAGUGAAACAAUAUCACCAAUAAAUUGAUGGAACGUAAUUAAUUUUCCAAAUUGAGAUUGUCGUGUUUUUCCUAAUAUUUGGCCGAAUUUCUCUUGUGCGUUUUUCUAUCUUCUGCCUCUCUCAGCACGUGUCCCUCUCAUUCUUUUUUUUUCUUUUCUAUUUUUUCAUUUCCCAAUAUUUGGGCCUUUUAAUUCUGUUAAUUCCAAUUUUUUUUCUUUUUUCCCCCCAUUAGGAGUCCAUAUGCCAUUGCCAUUCUCUUCUCUCUCCAAUUCUGCCCUUAGCCUUAAAAUAAAAAAGGAAGUCCAAUUGUGAGUCUAGCCUGUUUAGGUUUUCCAAAUAUAAAUUCUUCCUAAAGUGUCGUUCAUGCGACCUCGAUGAACUAGCGCAAUCAGCAACUGAUGUGAUUGAAAGGGCCAAGGUCAGCGUGACUGCAACAGUAGUGAGAACCGGAGACUGCUCUGUGUAAAGAGCUGUAGCUGGCGAGCUCGACUGCACCAAAGGCAAGGUUGGGGAGGCAAGCUUUUAAAGGACAGCUCAGGGCGGUACCUCUUCAGAGGUUGGACAUCCUUCCCUGUCUUCUCUGAAGCUAAGCUCACCACCGAUGGAACCUCUCUCUUGUUCCCUUUAAAGCAGUUGCUACCUUAGUUGGCUUAUAUCCCAGCAUUUCUGGAUUAUGAGCUGAAAAACACAAAUAAAUACAACAUUUAUCAUUUUUAUAAAAAAUAACCAGCUCUCCCAUAAAAAGUAACUUAAUCCUUACUUGAACUAGCUGGGAUGGAAGUCAAUGUUCCAACUGUGGACGGACUUAGGACUCUUGUUUGGAUUAAACACACUCGAAAGAGGUUGGAAUUCGAGAUCACGUACUUACAGGAACUCUGUCUCUUCAGCAAGGCCCUUAUCUCCUCAGCUCAUCUCUGAGUGUCUUUUUUCAAAGUUGCCUUCUUGUAAUCUGCAAAACAAGGCAAAGUUUAAUAUUACUUCACCAGUUACUUUAACCAUAGCAUCAAAAUAUAGUUACUUACAUAAAGAAUGGUAGAGUGUGGGGACCAUCCUCCCUAUUCACUUCGACAGGGUGAAACUACCACUCCCCUGACACAUAAAAGAAUUUCUCCUUCCACUUCUCGAUGGAGGAGGGAGUGUCCAGCACUAAGGAAUCACCCAUCCUUAGCCUAACACUGGUAUGCCAACAGUCGAAGUUCUUCCCAUCCUUCUUGAAUGUGAAAAGGGAAUUAAACUGCUUUGCACUCAGCUCGGGAUUUCCUAACCUAUUACAUAAGAUUAAGGGGACGAUUAAAGUUCACCACCUGUUGGGGCAUAGCUAAGUGGAAGCUAUACCCCAAAAGGAUAGGAACUUACGAAUGACUCUAGAAAUGGGCAGUCUAAGCUCGGUAUGUAAAAUGGUAGAAUUUAGAGAACACAUCUCCCUGGGGAAGCGUUAGUGCGGUCAAAAGGUUUAGGGAUUAUCAUUAUUAUCAAGCUCGAAAUGUCAUACCUAGCUUGCCAGCUCGAUAACAAAUCACCCGUUACAACCGACUUAUAAGGGUUCGCCUCCCACUCCUCAGGGUUAUUCCUCUCACUACCCCCGUAGGAGCCGACCUCCUCUCCACUCGAACCAUCACGAUCUGAUUCCAUAAUCACAAAGCGCUCUAGAUCUACUGGGUUAACUAUUGAAAUAGGAAUAGGGGUUAAGAUUUCCUGGCAACUAGACGAAGAACUAGAAAUGGGAGGGACCGACUCUUCUUUCUGGUUUCUCCAAGAAUAUACCCUAGACUUGUCGGAGCUUAUGAAAAGGCUGAAGAGAAAAGAAAGGAAGAGAAGAAGCAAAGGAAUACCUAGGAAUUGUGCUGGUUUCCCAGAAGUGUACCUUAGACUCGUUGGAGCUCAUGAAAAGGCUGAAGAGAAGAAGCAAAGGAAUACUUAGGAAUUGAGAACAGACGACCUCACUCAAAAGAAAGAAAGACGCAAUAAAAAAUUUUCUUGCUACUUUGGAGAGAAUGAUUGCAUAGAGUAAAUGGUGAAAUGAAAGGUAGAAAAGGAUUUAAAAUGAAGGAAAACCAAAAGACUCCACCUUGACCAUUGGAUGAAGAAAAUGAGGGAAAAUGGACGGAUCCGAUUCACCCAGUCAAAACUACGUCGUUUUGACAAAACUUUCCAAAGAUUUCAUGAAAGGUGCGGUGCAGCUCAGCCCCAAUAGAAGCAUGACACCUAGUAUUGCAAUAAUGACACUUCUAGGAAAAGUACCAGCUGAGUCUAAAGGCCAGUCGUCUUCCAAAGUAAUAUUGACUUGUGGGGUAUCUGUUGACCACCGACCUACAAUCUCACAUUUAAUGUUCGCAAGACCCAUCUCAUACAUAAACCAGGUAGACUACAUAAGUUCAGCUCAGUCCACUAUCACCAUAAUCCCAAAAGACAUAAUAAUUGAAGAUUCUUUACUCUUCUCCUAUCACCCAAUCAAUCACACACACUUGCUAGAGAUGACAUCAGCACUGCCCAAACCUACCAAUUAACCACCUUGGCUCCCUUAUCCCUUGCAGGCCAUCAUCACCUAAAGAAAACAUUGACAUGAUGACAAACUGACCUCAUCAACCAAUCAAGGUAGAGUGCGGCGACGCAUUGUUCGAGCUCAGUACAAGUUGCUGAUUUGAUUGACAUGACAUAAUUUCGGCUAAGGGCCCCUAUAAAUAGUGGGAAAUGGUUCCCUUUUAAGGCAAGCUAAGCCUUCCACACCUACACAUUGUACAAUUUUACCUUUCAUUAUCAAUACAAAGUGUCAUUUUUCUUAAAGUUGGCUCAAGAAUAGUCCAUAAAAUUUUUGACGUCAACAAAGUCCAAACCCAAUUAAAUUUGAGUUCCAAUCAAAGUGUAUGUCAAAAUUCAUUUUGAUAACAAUUUUCAAUUGGUUCUUGCUAUAUUAAAUUGUAAUUUGCACCAUUGUCCAACAUUAUUUUAGAAUGUGCAUUCUGACCCUCUAGUCCAAUUAAUUGCACAAUCAAUUCAUUUUUUAGUUCAAUUCAAGCCUUUCAAUUUCUAACAUGGAGGGCCCGUUUGAUUCCCCUUUUUCUAAGAAUGAGAAUGAAAAAUAUAGCAGUUACGGGACCCACACAAGAGAUAGAUAGUCAAAUAUAGUAGCUUGAUGUGAUGGAUAAUGGUAAUAUUUUUCAUUUUUAUGGCUAAAGAGUGGGACCAAAUGGGGGCGUAGAAUUAGUAUCCAAACUUCCGUUCAAUGGCCAAUUUAUCCUUUUUCUCUUUCCAAUUGCUUCAAAAUGAGCCUGUAACUAAACAUAGAAGUAAAUUAAUCCAAGUUAAGUAAAAUUCAAUAGUUUCAUGACAUAAAAACUUAGUAGUAUGGUCCGAAUAAGUGCACGAAAAGCACUUAUCAACCUUAUGAGGAACUAGCCCAUCUAAAAUCUUAUCAUGUUAUAAGAAACAUGAAAUUGCACUAUUGGUUCUCAAUUAGUAGAAAACGAGCAUGUUAGUUAUCAACCUCUUUAUAACAUUUGCACAAAAAGUUUUCAAAGAUGAAAAUCGUUCAAAUCUCUAUUAAAUUAUCAUGCAAUCUUGGGUAGCUAUCCAAAAAAUUUAACACUUGGAGUGUGUUUGAUUGACAUGGAAAAUAUCACCUAGAAAAGAAAAUAUUUUCCUUGUUUUAGGAAAAUAAAAACCACCUCCACCCAAGGAAAAUAUUUUUCAUGGAAAAAAAUAGGAAGCAAAUACCCCAAUUAUGAAUUUGGAUGGAAAACUGAAAUUUUCCAUGGAAAAUAAAUGUAAUCAAACACACCAUUAGACAUUCUUCCACAAGAAUAAUGUGGUGGCGCCAAACUUUCCUUUUAUUUAAUGAACUUUGUAUUCGACACAAUCUCCUCACAUACAGGUCGGUGUCAUUGUUUGCAGGUUCGGUAAAGUACAUUGAUUAUGAGCCCUUAUACAAGGCAAUUGAAGAAGGGAAGUGGCAUUCUAUAGUAGAUUUCAUUCGAUGAAAUCCAGAGACCAUUAGGGCAAGAGUUUGUUUUGGACACAAACACACAACUCUAUACAUUGCAACUUUGUUUUGGACAGACUGAAGUUACAGAAAAUCUUGAAAGCCUUGUCCCGUGCUGAGAUGUGUGGUGCGACGAAACUAGCCAAGAAAAUGAUAUAUAAGAACAAAAAUUUAGUUAAAAUAGCGAAGUAGAUUAUGAAAUGAGCAACUUCCUAUGAUUAUGGCUGCAUUGCAUGGAAAAAAGGACAUGGUUCGUUAUUUAUAUAGAGUGACGCCGAAAGAUGAGCUGAGUCCUGAAAAGAGUGAAAAUGGAGUCACACUGCCUUAUUAAUGCUGAAAUUUAUGGUAUGUGGACGUAUAAUUUGUGGAGUCUAAUCAUAUUGUGUAAAAUCUAUCAAUUACAAAUAAAUAUAAUGUUCACGCACAUGUAGAAUAAUUUGUAGGCAGUCAUUUUGUUUCACGUUAGUGAAGACUCAGUUCUCACACUGAGCGUGAAAAUCUCUGUUUGGAUACAAUUUAUAAUAUGGUUAAUAAAUUUGUUAAAGUCAAAUAUUAUUUUCGAACAAACAUUUAUAAUUACUAUUUAUUAUAAUCAAAAAAUUUAGUAGAUCCCGCUAGUAUUCCACUUUACAAAUUGAUUUAUAAAUUUGUCAAACGGAGGCUAUAUAUUUUCUGAUUUUAUUUUAGUAAAGUUGCAGUCGCAAUUGAGAUUAUGGCUCAAUCCCCAUGACAUGAUACCUAAUUCUGGCUGUUUGCUUACUGUAGAUAUUGCUUUUAUGCUAUUGAAAAGUAUCCAAAGUCGUGUGUUACCCCAGAUCAUGUUGACAAUUUGCCUCUCUGAAUAUUGGCUCAGAAACCUUCUGCAUUUCCCAGUGGGACUAAACUGGCAUUUUGGGAAAGACGGAUCUAUUAUAGUAAGUACAAAAAUGCUCUCCUAGUCAUUUCAUUCACAAACAAUGUACCAUGAGAACACAUCUAGAUAAAUUUUAGUUUCUUUUUCAUGCCGUCUCGUACAACAUUACCAACUUGCUAUAAAUGUACAUGUUGAACGUGAUCGUUUUGAAAAGUAAUCACUGUCUGUACUUUUUACACUAGGUGUAAGAGUACAUUCACCUUGGGACGGUCAUGACAUAGAGCAUGUAGAAAUGCAAACCUCUAGUAUUAUUGUUUGUGAAUCAAGCGAUGAAGAUAUAAUGGAAACGAUGGAACAUGGAUUUGGUAUAAAUUAAGCCAUGAUGACUCCUGGACCAUCCCUCUAUCAGCUCAGCCAGUCCAUCCUGGACCUAAGUCUCUUUUUAAAGACAUGUGGACCCAUGGGCCUUCAAAGUUGAGCCCAGCCAACUGUAGAGGUGGGCUGAUCAUGUCAUGGCCUGUGAUGGGACUGGCUGUGCUUUCAUGCGUUAGCUGGCUCUAAGCUUUGAUAACCCAGUUUAACACCUCUAAGUAAAUUCAUGUCGGGCAACUCUAGAGUUGGUGCACAAAUUCGGUUGGGAGAUAUUGCAAUUCCUUGUUAUGUAUAAUCUUCCUACAUAUAUAAUUUCCCACUACGCAUUUUAAUUAUAUAUAAUUUCUGUUUUGAUAAGGUCAGAGACGUUUAAUAUGGUGGAAUAAAUAGCAUUUGACACUAUUGAGGAAGAAAAAAAAAUCUUAUCAGUCAUUCUUAGCAGUAAUAUUGAAUAUGGUGUCCCAAAUGUGCUCUUAGUUCAGUUUUGUUUCUGUCAUUUAAAUGUUGGCGUGUCCAUGGUGUUUUUUUCCAUAUAAAUUCAACUGGGUGAAAUGUUUUCCUUUUAGCCCCAUGUCAUUGAUGAAUUAUAUUUCUCCAGUAUUGUAUUAGACCAUAUGUGCCUGUUCUGCUGGAAUAAAUCAAAUUUGAUCCUCACAUUUUCUAGAAUAAUUCCAUUAUUUGAGGAAUAAUCUUGAAUUUUUAGCAUGUAUAAAUAGAACCACAUGAUGCAAUAUUUUUUAACUCAAAAUAAGUAGUGAAUUUCAGUUUAUAUAUCUCUGUGUUAUCUUGCAUUCAAACUGACAUUAGAGCUUUGAAAAAAGAAAAAAAACUUAUAGAUAUUUAAUGGAAAAAAAAAUUAUGUACACCAAGCAUAACGUGUCCAAUAAUCUGGUUUCCCCUAUGCCUCAUUUCAAUGGAAAAAAUUUGAUAAUUACUUCAUUCAUCAACCAUAUAGACAUUUAUUCAUCCACAAAUAAAUCCAAUUAUUCAAAUUUAUGCAUAGAACAACCCUCGGAAACACUCAACUAUAAAAUCAUGCAAUAAAUCAAGAAUUAGAAUUUCAGAAAAUAAACAAUUCUAGACCUACACUCUGAUAUCUCUUUUUGGGGUUAGGGAACACCCAAAAAAAAAACACCUAUUUAUUGUAUUUCUAACUAAUCACCACAGAAGUGUCUACGACUAUUUCAAGCAAUAAAUUUGUUUAUCUUCUUGCUUGAUGUUGAUUGAUUCACAAACUUCCAAACUAGAUCCCAUCCAAUAAUUGUUCUUUCCUUGAUCUACAAGCUUCAUACCCACUUAGGUAAUGGAAAUUGUAUUUUAUUCAAAUUAUAAUGGAAACUUGAUAACCAAGUUAUAUUCAUAACAAAAUUCAUUUUAGGAGUUGGCCAAACCCAAAUUUUAACUUGUCAAGAUCGUGUGAAAUUUUAACCUUCAAUUAGACUCAUUGGGCCAACUAUCAACCAAUAAAAAGAGGGAAAAAUUCAUAUGUCACGUGUAUUAUUUACACCAUUUCAAAACCCAGGUUGAAAAUUCAAAAUUCAGGUAUGAAUUUAAUUAAUUUUAAUAUUUAUUAAAUAAAUAUAAUAAAGUCACAGUUUAACAAUUAUUGGUCACAAAUUUAUUUAUUGGCCACAUAUCAUCAAAUUAAUUGGUCACAAAAUUUUUCGAGGUCACAAAUCAAAAUUUUUUCAGGUCACAGAUUAUUUUUCAGUCACAGAUUAUCAAAUUUUAAGGUUACAAACCAAAUUUUAAGGUCAUGGACCAUCGCCAACAAAAAAAAAAAAAAUCGGCAAUCAACCCGAACCACCCCACCUUGAUCUCGAUCCACCACUACCUCUAUCAAAUCUCCAACCACCAACCACCACCUCGAUCAUUGCUAGAAACCACCAAGACCGUCACCACCAAUCACACAACACCCCCAACCCACAACCUCACCAACAUAACCACGUCUCCUAACACAACCACUAUCAGAAACUUCAAACAAUACACCAACGGUACCUCCCAACCUCAACAUCACCACCUAAAUCAUGACACCACCAACACCACUAUACUCACGAUGCCCCACAAACCAGAUUCGAAGCCACCAACCCACCACAUCACAUUUGAACCACUGCAAAUUGAUCAACACACCACUACACACCAGCAUGCCACCACCACCGUAUCCUCACCCACCAUCACCGCAACCAGCCACACCACUAUCUCACAGCAUCGAUUUAAGAUUGAAUGUCGCUGCAGCGACUAAGAUCUGAGCGUGAGCAUAGUUUGCUGCAGCAGCGCUCAUAUCCAAGCAUCGCCACAACAUAUCGUCAGGUAAAUAUGGUAGACUAACUGGAGAUUGAUGGAACCGACGACGGAUGAUACACAACGGGGAUGAAGAUGAAUCGAAAUGGGUGGAGAGAAAAUAAAUGGGUACAGGGAAAGAGGGCUGUGAGAGAGAGAGAGACGAGGAUAUGAAUUUGUUUAGGGUUUCUUUGGGUGGGGUGUGUAUAAAUAUAUAAUACCUGAUUUCUGAUUAAAAAAACUUUCAACCUAAUUUCUGUAUUGUCAUUUUUAAAUACCUAGAUUUUUGUAAUUUCCACAUAAAAAGAUCCAUAUUUUGCUGCUUAGCACUUGGGCCACCACUACUAGGUCCAAUUAAAGUAGGCCAAACUACUAUUAUCUUGUGAAAUUUAAGCUAAAUGGCUACUGUAUACUAUGGUAGACCGUGGGCCGUAUAAGCAUCUAACCCAUUUAAAGAUGACCCACUUAUGUAAUUUUCUCUAAAAAAAAUGUUUCCUAUCUAUGAAAAAAACAUUUUAUUUGAGUAAAUUACACAAACUCUCUAGGCUGCUCUGUUGUAUAAAUUUUCCUAUUUAACUAGAACACCUCACAAAAAAUAUUAAAAGGUGUAGCAUAAUCCAUUAUAGUUUGAAUAUUAUUUGUGUAUUUAAAAGAUGAGAGAUUUUACCCAUCAGAAAACAAUAUCCCGAAGUUAGGAUAAAUGUUUUCCUCCUAAAUUGGUAUUUUAUUUUUAUUUCAGUAAAUAAAUACUUUUACUUUGUCAUGGUGAAUUUAACCAAAAGGAAAAAAAUGGAAAAACUGAAAACAUUUCAAUUAGGAACAAAUUUUUUUCUUUUUCCUUUUUUUUUGGGUAAAUUUUGUUUGUCUGCACAAUGUGAGGCACAUUGUUGGCCCUCCAAGAAGUUGAGAAUAAUUUCUUUGGAAUACACCAGUUUUGUGGACAACAAAGAAGGUUAAAAAAAGGAAAGAAGACAAAAAGUAAAAGUAAAUAAGAAAAUAAAAAAAUGUACCUUACUUAAGCAUAGAGUAAUUCUAUAAUAUGCAUCUAUAAAGACUGAUUGCCCUUCUUGAUGAUCAUAGCAUACUUACAAGUGUUAUCCCAGUGAGAGAAGAUGACAAAAUUAAAGUCAAGUCAGAUGAUUUUAAUUUACUUUGCAUGAUUUGUUGUGUUUAUAGUCCCCCCCCCCNNNNNNNNNNNNNNNNNNNNNACCCCCCCCCCCCCCCUCAAGUUUCCUUUUCAUCUUGAGCUCUAUUAUUGAAUUGCUAGUUCAAUUAACAUUCUCGAUAUUGUGCUUUGAAUAAACUCGUGAAGUAAUCAAGAAUAUACUACUUUUUCUGGUCCCUUUACAAUGCCGGGCACUUCAACUUUCUCGAACAAUUUGAAAGCACUGUUUGUCACCCAACUUAUAGCACUGUUUCAUUUAGUCAUCAAUUCUUUUUUAAGUUUACCACUGAACUUUCAUUUUGAUUGACAAGUAGAUAGAAGGCAUAAUCUAGCGGGUCUAGGAAUUGUGCCAGAGAAGCUAACUGAGGAUAACUUUAAAAGAAGUUGAGAAUAAAUUCUUUUUGAAUAAACCAGUUCUGUGGACAACAAUGUGAAACACAGUGUUGGCCUUCCAAGAAGUUGAGAAUAAUUUCUUUUGGAAUACACCAGCUCUGUGGACAGCAAAGAAGAAUAAUACACCAGUUCUGUGGACAACAUUGAGUGAAGUACAUUGUUCGCCCCCAAAAAGUUAAGAAUAAUUACUUCGGAAUACACCAGUUCCGUGGACAUCAAAGAAGAAUAAUACACUAGUUCUAUGGACAACAUUGAGUGAAGCACAUUGUUAGCCCUCCAAGAAGUUAAGAAUAAAUUCUUUGGAAUACACCUAUUCUAUGGACAGCAAAGAAGAAUAAUACACCAGUUUUGUGGACAACAAUGUGAAGCACAUUGUUGGCCCUCCAAGAAGUUAAGAAUAAUUUCCUUGGAAUACACCAAUUCUAUGGACAACAAAGAAUAAUAAUACUCCAGUUCUAUGGACAACAAUGUGAAACACAUUGUUGGCCCUCCAAGAAGUUGAGAGUAAUUUCUGUUGGAAUACACCAGUUCUGUGGACAGCAAAGAAGAGUAAAAAAAAGGAAAAAAGAUAAAAACUAAAAGUAAAUAAAUAAAAAAUGUACCUUACUUAAGCAUAGAGUAAUUCUAUAUUAUGCAUCUAUAAAGAUUGAUUGCCCUUCUUGAUGAUCAUGGCAUACUUACAAGUGUUAUCCCAGUGAGAGAAGAUGACAAAAUUAAAGUCAAUUAAGAUGAUUUUAAUUUACUUUGCAUGAUUUGGUGUGUUUAUAGUGUUUUUUCUCAAUUUUCCGUUUCAUCUCGAGCUCUAUUAUUGAAUUUCUAGUUCAUUUAACAUUCUCAAUAUUGUGGUUUGAAUAAAACUCGCGAAGUAAUCAAGAAUAUAUUACUUUUUGUGGUCCAUUUACAAUGUCGGGCACUUCAACUUUCUCGAACAAUUUGAAAGCACUGCUUGUCACCCAACUUACAUCACUGUUUCAUUUAGUCAUCAAUUUUUUUUAAGUUUAUCACUGAACUUUCAUUUUGAUUGGCGAAUGGAUAGAAGGCAAUCUAGCGAGUCUGGGAAUUGUGUCGGAGAAGCUAACUGAGGAUAACUUUAUAAGAAGUUGAGAAUAAUUUCUUUUGGAAUACACCAGUUCUGUGGACAACAAUGUGAAGCACAUUGUUGGACCUUCAAGAAGUUGAGAAUAAUUUCUUUUGGAAUACAAUAGUUCUGUGGAUAGCAAAGAAGAAUAGUACACCAGUUCAGUGGACAACAUUGAGUGAAGCACAUUAUUGGCCCUCCAAAAAGUUAAGAAUAAUUUCUUUAGAAGCACAUUGUUGGCCCUCCAAGAAGUUAAGAUUAAUUUCUUUGAAAUAUAACAGUUUGGUGGACAGUAAAGAUGAAUAAUAUACUAGUUCUGUGGACAACAAUGUGAAGCACAUUGUUGGCCUCCCAAAAAGUUGAGAGUAAUUUCUUUUGCAAUACACCUGGACAACAAAGAAGAAUAAAGAAAAGGAAAGAAGACAAAAAGUAAAAGUAAAUAAAUAAAAAAUGUACCUUAAGCAUAGAGUGAAUUACGUCUAUAAAGAUUGAUUGCCCUUCUUGAUGAUCAUAUCAUACUUCCAAGUGUUAUCCUAGUGAGAGAAGAUGCCAAAAUUAAAGUCAAGUCAGAUUAUUUUAAUUUACUUUGCAUGAUUUGUUGUGUUUAGAGUUUUUUUCCCCUCAAGUUUCCUUUUCGUCUUGAGCUCUAUUAUUGAAUUGCUAGUUCAAUUAACAUUCUCGAUAUUGUGCUUUGAAUAAACUCGUGAAGUAAUCAAGAAUAUAUUACUUUUUGUGGUCCCUUUACAAUGUCGGGCACUUCAAAUUUCUCCAACAAUUUGAAAGCACUGUUUGUCACCUAACUUACAGCACUGUUUCAUUUAGUCAUCAAUUCUUUUUUAAGUUUGUCACUGAACUUUCAUUUUGAUUGACGAACAGAUAGAAGGCAUAAUCUAGUGGACUCGAAAAUUGUGCUGGAGAAGCUAACUGAGGAUAACUUUAUAAGAAGUUUAGAAUAAAUUCUUUUUCAAAUAAACUAGUUCUGUAGACAACAAUGUGAAGCACAGUGUUGGCCUUCCAAGAAGUUGAGAAUAAUUUCUUUUGGAAUACACCAUUUCUGUGGACAACAUUGACUGAAGCACAUUGUUCGCCCCCAAAAAUUUAAGAAUAAUUACUUUGGAAUACACCAGUUCUAUUGACAACAAAGAAGAAUAAUACACUAGUUCUAUGGACAACAUUGAGUGAAGCACAUUGUUAGCCCUCCAAGAAGUUAAGAAUAAAUUCUUUGGAAUACACUAGUUCUGUGAACAGUAAAGAAGAAUAAUACACCAGUUCUGUGGACAACAAUGUGAAGCACAUUGUUGGCCCUCCAAGAAGUUAAGAAUAAUUUCCUUGGAAUACACCAAUUCUAUGGACAGCAAAGAAGAAUAAUACUCCAGUUCUGUGGACAACAAUGUGAAGCACAUUGUUGGCCCUCCAAAAAGUUGAGAGUAAUUUCUGUUGGAAUACACCAGUUCUGCGGACAGCAACGAAGAGUAAAAAAAAGGAAAAAAGAUAAAAACUAAAAGUAAAUAAAUAAAAAAUGUACCUUACUUAAGCAUAGAGUAAUUCUAUAUUAUGCAUCUAUAAAGAUUGAUUGCUCUUCUUGAUGGUCAUAGCAUACUUACAAGUGUUAUCCCAAUGAGAGAAGAUGACAAAAUUAAAGUCAAGUAAGAUGAUUUUAAUUUACUUUGCAUGAUUUGGUGUGUUUAUAGUGUUUUUUUUCUCAAUUUUCCUUUUCAUCUCGAGCCCUAUUAUUGAAUUUCUAGUUCAUUUAACAUUCUCGAUAUUGUGAUUUGAAUAAAACUCAUGAAGUAAUCAAGAAUAUAUUACCUUUUGUGGUCCAUUUACAAUGCCGGGCACUUCAACUUUCUCAAAUAAUUUGAAAGCACUGCUUGUCAUCCAACUUACAUCACUGUUUCAUUUAGUCAUCAAUUCUUUUUUAAGUUUAUCACUGAACUUUCAUUUUGAUUGGCGAACAGAUAGAAGGAAAAAUCUAGCGGGUCUGGGAAUUGUGUCAGAGAAGCUAACUGAGGAUAACUUUAUAAGCUGGAAAAAUUGCUUGACAAAUUAUUUAGUUGGGAAUGGGCUUUGGGGUGCUGUCUCUGCUCAGGAGAUUGAACCAGAUAAGACAAAUAAACAAGAGCAUGAAAAAUGGAAGAAAAAGAAUGCUUUGGCUUUGCAUGCAAUUCAACUUUCAUGUGGACAAGCAAUAUAUUCGAAGUUUAAAAAUGCCGACAUUAAUGCUAACUACGUAUGGACUCAGUUGGCAGAACAAGGAGAUCAUGACAAAGAAAGUCGAGUCGAAGAUAAUGGUAAUUUCUCAAUCUUUGUGAUGAACUAGGCCGUCUAAAAUUUUAUUGUGUUAUAAGAAAUGUGAAAUUGCACUAUAGGUUCUCAAUCAUUAAAAAAUGAGCAAAGAACAAUGUGGUGGUGCCAAUCUUCUCUCUUAUUUAGUGAAAUCUGCAUUUGACACAACUCCGUCACAUUUAGGCCGACUUCAUUGUUUGCAGGGUUGAGCGAGUACCUUGAAUAUGGGCCCUUAUACGAGGCAAUUGAAAAAGGUAAUUGGCAUGAUAUAGAAGGUUUCUUUCAGGAAAAGACACUACCAUUUACUGAAAGUGUUUCAUCACACAAAGAGACAGCUCUACACAUGGCAACUUUAUCUGGACAAACUGAAAUUGUGAAAAAACUUGUAAAAUUGAUGGGCCCAAAAGAGUUAGAACUGAAAAAUGAACAUGGAGCUACAACCUUAUCUUUUGCUGCAAUAUGUGGUGCGACAGAACUGGCUAAGGAAAUGGUAAGCAAGAACGAAGAAUUAGUUACAAUAGAAACUGCAGGCCAAGAAUAUGGACAACUUCCUGUGAUGGUGGCUGCAUUGUAUAGACAGAAGGGCAUGGUUCAUUAUUUAUACAAUAAGAUGGCAAAAGAUGUGCUGAGUCCUGAAAAGGGUGCAAAUGGAGUCACACUACUUAAUUACCUUAUUAGUGCUGAUAUUUAUGGUAAGUGAAUGCAUAAUGUGGAGUCUAAUCAUGCUCUAUGAGGAUAAAGCCCCUUGGGAUAUUGCCAUGGAAUUGUGCCACGGGUAAGAUGGCAUAUUAAGAUUGGUAAUGUUAAAAUAGUUUUUUGUCUAAUUGCUAAUCAGAGUUUGCUUAGUGUGAAUUUAAAAUUCCAUGGCAAUGUAGCAUGAUCGGCUCUCUAUUAAUUUCGUCAAUUGUAGAUAAACGUAAUAGUAAUGCGUAUACAUCGGAUUUUCAAUUUUGUUGGUGGUAAUUUUGUUUCACAACGUGCUUCUCCAAUUGAGCAUGAAACACUGAAAAUUUCUGUUUGGAUAUAACUUAUAAUAUGCUUAAUAAACCUAGUUAAAGUUAAGCAUUAAUUUGAAUCACACAUUCGUAAUUCCUAUUCAUUACUUUCAAAAAUUUAGUGGGUCCCAGUACUAUUCCUCUUUAUAAAUUGAUUUAUAACUUUGUCAAAUGGAGGCUAUAUGUUUUUUUAUUUUGUUUUAGUAAAAGUUGCCAUCGUAAUUGAGAUUUGGGCUUAAUUCUCUAGAGAUGUAUACCUAAUUCUGGCUAUUUUGUUACUGUAGAUGUUGCUUUGUUGCUAUUGGAAAAGUAUCCACAGCUGGGUGUUAUCCCAGAUGUUAAUGACAAUUACGCUCUCAAAUUAUUGGCUCAAAGGCCUUCAGCAUUUCCUAGUGGGACUGAACUUUCAUUUUGGAAAAAAUUGAUCUAUUACUGUAAGUAUGUAAUUGGUCACUUGUUAAUUUCAUUCACAAACAAUGUACCAUAAGGGUACAUUUAGAUAAAGUUUAGGGGCUGUUUGAUAGCCCUUUUUUUUUUUUUAGGGAAAAUAGAAAACUACUUCUAACUUCCACUUUUGACUUGUUUGAUUGACAAAAUUUUUCAAGGAAUUCAUUUUCCACCUUUGGCCACCACGUUAGCAUUUUCCAUCUUUUUCUUGAAUUCGAAUUCUCACCACAUUGGUGAGAAUUCGUUUUCUGGGUUACUGUAGCAAUUUUUUAAUUUUCAUUUAUUUAUUUAUUUAUUAUUAUUAUUAUUAUUAUUAUUAUUAUUAUUAUUAUUAUUAUUAUUAUUAUUUUCGUUUACAAUGGAAACAAAUUUUAAGAAUUAUUGUAAAAAAAUUUAUCCCUUUAUUUGACAAUUUUCAUGUAAAACAAAGACAAACGAACACCAAAAAAAUAGAUGAUUUUCCCAUUAUUUAUUUAUUUUUUGGCAAUGGAAACAAAUUUUAUCCCCAAUACCAGUAAAUUCUAUCCAUUUAAUUGACAAUUUUCAUGUAAAACAAAGUAAGACAAACAUCAAAAAACACUUUUAUUUUAACAUUUUUCAUGUGGAAAAUUAUAUCAAUCUGACACAAUAAUUUACAAUUCACAGGAAAACAAUUUCUAGACAAUUUAAUUCCCUGAAAUUUAUUUUCUUUCCACCCAAAUUCCAUCUUUGCAAUCGAACAGAUCCUUAGUUUCUUAUUCGUACUGUCUACUACAAUAUACAAAUGUGCCAUAAACUCACUUGUUGAAUAUGAUCGUUUUGAAAAGUAUUCCUUGUCUGAACUUUUUACACAAGGUGUAAGAGUACAUGAAGAGCAUGUAGAAAUGCAAACAUCAAGUACUAGUCAUGAUUACAACAUUCAAAUUCCUGAAUCAAACGACGAAGAUUUGGCAGGAAUGAUGGCACAUGGUGGCCUAACUUUAACUACUCGAGGUACAUCAGAUUAUGUCACACUCCCCCUUUUUUCAGGUUUUCUUCACACAUCCUAAAUUUAGUUUAGAGGUAUAAAUUAGGCGAGUAUGACUCCUGAACCUUCACUAGCUUGGAUCAGCCAGUGCAUCCCAUGCCUAAGCCUUUUUAAAUUUAUUUUGAACAUGUGGACCUAUGUGUUAACGGUAGAUUUGGGCUGACUGCACCAUGUCCUAGUCCGACUGUGCUUUCAUAUGUUAAGUGGCCCUAGGCUUUGAUAACACACUACAUUUUGACACCUCUAAAUAAAUUCUUGUUGUGCAGCUCUAGAGUUGGUGCGCAAAUUGGGUUGGGUGAUAUUGUGGUCCAUUGGUAUGUAUUAUCUUCCUAUAUAUAUAGUUUCUACUACACAUGUGUAUGUGUACUGAAAAUCAAUUACACAUGAAACGUUAUUUAAUAUUAUUUUUAUUAAUUUUCAGUUCCAGGGAUCCGUUACAUAUACCGAAGGAAGUCAAUCCAUGUCCAAGUUAGGAAAUUCCUCAGGAUCGUGCUUAAAAAAAUGUUACAAUUGAGCAAACCGGAGCUCGAAAAAAUGGACUUGGAUAAAAUAAUAAAUGAUGCCAUAAAGAAUGGAAUUUUUGAAUUGAUAGAUGAAAUGAUUAAAUGUGCACCAGAAAUUAUAUGGAGAAAAGAUAAAAAAGGGAGAACAAUUUUUUCGAAUGCAAUUAUAUCGCGUCAAGAGAAGAUUUUUGGCCUCAUAUUUACUUUAGAAAAAGAGAAGUGUUUAAUGGGAAUGAGGUAUGAUAUUUUUGGCAACAAUUAUUUACAUCUUGCUGCAAAAUUGUCUCCUCCUUCUCGACUUGAUAUUGUAACUGGAGCAGCACUACAAAUGCAAAGGGAACUGCAAUGGUUUGAGGUAACGUAUUUUGCUCGGUUACGUGAGUGAGUGUGUGUGUGUGAAUGCAUGUGUAUGUAUGCUGUCAUGAUUGUUAUUCGAGCCAUUUCUUCUGCAAACUUAAGCUGAUGAAAGAUAUCAUAAAUUUAUUUAUUUGAAUUUUAUAUUAAAUGUGUUCCCUCUCUAUAACACCUGCACAGUUCUCAUAAAUAGGUGACAAUUAUCAAAGACAUAAUUCACAUAAAUAAAUUUGUCUUUUUUCUGAAAGUUUAAACUUUAGACGAGAUGAUUCAAUAUGAUAUUAUUGUGAAAAUAAUUAAAGACAUAAUUCAAGUCUUGUGACCAUCUAUUUAUGAAAAAUUGUGCACUUGAUUUCGUCCCUAAAAUUCAUAAUAUUUUGUUUACUCUAAUGCUGCACAUUCAUCUAACUUAUCUGAAAUUGAAUCUUCAUUCUAUGUUAUUUCUUCCAAUAUGCAGGAAGUUGGGAGCAUGGUACAACCCAAACUCAAAGAGGAACUAAACAACCACAACAAAACACCGAAAAUUUUAUUCACUGAAGAGCACGAGAAGUUAGCCAAAAAAGCCGAGGACUGGAUGAAAAAUACAGCAGGGUCAAGCAUGAUAGUGGCAACUCUAAUUGCUGCUGUAAUGUUCACAACAGCUUUCACAGUACCAGGUGGUAAUAAAAAUGAGACAGGAAUGCCAACAAUGCUGGAAACUCAAAGGAUUCCAUUCUUGAUUUUCAUGAUUUCGAAUGCUCUGUCGAUGUUCAGUUCAAGUACAUCACUGUUGAUUUUCUUGGGAAUUCUUACAGCGUGUUAUGCAGAAGAUGAUUUUCUCAAGUCCUUACCGACAAAAUUAAUAUCAGGACCGACGAGUUUGUUCCUUUCGAUUGUUACCAUGAUGGCAUCCUUUGGUUCUGCAUUGUAUUUGAUUCUUCAUGAGAAUUUGUCUUGGGUCACCGUUCCUAUCAUCGUCCUUACAACGAUUCCAAUAGUUCUUUUCUCCAUCUUGCAGUUUCCUCUCUUGAUUGAGAUGACCCAACGUACUUAUGGAGCCGGGAUAUUUGAUGAAUAUACGAAGAAAUCCCGUUUUGCUAAGUUCAGAGCAUGUUUGAUAAGGAGGAAUCCAUUGAGGAAGAAAAGACAUUAAAAAUUUUAUAGGUCUUACUAUAGAGUACUAUUGAAUAAGGUGUCCCAAAUGUGCUGUUAGCUCAUUUUGGUUUCUGUCAUUUUGAGUAAUGAUGUAUCCAUAGUGUUUUUUCUUCUGAAUAAUUUGUCAUUUUGGUUUCUGUCAUUAUUGGAUCUAAUUAAGUGUCUCGUAGAAUUCCGUUGUUUGAAGAGUCAUCUUGAAUUCUUAGUAUGUACAAAUAGAAGCACAUGUAGCAAUAUUUUGUAAUGCAAAUACGAAGUGAACUUUAGAUUAUAUAUCUCCAAAUUAUCUUGCCUUCAAACUGGUAUUAAAGCCUUGAAAAAGAAAAAAAAUAACGUCCAUCAAUCUUGUUUCUCUUGUGCCUCAUUUUAAUGGAGAAAAAAUUGAUUAAUAUUUCAUUCAUCAACCAUCCAUAAAUUUAUUUAUCCAUAAAUAAAUCCAAUCAUUCAAAUAAAUGCAUAAAACAACCCUAGGAAUCGCUCAACUAUAAAAUCAUGCAAUAAAUCAAGAAUUAGAAUUACAACACACGAUUCUAGACCUAUACUCUAUUACCACUUUUUGAAAACUGGUCCGUUAGGAUUAGAAAAAAAAUAAUUCAAAAUAAGUUUAAUAGACCAGAUCUUUACUAGAUUACUAUGUGUUGCAUUUCUAAUUAAUUGCCACAUUAGUGUUUGGAUGAUACACCUAUUCUGAGCAAUUAAUUUCUUUAUCUUCUGUAUUGAGGUUGAUUGAUUUGCAAGCUUUAAAAUUAGAUCCCAUCGAAUACUUACUCCUUCCUUGAUCUACAAACUUCUAACACUGAGAUCUUAUCUCUGCUCUUCUCCACAACCUGGUUGCACCUGAUUUAUGGGACCAAUUAUCGAAUUCCUAAUCCUCAAGAACUCACAAGAAAAUAUUAUGAUAUCAAGAACUCUCUCAAGUAAUGGAAUUCGUAUUGAAUAUGUACGUUCUUUCACGGUCCAUUAGAUUUAUUUAUGUAGAACUAAAUAGCCUUGUUCAUUUAUCCAACACGAUUAGGAUUCAAAUUAUAAAGGAACCACGUUAUAUAAACAAUAAAAUUCCUUUUAGGACUUGUACAAUCCCGAAUUUUGACUCAUCAAGAUCGUGUUCUCUUUUGAUCAAUGCCUGACUUUAGUAAAGUUUGACCUAUUCAACUAUGCAAUCUGUCAAUUCAAUUUUUACUAUAAUUAAAUCAAAAUUUUUAUCUGAAGCUAUCAAAGGCACCUAAUUGGACCUAUAUAAUUCAAGCUUCAGAUUGUUUGGGCCCAUUAACUCGGAAGAAAGAUCAGAAAAUAGAGAAAAAUUGCGAAAUUCCAAGUUCUUGCAGUUCCCUCUCUUGAUUGAGAUGACAUAUCGGACUUAUGGAUUCGGGAUAUUCAAUAAACCUAAGAAGAAAUCCUAUUUUGCUAAGUUCCGAGCAUGUUUGGCUUGGUGGAAUAAAUAGUGUUUGCCACUAUCGAGGAAGAAAAUAAAUUAAAGUCUUAUCGAUCAUACUAUAUAGUACUAUUGAAUAUGGUGUCCCAAAUGUGCUCUUAGUUUAUUUUGGUUUCCGUUGUCGUAAUUGUUGAUGUAUCCAUGGUGUUAUUUCAUAUGAAUUCCACUAGCUGAAAUAUUUUCCUUUUAUCCACAUGCCAAUGAUGAACUCUAUUUCACCAUUGUUGUGGCAUUAAAUUAGACUAUUUGUGCCUAUUCUGUUUGAAUAAACUAGUUUGAACCUCACAUAUUCAAUAAUGAUUCAUGUAUUGGAUCUAGUCAGUGUCUCAUAGAAUUCUAUAGUUUGAGGAGUCAUCUUGAAUUCUUAGUAUGUAUAAAUAGACCCCUAUGUUGCAGUGUUUUUUAAGGCAAAAUAAGAAGUGAAUUUUAGAUUAUAUAUCUCCAAAUUAUAUUGCCUUCAAACUGGUAUUAGAGCCUUCAAAUAAUAAUAAUAAUAAUAAUAAUAAUAAUAAUAAUAAUAAUAAUAAUAAUAAUAAUAAUCUUGUAUUCCUUGUGCUUCAUUUUAAUGGAAAAUUUUGAUUAUUAUUUCAUUCAUCAACCAUACAUACAUUCAUCCAUCCAUGAAUAAAUCCAAUCAUUCAAAUACACACAUAGAACAACUCUAGGAAUCGCUCAACUAUAAAAUCAUGCAAUAAAUCAAUAAAUAGAAUUACAAUACAAGACAAUUUUAGACCUACACUUUAAUACCACUUUUUGAACUGGUCACUAGGUUUAGGAAAAACAAAGAAAAAAAUGAAAAUAAGUCUAAUGGACCAAAUCUUCACUAGAAUACUGUUGUUGCAUUUCUAAUUAAUUGCCACAGAAGUGUUUCGAAGUUAAACCUAUUCAAAGCAAUCAAUUUCUUUAUCUUCUUGCAUGAGUAUUGAUUUGCAAGCUUCCUUCUUAAUCCCAAAAGCUAGCUUAAGAGGUGAUGCUUUUUUUUACACUUAUAAACUAACCACCAGCUCUUUUCAAUUAAAAACAACAAAGAAUUUGUAAAACCAGCAAUGAUAUAUGAGAUGAAAUGGAAGGACCAACUUAAUUCUUUUGUGUAUUACAAUGGCUUUAUAUAGUAGAGCUUAGUAUACAAAAAUAUGGAAUACACUAAAGUUAUGGAAUUUACAAUUGUUAUGAUUGACAGAAUUGUGGAGAGGUCAAUGGGAUGCUGAGAUCACGUUGGAGGUGAUUGUGGAAUCCAUACUGAUAUGGAAUGAGUAGUCUUGCAUGGAGGAGAUCAAGGAGUAUUGUGAUUGCUGCGAUUGCUUGGUUUAACACCCCCCCUCCCCGUAAAGUGAUGGGGAUGAUCAUCACCAUCAGUUUGGACCGAAGUACACCAAAACGAGCGGUUGUUUUCCCCCUUUGUGAAGAUAUCAACAAUCUGAUCUUGGGUGGAAAUAUGUUACACCUGAAUGUCUUUAUUGAGGACCUUUUCUCGAAUGAAGUGGUAGUCAAUUUCCACAUGUUUCGUGCGGGCAUGGAAAAUGGGAUUAGAGGCCAAGGCGAUAGUGCCAAUGUUAUCACACCAUAGUGUAGGAGUGUAUGGUGGGAAGACACCAAGUUCCUUAAGGAGCAUUCUUAUCCAAUAGAGUUCGGCUGUGGCGAUGGCCAUGCUUCUAUAUUCGGCUUCAUUGUUACUCUUGGAGACAAUUGGUUGUUUCUUGGCAGACCAUGAUAUCAAAUUUUGACCCUAGAAAACUGCAUAUCCAGUAGUGCUGCGAUGAUCAUCAGGAUUACCGGCCCAAUCUGAGUCACAAAAAGCUUGAAGAAUAAUAGAUCCUUGAGUGAAUAGUAGAUCGGUAUCAAUACUACACUUUAGAUACCGAAGCACUCUUUUGACAACAGGCUAAUGAUGUUCAUGUGGGGAAUGCAUAAAUUGACAAAUUGAUUUACGACAUAUGCAAUAUCCGGUCUAGAGAAAGUACAAUAUUGAAGUGCCCUGCCCACUCUUCUAUACUCUGUUGGAUCAGACAAUAAAGAACCUUCUAUAGAAGAUAACAUCGGACUAGAUGUAGUAGGGACCCAAGGGGCUUUGCAUCAGUCAUCUUGGUGCUGUGUAGUAAAUUUAUUUUGUACUGGGCUCGAUGAAGAUAUAGGCCUUGAGAAUCUCUUGAUGCUUGAACACCUAAAACGAAACUCAAAUCUCCAAGAUCUUUAACCAUGAAGUUAGUUGAUAGAGAUUGAAUAAAAGUGUUAAUGGCAUGUGAGCUUGAUCUAGUAACUAUAAUGUCAUCAACAUAUAUCAACACAAAUAGUUUCGCAAUCUCAGUAGUAUAGACAAAAAGUGAGUAGUCAGCGGCUGAUUCAACAAAGCCAUACUCAAGUAGGUGUUGGGACAGUCAUCUAAACCAAGCUCUCGAAGCUUGUUUAAGGCCAUAAAGUGACUUAUGAAGCUUGCAAACAUAAUCAGGACGAGUCUCAUCGAAAAACCUCGUGGUUGUUCCAUAAAUAUCUCUUCAUCAAGAUAGCCAUGCAGAAAAGCAUUUGAAAUGUCUAAUUGUUGAAUAGGCCAAUUAAAUGAAACAGCCAAAGCUAACACAAUGCAAAUAGAAGUAGGUUUUACCAUAGGAGAAAAAGUGUCUGUGUAUUCGACACCACACUGUUGAUCAAAGCCUUUUGUGACCAAACGGGCUUUAAAUCGUUCAAUGCUUUCAUUAGACAAUCUCUUGAUUUUAUAGACCCAUUUGUUGCAUACAACAUGUUUAACGUGUGGGCGAGGAUAAAGUGACCAAGUCCCAUUCACCAUUAGUGCAUCAAAUUCCCAUCCCAUUGCUUCACGCCAUGCUGGAGAGGCAACUGCUUGUGUGUAAUUGGAUGGUUCAGUGUCAGUGAUAAUAGAGGAGAGUACCUGCAAGGGAUACUUGGUCGUAUAAAACAUUGUAAAAUCAGGAAAGGCCUUAGGUUUUGAGUUUCCAGUCAUUGAGUGGGUUGUUGCCCGAUUGGGGUAUGGGACAGGGAUAGGGAAUUCAUGUGAGGUAAUUUGUUCUAUAGGCUGGGUUUCAAGUUUUUCUGAAUUUGGAGUUUCAAGGUCUUGGGUUUCAAAUUGUAGUGGAGAAAUGGGAUUCGGGAAAAGGGCUUGUGACUGAGUGAGGGUCUCAUGGGUACGUGAUGCUAUUGGGUCGAUGGCAAGAGUUGAUGGAAUAGGAAUAUUUGAAAUUGAAAGAGGUGAAGGAGAAAGUAUACCAGGCAAGCUCGAGCUUGACGGCGUAGGAGAAGUUUGGACUUGACCAUUUGCAGGAAAAUGUUUUUCAUCAAAAAUUACAUUUCGUGACACAUAAACAUGUCCUGUAGCUAGGUCAAGAUAGUGGCAACCUCUUUGUUGACUAGCAUAUCCUAUGAAAACACAUACUUUGCUUCUAAAGGACAAUUUAUGAGGCUCAUAUGGUCUUAAUAAAAGGAAACAUGCUGAUCCAAAUAUGCGAAGGUGAGAGUAUCGGGGAACGGUUUUAUGGAGCAUGUAAAAAGGUGUUAAAUUAUUUAAAACUUUUGUUGGAAGUCUAUUUAUUAAAUAUACUGAUGUCAAGAAUGCAUCUGGCCAAUAUGUAUGGGAAAGGUGCGACCGAGCUAAUUGGGUGAGACCCGUUUCAACAAUGUGGCGAUGUUUUCUUUCGGCUAUACCAUUUUGUUGAGAUGUGUGAGGACACGUUAAGCGAUGAAAAAAAAUUUUCUUGCAAAUUUUUUUUAAAUUGGGUAGAGAGAUAUUCACCCCCGUUAUCUGUUUGAAAUUGUUGAAUUUUAUAAGAAAAUAUAUUUUCCAAAAGUGCUUUGAAUUGUUUGAAAAUUCUGAAAACCUCAUUUUUAUAAAUUAAUGGGUAGAGCCAAGUGUAGCGAGAAUAGUCAUCAACAAAAAUACCAUAAUAUUUGGAACCACCAACUAAAUACACAGGAGAUGUCCAUACAUCAAAAUGAAUAAGAGAUAAAGGACGUGAAGACUGACAACUAGCCUCACUAAAGGGUAAUUGUUUAGCUUUCCCUAGGGGACAUGCUGAACAGAACCCUAAUUUAUUAGAUGAAAUAGAAUUUACUUAGACUGAGACAAUUGAUUUAAAAUAACUUGGGACGGGUGACCUAAACAAUCAUGCCAGACGUCUAAUAUAGUAGAGACACCAACUUUAGCAGGAAAGCAUGAAAUUUUUGAUAAACAAGAUUUAGUGUCUACAAUUGGGUAGAGUCCAUUCUUAACUUGCCCGUGAAGUAGGAGCCGCCCCGUCUUGUUCUUCUUCACACAAAAAUCAGAUCCAGUCAAUACAAAAUAGCUAUUAUUAUCAAGGCAAAAGCGAUUAAUAGAAAUUAAAUUGGAAGUGGCAUUCGGACAAUGAACUUGGUUAAGCGAAAAAUUGGAAUUGUUUGUUUUAAGAGACAUAGUACCUGUAUUUUAAUCACUAGACCUAAUCCAUUGCCAACAGUAAUGGUGUCCUUUCCAAAGUAGGGUUGCGAUGAAGCGAGAUUUGUCGUAGUAUUAGUGAUAUGGGCAUUGGCUCCACUGUCGCGUACCACAUCUAUUGGGCAAAUGCAGAAUUGCCUUUGGCAGCUAUAGCAGCUAGUUCGGAAGGUGGGUGUCGGCCUUGAUAAGAAAAAUCAAACCGGUGAUAGCAAUCUAGGGCCAUAGGCCCCUUUUUCCACAUAUUUGACAUAUGGGCUUGUUUUCAAGUGUAGGGGGCUGAUUAGGCUCAGCAUUCAGAGAGCCCACAUGAGUUGGGUGAGUGGUAUAUGAAGGUAAAUGGGCCUGAGUGGAGAAACCUGGGGACUUGGUUGGUUUCUUAACAAAGGACGAUCCCUUGCUUUGAUUAGCAACAAAGGCAAAGGUCUCUGUUGAAGGAAUGGGUUGAUGAGCCUCCAUGAGAGUUUCAAAGCUGAGAUGUUUCGCUUGGAAAUCCUCCAGGGUGAAGUCCUUUUCAUGGGUGGCGGAAUUGAAGGCGGUGAUGAAUGGAGCAAAGAGGGGUUUGAGACCAGUCAAGAGGUAUGUGAUGAGGUCCUACUCAUCGAUGGGUUUGCCGACAGCUGACAAUUGAUCUAACAACAACCUUGUUUCUUCAAUGUACACCAAACAGGUGUAGUUGCCUUGGAAAAUUGUUUGAAUUUGGCGCUUAAGGUGGACAAUUCGAGAGCGAGAGGUAGAGGAGAAACGGGUUUGGAGGGAGUCCCAAAUUUACUUUGAGGUCUUCAGAUUUAGGACGGUGGAUACUAAUUUCUCAGAGAGUGACGCAUAGAGCCAAUAGAGAAUGGCUGUGUCUGAUUUGGACCAAGUGUCAUAAGCCGGGUUAGCGACAUUGUUAGGGAGUAUCUUGGGAGGAGUGGCGAUGGAGCCGUCCACCAUGCCAAGUUUAUCAUGGCUUUUUAAGAAAGCCAAAAACUGAAUUCUCCAGGUAAGGUAGUUGGGUCCUUCGAGUUUGGGAAAUUGUGGUAUAUUAGUGUUUGAAGUGGCCAUUAGAAAUUAGGAAUUAUGGUGCGGAAGCUAUUUUGGUAGGAUCGAAAUAGGUGUGAGCCUUGAUGCUCUGAUACCAAGUUAAAAGCAACAAAGAAUUUGUAAAACUAGUAGUGAGAUAUGAGAUGAAACGGAAGGACCAACUUAAUUCUUCUGUGUAUUACAAUGGCUUUAUAUAGUAGAGCUUAGUAUAUAAAAAUAUGGAAUACACUAAAGCUAUAGAAUAUACAAUUGUUAUGAUUGAUAGAAUUGUGGAGAGAUCAAUGGGAUGCUGAGAUGACGUUGGAGGUGAUUGUGGAAUCCGUAUUGAUAUGGAAGGAGUAGUCUUGCAUGGAGAAGAUUGAGGAAUAUUGUGAUUGUUGUGAUUGCUUGGUUUAACACUUUCACAAUCGAUGUGGGAUAAUCUCAAUAAUCUCUCCCUCAUACAUUGAGCCUUGUGGUAGACUAAACCCCUAUCCACCUCACACAUCCGGCCUGUGAGAGACCAAACACGUCUAUCUCUCACACAAACCCGCAUCUCUUAUGACUAUUGGACAUGAGACUUGUAGAAAAGCUGAGCUUUGAUACCAGUGUUGGGUGGUAUUAGGCAUUCUCAACCCCAAAAAUUAAUUCAAGAAGUGAGGCUUAAUUUCCUAUACACUUAUAAAUUGACCACCAACCCCUUCCAAAAUCGAUAUGGGACAACCUCGACAAGUUAUUGUUCCUUCCUUGAUCCACAAGGUUCUAACCCUUGGAAUCUUCUGCAAAACCUCAUUGCACUUGAUUUCUGGUCAUUUUUCACGUCUAGUUAUAUAUAUAUAUAUAUAUAUAUAUAUAGACACACACACACAAACAUAACUAAAUAGCCUUGUUCAUUGUUCCAACACGAUUGGGAUUCCAAUUAUAAAGAAAACUUGAUAACCAAGUUAUAUUCAUAAUAAAAUUCCUUUUAGGACUUGGUCAAAUUUUAAUUCGUAAAGCUCAUCGUUGCUUUUGAUCAAUGACUGACGUGAGUUAAAGUUUGACCCAAUCAACUAUGCGACCUGUUAAUUCCAUUAUUACCAUAAUUAACUCCAAGUUUUUAUUUGAAGCUAUCAAAGGCACCUAAUCAGACAUAUAGAAUUCAAGCUUCCAAUAGUUUGGUCCUAAUAACUCCAAUCCAUAUUGUCCGGUCCAAUUACGAAUCUACACUUAUUCCGCCUAAGGCCCACAAUUGCACUCUCGAAUUAUAUAGAUUUGCAUAAGCAAUAUUAUCUCAAGUCUCCAUAGUUAUAUCCUUUUGACUUGCUAUCAAUAUGUUCGACGGACAUUUAAGAAUUGGUGCAGGAUCAAAAUGAACUUUUUCUCUUUUAAUUACUAUUUCACUUAAGCUAUCAUUUUCUUCAACGGUUUCUUUGCGAGCACAUCGUGGGAUUAUUCGGGUAUCUGCAAAUGGUGUGUUCAGAUUAAACAACCCACAAGAAAAUACUUAAGUUGGUUCAUUAGCAUAUUUGAAUAGGGGCGGUAUCAAAAAGUAAUAUCUGUUCAUUUGUUUUCAGCUCCAAAUUUAUUGAGAUGUUUGACCAUAGAUCUUACUCAUUGGCACAUCAAAUAUAAAAGUUCACAAAUAGCAAACACUACCUCUGUUUCGAAUUCUGUUAAUCUAUAAAAUAGUUAUUUACAGUUCAAUUUUUUGCACGAUCAUUCAAAAGACUUAAAAUCUAUCAAGAUGUCCUAUCUAAUGUUAUGAAUCCUGAUAUCGUCUCGCCACGAUCAAGACAAAUCGUGAAUUCCAAGUAGCCGAUCCUAUGACCUUACUAGACCAAAGUAUUAAUCUUUGCUCCUCCGUCUAGGAUAAUUAAUUCCCAAUCAGAAUACAAAUUGUGCAUGGCUAUACUUUUUAACACAAGUACCCUAUUUCUAUAUCAUCCAUCAAUGGAAGACACUCAGUUAAAUGUUCAAUAAAUGCAUCAAUUUGUUUAAGACACAAACAAAUAAUAAAUAAAUAUUUAACAUUCAGAAUUUUCGACUAUUACCGUAAAAUUCUAAUAUAUUUUGGGUACCUAUCCCAACAAUAAAUAUUCCAAGAUGUGGAAUUCGAGUAACAUAUGGGUUUAUGAUUCGUGGUUUUAACAGCAUUGAUGUGAAUGGGUUGGCUUUUCGUUGCAGGGCUAUUAAGAGAGAGAAGAAAGCAUAAAAAAUUCAACUCAAAAUCAAAUUCUGGAGUUCAUUAUUCGUCGUAUUAUGUGAAAGGAUCCAGGAUUAAUUAGUCCGGCCGGUGCCUUUUCGGCAUACACCGUAUAUCUUAGAGAGAUCGCAUUUCUUCGGGUUGGUAGUGAUGGAAUGCUUGCAAGUUCUUUUUUUAAAGAGGGUUUUGACAAUACAUGGAACCGAAAAAAACUAAAAAUGGAAGGUCAACAAAAAGUUUUUAUUUAUUUUUUAUUUUAUUAUUAUUAUUUUUUUUUAAAGGAGGAAAACAAAGGGAUGGUGAACCUUGCCUUUAAAUUUGCAUAUUUAUGUACAAUACAUUACAUUAAAAGACCAGUUCGAGUACGUUAUUGUUGAUGUUCUUGGGAAUUCUGAUGUUACAUAGAAGAAGAUUUUCUCAAGUCCUUGCCAACGAAAUUAAUAUUAGGAUCGACGUGUCUGUUCCUUUCGAUUGUUCCCAUGAUGGAAUCCUUUGGAAUCCUUUGAAGAGGCAAAGGCGACGAUCAAAUAAAAGAAAAAUCAAUGUGGUGAAGAAGUCUAUAAAAGCAUGGUAUACACGACAAGACAAAGAGCCAUAUUGUAGAUAAUAGACUUAUAACUUUUUAAUCUAAUAUGUAAAGGUAAUAUGCUUCAAUAGUUUGGCAAUAUAUUGUAAAAAGGCUCAAGUAUCGGCUUUAUACGCAAAAAAUUAUUAUUUUACCAAAAUAAUUGCAAAAUAUUUUUCAAGAUAACGGAUUCGAUCUUAUACAAUAAAAUGAUAAUUAUCUUGAAAAAUCAUAUAUAAAUUUCUCUCAAAGUAUUAUCUUUAUCAAAAGAUCGGAGAAAUUAAUUUCUGCCGUAGCGGACGUCCAGUAGAAAAAUGGUAAAAAUGUUUAACCGUUCUGACUUCUGAAAUAACAACAGCUAGUGAAACGUCCGGUAGGACAUUUUGGGUACAUAUCCCUACGUAAAUAUUCCAAGAUGUUGAAUUCGAGUAACAUAUGGGUUUAUGAUUCGGGGUUUUAACAGCAUUGAUGUGCAUGGGUUGGCUUUCCAUUGCAGGACUAUUAAAAGAGAGAAGAAAGCAUAAAAAUUCAACUCAAAAUCAAAUUUUGGAGUUCAUUAUUCGUCAUAUUAUGUGAGAGGAUCCAGGAUUAAUUAGUCGGGUACCUUUUAGGCAUAAACCAUAUAUCUUUGAGAGAUCGCAUUUCUUUGGGUUGGUAGUAAUGGAAUGCUUACAAGUUCUUUUUUUUAAAGAGGACUUUGACAAUACACGGAACCCAAAAAACUAAAAAUGGAAGGUCAAAAAACAAUUAUUUAUUUAUUUAUUUAUAUUUUUUUUUAAUGAGAAAAACAAAGAGAUGGUGAACCUUGCCUUUAAAUUUGCAUAUUUAUGUACAAUACAUUACCUUAAAAGACCAAUUCGAGUACGUUGUUGUGUUGAUGUUCUAGGGAAUUCUUACUGCACAUUAUAUAGAAGAAGAUUUUCUCAAGUCCUUACCGACGAAAUUAAUAUUAGGAUUGAUGUGUUUGUUCCUUUCGACUGUUCCCAUUAUUAGAUCCUUUGGUUCUGCAUUGUAUUUGGUUCUUUAUAUUAAGUUGUCUUGGGUUACCGUUCCUAUCAUCGUCCUUACAAUUAUUCAAAUAGUUAUUUUCUCCAUCUUGUAGUUUCCUCUCUUGAUUGAGAUGACAAAUCGGUCUUGCGGCUUUGGGAUAUUCAAUAAACCUAAGAAGAAAGUCUGCCAUUGCUAUGUUCCGCUCACGUUUGAUAUGGUGGAAUAGAUAGUAUUUGACGCUAUUGCAGAAGAAAAAGAAAUUAAAAUCUUAUCAAUCAUACUAUAAAGUACAAUUGAAUAAAACAUCCUAUUGUGCUCUUCUUUCAUUUUGGUUUCUGUCAUUUUAAAUGUUUAAGAUAUAUUCCUCUUGUUUUUUCAUAGAGAGCUGCUGGACUACCAAACCCCUUUCUCAUAGGGGUCUUACAGACCCUCACACAAAAGCAGGUGGUGUCGGUAUUUUUGCAAUUUUUUAUUACAAGUGGGUCUGACCUACGGCCCACAUCAUUGUGAGGAGCCUGUACAAGGCUUGUGAGCAUCAGCCUGGUAGAGCAGCAUUCUUCUUUUUCAUAUGAAUUCCAUUGAUUAACUCUGUUUCUCCAUUGUUGUGGCAUUUAAUUAGACGAUAUGUGCCUAUUCACCCAAGGAAUAGAGGUUUUCUUUGUAAUUGUUUGUACUUUUCUUUUUUUGUUUUUGUUAUUGUUGGAUUUUGAUAUCCAAUGAAUUCGAGUGAUGAUAUUAAAAUGAUAUACCUUAGCAUUGGCUCGAUCAGAAAACAACCUGGGUCAUUCGAAGCAACUUACUUAAUUAAGAUUGCUCGUGGCCCAAGACUUUAGUUGGCCCAUGUGAGUGUUAGCCCAAUUGGUGGUGACAUCAGAGUGAGCCCAUUUAGCAUUUGGAUGGUUGGCCCAUUUUGUGGUGAUUGAGACUUUGGUUGUUAGCCCAUUUACAUGUUUGGAGGAUAACCUAAUUGAAGGCAUUAUAUCCAUCCUAUGCAGCCGGGUGUUUUGUAGGUUAAUUCGGCGUAGUGGAGAGAAAACAUGAGGCAGCCGUCUGGAGGGGGAAAUUGGAGUUCAACCAUUACUUCUUCUAUUUUCUUCCUCCUUUGUUGGUGCAAGUUGUUCACCAUGUGAGGGUGGGUGUGUGCAAUAGAGGCAAGAGAAAUAGGUAGCAGUUAUGGGAGAUUUUGUGUUCAACCAUUGCUACCCUUUUCUUCUCCAUCCCUUUGUGAUAUUGCUACAACCACCAUUGUAUCUCCACCUCUAACUAAGCCUAAGUUGUUUCGGACAUAGAACUUUGGAGAUGCCAAUAAAAUUGUAAUAAAAGUACCAAAUUGCUCGUUAGCUUAUAAAACGAGGAUAGUAGGUGCAAUUUUCCUCUUUUAAAAGUUCAUGUUGCAUGUGUCAUUAAAUUAGUUGAUAGCGUGAACGUUAGAUAGAGCUAAGAGAUAUCUUCUAAGAAAUGAGGCAAUAACACCAUUUCACCAUUUGUGGUUCAUGUUGACCUCGAAAUGAGAUUAAUAAUUAUUAAGCAAUUUUGUUGUCAAACGAUCUCCCCGGGCGAUGAUGUAACCUCGGUUGUUUAUUAUCAAUCGGCCUCAGCCAAAUGACUGAUUAGUACAUCGACACAAUUAUCGAGACAACACAAUCCACUUUAUUAUGGACCGUUCGAAGCAACCUAUUUUUAUAGUGUUGCUCACGGUUCUCGCUCCAUUCCUUGGAAGGCUAUAUUAUUAUUGUUGAAGCCCACUUAAUUGAGUCGAGUCUCGUUUGUUGGUCCACCACUUAACCCUAACCUAACUUACCUAUCUGGACAUUUUACUUGGCAUAUAAUCCCUCUCUUGUCUCGGCCUCCAUAGAGUGCAAUUUUCCCUUUCUCUUUGUGAGUCUCUCUCUCGGCCUCUCCUUUCUCCCUCACUGUGACCUUAGUGGUUAACCUUUUUUGGGCACAUUAUUGUGUUUCUCCUUCUCCAAUUGGUAGAAACCGGAAUGGGGACGACAAGUGGUGGUGUUGGAGUUGUCUCAACGGUGUUAGUAUUGAUGUUGUGGUAAACUGAGCCCGAUUUUGCACGUGGUGGCGGUGGAAAUCAACCCUACAUCUGGUAUCAGAGCAGUAACAGCUUUUCCCAGCCUGAAAAUCAGCAAAAAUCGGCGACAGUCGCGGGUUUGGACGAAAAAAUCGUGGCUGCAACCCUCAUUUCCGGCCAAUCCAGUCACUUUCCGGCGAAACCGAUCCCAUAUUCCGGACCAGCAGGCUGAGGUGCCCCUUCGUAGUGGUGGCGGCGGCACAUGGCGGCAAUUCCGGGCGAACUUCCUUCGGGCAGUUUGCUCAUUUUAAUCCCCUGAACGCACUGACACUGUUUAUUUUUUGUUUCAGGUUAUACAGAAAAAGUUGGACAAUUUUGCCCCCGGUGGAUCGACGGUUGAAUCUGCAUAUAUCUACUGAAUUACUUUAGGCCAAGAUUGCGGCCCUAAAGCAGUAGAUUCGCAUCUCUCUCGAUUAUACGGACUCGGACACGUCCGCUCUGGUAAAUUAGCUUAACCCGUUAAUUUUUCAACAUUAGCGCGUCACCAUGUGGGGUGACAAUAGGUUGGGGGUUGUCAUUGCUUGGCAAUCAUUGCUUGUGCUAGAAUUAGGGUUACGUGCUCUUAAUUGAUCUUUUUUGAUUGAGUAUUUGUUUUUGGUUUAAAAUCAGUCUUGUAAUUCUUAGUGAUCAAAUUAUUAUGGGACUAGUUAUCUGCUAGACGUAUUUUUUGCUGCAUUGUUAUUUUCACUGAUUACUUAUUCCGUUAGAAAUAUCGUGACUUUACCCUUUCGAACAUUCCCUUGAUCUAAGACCGCGAGUCUUACGAAACCCUGGGAAUCUAGAACGGUGUAUAUUGUCUGUGACCCCUAGGACUACUUUGUGUGGUUUGAUUGUGGUUUGUGCAUUUUUGACUAUUGUGUGAAGAUGACAACUCACAGUUUUGAUUUGGGAAUUUUUAACGGAAAGGGUGACUUUGCUAUUUGGCAACAAAAAAUGAAGGGUAUUUUAGUCCAACAAAAGGUUUCAAAAGUCAUUGAAGACAAUUUUUCAACUGAUUUUUCACAAGAACAAAGAGAAGAAGCCGAUGAGAUUGCUUAUACCUCAAUUAUCUUACACUUGUCUGACGCUGUUUUAAGAAAGGUGGGUAAAUUAAAAAAUACUAAAGAAUUUUGGAAGAAAUUAGAAGACUUGUAUUUGCUUAAGUCUACAUCUAAUAAACUUUACCUGCUUGAUUGUUUUUUCAGUUUCAAAAUGGAUCCCUCAAAGGAUCUUGAUGACAAUCUAGAUGUGUUUAACAAAUUGGUGCAAGACAUAGUUAAUUGUGAUGAGACUGUGUCCGAAACUUAUAAGGCUAUAAUUUUGCUCAAUGCAAUCCCUGAUUCCUAUAAGGAAGUUAAGAACGCCAUUAAGUAUGGUAGAGACACGUUAACACCUGAAAUUGUCAUAGAUUCCCUUAGAAGUAAAGAAAUGAAAAUUAGGGCUGAAAAACAUGAUAAGAGGAAUGGUGAGGUACAUAUGAUGCGAGGUAGAACUCAAUUUAGGCAAAAUAGUCAUGAGGGAUAUCAAACUAGUGGCGACUCAAGUGGUAAUGGAUGGAAAAAAGAAGAGCAAAGGUAGGUCUAGAUCAAAAUCUAGGACUAAGGCGAGAAAAUGCUAUGGUUGUGGAAACACAGGGCAUUUUAUAAAAAAUUGUCAUAAGGAGAAGGGUAAGCUAAAAGCUACGGAGAGAGAUGAGGUAAAUGUGUUAGCAUCUACUUCCGAUAUAAAUGGUGGUGAGGUCUAUAUGAUUACAAGUCCAGCUGCAUACACUGCUGAAUUAAAUCUAACUGCUAAUUCCCGCAUCCAUGAGUGGAUACUUGAUUCUAAUGCAUCUUUUCAUGUGACGUCUGAAAAGAACUGAUUUUAUAAGUUGCAUGAAUCUAACGUUGGGCAUGUUGUGCUGUGUGAUAACUUUGCCUCUACUAUUGCUGGAAUUGGGGACAUAAACGUAAAAUUUGACAUGGGUUUUGUGUAUACGUUAAAAGAUGUUAGAUAUAUUCUUGAAUUGUCUAGGAAUUUGGUUUCAGUAGGGAGACUUGAGAAUGAUGAUUUUACUGGUAAAAUUGGAAAUGGUAUGCUAAAAAUGAUCAAGGGUGCUUUAGUUUCCAUUAAGGGAAUUAAGAAAAACGAUAUAUACAUUACUACUAGGGAAGUGAUUAGAGAUGUGAAUUCCUCUAUCUCCUCUGCCAAGAUUGAUCACACACACGGCACAAUAGACUUGCUCACGUAGGAGUCAAGGGACUUAAGCUACUUGAUGAAAAUGGUGCUUUUGGUAAUGACUGUGUUAGAUUUGCCAUUUUGUGAUCAUUGUGUGCUUGGUAAGCAUUACAAAACUUCUUUCUCCACGAGUGUUAAUAGAGCUAAAGGCAUGCUCAAAUAUGUGCACUCUGAUCUUUGGGGUCCUGCCAGUAACCCCACAUCGGGUGGUAAUAGGUAUUUCCUGUCUAUUAUUGAUGACUACACUAGGAAGGUGUGGGUCUAUCUUUUGAAGGAUAAAUCUGAGACCUUCAAUAGUUUUAAUAAUUGGAAGAGACAAGUGGAAAACCAAACUGGCAAGAAAAUCAAAUUUUUAAGGACAGAUAAUGGCCUAGAAUUCUGCAAUAAAGAAUUUGAUAGUAUAUGUAAAGAAAACGGCAUAACUAGACAUAAGACCGUUCCCUACACCCCUCAGCAAAAUGGGGUAGCAGAAAGGAUGAAUAGAACCAUACUUGAUAAAGUACGUUGCAUGAUGAUCAGUUCGGGUAUUCCCAAGUCAUUUUAGGGUGAGGCUGUUAUGACAGCUUGCUAUUUGAUUAAUCUUAUACCUUCUGCUGCAUUGAAUGGUGACACUCCACAUGAGAGAUGGUCGGGUAAACUGAGUGAUUACUCAAUACUUAGAACUUUUGGCUGUGCAGCUUUUUCUCAUCAAACUAAGGGUAAGCUGGAACCUAGAGCUAGGAAGUGUGUUUUCUUAGGAUACCCCGAGGGUGUUAAGGGUUAUAGGUUAUGGAAUAGAAGCCAAAAAGGAGUUAAAAUUAUCAUAAGUAGAGAUGUCACAUUUAACGAAAAUGAGAUGCUGUGUAUUAAAGGAAAAACUGAACCUAAGAGUGAAGUAGAAUCAGGUGAAGAGAGAGACCAGUUUAAGGUGGAGUUAGGAAAACUCAGUCCACCUACCCCUAUUGUUUCAAAUGAGGUGGAGACUCAAACUCAGGAACCCGAAGUGGAGAAUAGUAACGAAAUAGUGACAGAAGAACACUAUGAGGAAGAAAAUCCUUUAGCUAACUAUAACUUAGUUAGGGAUAGAGAGAGGAGACAAACGAGAGAAUCUAGAAGGUUUGGUUUUGAAUCUGAAUUAGCUUUUGCCCAGGCUAGUUAUGAAGAACUAGCUGAUAAAGAGCCAAAGACUUUUGAAAAAGCAAUAGGCAGUGAUCAAUCUAAUGAAUGGCUUAAGGCAAUGAAAGAAGAGAUGAGUUCUCUAUAAAAGAAUCAUACUUGGAAGCUAGUACCUAGACCUAAGAAUAAAUCAAUUGUUGAUUGCAAAUGGGUUUUUAAGGUUAAGGAAGGAACUAGUAGCUUGAAACCCCUAAGGUUUAAAACUAGGUUAGUGGCUAAAGGCUAUACCCAGAAGGAGGGCGUUGAAUAUAAUGAAAUUUUCUCACCAGUUGUUAAGUUCACCACUAUUAGGGUCAUGCUCACAUUAGUUGCACAAUUUGACUGGAAACUUGAACAACUUGACAUAAAAACUGCUUUCUUACAUGGUGAGCUUGAUAAACAAAUUUUCAUGAAUCAACCUAAAGGUUUUAAGGAUAAGUCAAAACCUGAUUAUGUGUAUUUUCUGAGAAGAUCCUUGUAUGGGUUAAAACAAUCUCCUAGACAGUGGUACAAGAGGUUUGAUUCCUUUGUACUCACUAUAGGGUUUCAAAGAAGUAAAUUUGAUCACUGCCUGUAUCUUUAACACAAUGAGACUGAUGAUAAUUAUCUGUUUUUGUUGCUCUAUGUGGACGACAUGCUUUUGAUUGGAUCAUCCUCUAAGUGGAUAAAUAACAUAAAAACAAAAAUAAGUGGUGAAUUUGACAUGAAAGACCUAGGUAAGGCUAAGAGAAUCUUAGGUAUUGAAAUUGAAAGAGAUAGGUCAAAUUCUGUUUUGUUUUUGCAUUAGUCUCCAUACAUAUCCAAAGUAUUGAAGAAAUUCAAUAUGAGUGAAUACAAACCUGUUACGUUGCCCCUUGCUAAUCAUUUUGUUUUAUCUAAGAAACAAUCUCCUUGCAAUGAGCGUGAAGCUGAAUACACGAGUAAAGUGCCUUACUCAAAUGUGAUUGGUUCCAUAAUGUAUUUGAUGGUUUGCACUAGACCUGAUUUAGGUUUUGCUAUUAGUACUCUUAGUAGAUAUAUGGCUAAUCCGGGACUUGAACAUUGGGAAGCGCUAAAGUGGUUGUUAAAGUACUUGAAUGGUACUAGUAAUGUAGGCUUAAAGUUUAGAGCAAAUAAUGAAGGUACAAAAUUAAAGGGUUUUGUAGAUGCUGACUAUGCGGGAGAUAGGGAUGGUAGGAAAUCUACUUCAUCUUAUGUGUUUACCUUAUCUAAUUCAUGUGUAAGUUGGAAAUCACAGUUACAACAUAUUGUUGCACUAUCCACUACAGAAUCAGAAUAUAUUGCUACCACUAAAGCUAUUAAAGAAGCUCUAUGGCUUAGAGGUCUACUUCAUGAACUGUGUGUUCUAAAUGACUAUGUGGUAGUGUAUUCUAAUAGUCAGUCAUCUAUACAUUUAUGCAAAAACCCUGUGUUUCACGAGCACACUAAACACAUUGAUGUUAGACUCCACUAUAUUAGAGAUAUAGUAUCUCAAGAGGUGGUAAGACUUGAGAAAGUCCAUACCCACUACAACCCAUCUGAUAUGGGGACGAAGGUACUGCCACUAGUAAAGUUUAGGAGUUGCAAAGAACUUCUAAACAUUGGUACAGGUAAAUGAUUUCCAAUUUUAUUUUUUUUCUAUUAGAGGUGUCACUAAUGGGAGACAAUUUUCUUUGCAGGUCCUUUGACACCAAGGUGGAGGUUGUUAGGCAAUUUUGUUGUCAAACGACCUCCCCGGGCGAUGAUGUUACCUCGGUUGUUUAUUAUCAAUCAGCCUUGACCAAAUGAUUGAUUACUACAUCGACAUAAUUAUUGAGAGAACACAUUCCACUUUAUUAUGGAAUGUUCGAAGCAACCUAUUUUUAUAGUGUUGCUCACGGUUCUCGCUCCAUCCCUUGGAAGGUUAUAUUAUUAUUGUUGAAGCCCACUUAAUUGAGUCGAGCCUAGUUUGUUGGUCCACCACUUAACCCUAACCUAACUUACCUAUUUGGACAUUUUACUUGGCAUAUAAUCCCUCUCUUGUCUCGGCCUCCAUAGAGUGCAAUUUUCCCUUUCUCUUUGUGAGUCUCUCUCUCGGCCUCUCCUUUCUCCCUCAAUGUGACCUUAGUGGUUAACCUUUUGUGGGCACAUUAUUGUGUUUCUCUUCUCCAAUUGGUAGCAACUGGAGUGGGGGCGGCAAGUGGUGGUGUUGGAGUUGUCUCAACGGUGUUAGUGUCGAUGUUGUGGUAAACUGAGCCCGGUUUUGCACGUGGCGGCGGUGGAAAUCAACCCUACAAUAAUUUUUUUUCACUAUCUAGAAUUUUCUCCUUCUGGUUUUAUGAUCAAGCGAGAGCAAGAAAUGAAAAUGAGAUUAAUAAUUUUUUCUCACCUAUCUAGAAUUUUCUCCUCCUGGUUUUAUGAUCAAGCAAGAGCAAGAAAAGAAAAUGCUAUUUAAAAGGAGAAUAUUUUGAUAUUGCAUUCCUUUCUUUGUCGCCAAUUAUGUUAUUUAUAGAUUUCUAAUGAGGUCUUAGAGUUAAUUAAGUCACUUUCACUAAUGACGUGGCAAUCAUUCAUUAGUUGACUUCUAACUAAAUUUGCUAGCUUUUCACAUUUUAUUCACGAGUCUGUAUAUUUCUCAUUCAUUGGCUCUGAAACCAUACUUUAUAUUUUUACUCAUGUGUUUUGGUAAUGGUUAUUGUCGUGGAAUAUAUAAUGAAACUAGUUAAAGAAUAUUUGCUCACUUAUGUUAUCUUGAGUUUGCAUGUGAUUUGGUUUGCCUUGAAAACGUUUGCAGGUAGAAAUAUAGGUUCUCCGCUAAUCCUUUGUAAAUUUUAAUUACAACAAAUAUCUUCAAAGUUAGAAUCUAAUGAUUUAUAUUAAGUUUUAGACUUUAUUUAAUUUCUACGACAAAUAUUUAAUUAUUUUAGAAUUUAUUUUGAUAUUAUGAGCCUUUAAAAAUUAUUGUGACAAACAAGCCUACAACAUGGCUUGUUUUGUGAGGUUUAAUUGAUUCCGAGUGAAAUAAGGUCAAAUGAUUAACAAAUGAUCCUCGAAGUUCAAGCUUAGGUAUUUUUGUUAAGUGCUAAGCUUGUGAACUUAAGGCAGGGAUUUUAAUACUAAAAAUACCUAAGGAUAUCCCACUCACCAAUGGCAGUUGAUGUAUGGCAUGAUGAAGGGAUGUGUAAUGAUUACUACAGUUCUUUACAAAUAUCAAUGGGGAUGUUGCAUACUUCAAGGUACGUAGGCUGUUAGGGGUGAACACGGUUCGAUUUGGACGGUUUGAAAAGUUUCAAACCAAAUCAUUUAAAGCGGUUUGGAAUUUCCAAACCAAACCAAACCACUUCAAUUUCUAAACCAAAUCAAUCCAAACCAUUUUUUUUUUGGUUCGGUUCGAUUUAAAACCACAGUUUAACAAUGAAAAAAUUUAUAUCAAAUAAGUUAAAUCGUAAAUAUUAGUCUAAAAUUUCACAUUAAAACAUAAGUUGUAUUAUUAAAAAAAUUACAAAUCAAAAUGAUAUAAUUAUAAUCAUUAUAAUGCAACAACAUGAUAUAAAUAUUUUAAACUCUUAAUCAAUACUAAUGGCAUCCAUUUACAAUUGUAAUACACAAUUCAUUCUUUUCAUAAAUAUAAAAAAUAUAGCAUAUGAAUUCAUUGAUUAUAAUUAAAUGAUAUAAAAUAACUAAUACAAGAAAAUGAAUAAAAAAUAAAAUACAAUAAGACCUAGUUACUGUGACUUUUUGUGAAUCAUUCAAUGCUUCUACUCCAUCCAAAUAUUAGGAAUUACUUUAAGGAAGCCCGAUAAUUAUUAGAACAAAACAACAUAACUACCAAUAAAAACAUAGAAAAAGAUUACCAAAAAAAAAAUUAGGAUAAUCUGACUUGAAUUUAGGCAAAAUUUAAGAAAAUUAUUAGUAGAAGGAAAUGAAAUGUGCAAGUUUGAAUUAAAAUCUAGAUUUAAUUGUCGGUUCAAUUAUAAUGGAGAAUCCAUAAAUAGGGUUUAGUAGCAAUUGUUCAACACUUCACCCAAUUUAAUGAUUUUAUACUCAUAACUGCCGACUAAUGUGCAUAUGGAUAUAAUUUAAUUAAUUAAUUAAGAUGUAAAAUUGUCGAAUUGAGUUCAAUUGAAUUAUGACUAAUAUAGAUAUAUCUUUUUAACUGAAAUGUGUUAAAUUUUAAUUGUUUUAAAUAAAAUUUAAACUAAUUUAUUUUCAGAUUUUUUUGAUAAUCAAUUUUGUGGUUUGAAACGAUUUGCAAAUAUUGAAACCUAAACCAAACCACUUAAAAAUGGUUUGGUUUGGUUCAAAACCUAAACGUUGAUGGAUUCACGUGGAACUAAACCAACAAUUUCAAAAAAAAAAAUGAUUUUGGUUCGAUUUUGCAGUUUUAUUGUCCAACCCUAGGCUGUACUCAUUUAAUUCACGUGUUACUGAAACAUGAUUAGAUUUGUCCCUUUGAAUUAUUUCUAGGCACCUUUUUUUUUUAAUCCAAUGGCUUGUUCCCUCGAAGAUUAAGAUCAAACUUGACAUGAUCCAAUGCUAUUAUCUUUCAUCAGAAAAUAUAAAUAUAACACCUCUAUUAUUUGUUACGAGUACUUAUUCUUUAAAAACUUCUAUUUUCUUUUUUUCAUUCGUUGCUAUCACGUUGCAGAUGAUAUGGUGAUUCUGGUGAUUAUUAUUUGCUCCUUAAAAAUCCUUCGAAUCCUUUUUACGUACAUAUUUUGUGCUUUUGCUUCUUCUCGUAUACUAUUUUUCCUCUAUUCGUCAUUUAGUGUAACCCGGUAAACUUUUAUCUAAAAUUUUUUAGGAAAUUGAUUCUGUAGAAUGUCUUUCCAAAAUAGAUCCUAAGUGUCAAAGCUACUUGCUCUAUAUUUAGGGAUGAUGGAGUAGACUGGCAGGGCCGGACCUGAGGCGAAAUUCAGAUUUUGGGCCCAUAAAUCAUAGCAAGCAAUUAAUUUUUUCAUUUAUAAGAGAUUUAAGGAACUAAAUUUGUCAACAUAAAAUCAAAAAAAUGAAAUAUUUAAAAUAUGUAUAUUAUAAUCAAAUAACAAUAUGAAAAUGUUCUAAAAGAUCACUUAAAUACAACUCGUCUUGCAGUUUUCGAGGCAAAAAUAUCGAUCAAUUUUGUAUAGUCGAGUUGUUCAACCAUUUCUUUUUCAGUUGAUAACAUGGCUAAACCAUUCAAUCUUUGCUGUGACAUAGUUGAUCGGAUAUAAGUCUUGAUCAAUUUCAACUUGGAAAAACUUCAUUAUUUAUACAGAGUGACGCCGAAAGAUGAGCUAAGUCCUGAAAAGAGUGAAAAUGCAGUCACACUACCUUAUUCAUGCUGAAAUUUAUGGUAUGUGGACGUAUAAUUUGUGGAGUCUAAUCAUAUUGUGUAAAAUCUAUCAAUUACAGAUAAAUAUAAUGUUCAUGCACAUGUAGAAUAAUUUGUAGGUAGUAAUUUUGCUUCACGUUAGUGAAGACUCAAUUCUCACACUAAGCGUGAAGCGCUGGAAAUCUCUGUUUGGAUACAAUUUAUAAUAUGGUUAAUAAAUUUGCUAAAGUCAAAUAUUAUUUUCAAACACACAUUUAUAAUUAUCAAUAAAUUUAGUGGAUCCCGCUAGUAUUCCUCUUUACAAAUUGAUUUAUAAAUUUGUCAAACGGAGGCUAUAUAUUUUCUGAUUUUAUUUUAGUAAAAGUUGGAGUCGCAAUUGAGAUUAGGGUUUAAUCCCCAUGACAUGGAUACCUAAUUCCGACUGUUUUGCUUACUGCAGAUGUUGCUUCUAUGCUAUUGAAAAGUAUCCAAAGUCGUGUGUUACCCCAGAUCAUGUUGGCAAUUUUGCUCUCUGAAUAUUGGUUCAGAAACCUUCUGCAUUUCCUAGUGGGACUAAACUGGCAUUUUGGGAAAGUACAUAAAUGCUCUCAUAUUCAUUUCAUUCACAAACAAUAUACCAUGACAACACAUCUAGAUAAAUUUUAGUUUCUUUUUCAUGCUGUCUAGUACAACAUUACAAACUUGCUAUAAAUGUACAUGUUGAACGCGAUCAUUUCGAAAAGUAUUCCCCGUCGUACUUUUUACACAUGGUGUAAGAGUACAUUCACCUUGGGAAAGUCAUGACAAAGAGCACGUAGAAAUGCAAAUCUCAAGUAUUAUUGUUUGUAAAUCAAGCGAUGAAGAUAUAACGGAAACGAUGGAACAUGGAUGCCUAACUAUAACUAAUCGAGGUAUAUCUAAUUGCACCACAUUCCUCCCCUUCUUGUUCAGGUCUUAUUUACACACUCUAAAUUUUAUUUAGUGGUAUAAUCUUCCUACAUAUAUAAUUUCCGUUACACACUUUAAUUAUAUAUAAUUUCUAUUUUGCUAAGUUUAGAGCGUGUUUGAUAUGGUGGAAUAAAUAGCAUUUGACACUUGAGGAAGAAAAAAAAAUCUUAUCAGUCAUACUUAGCAGUAAUAUUGAAUAUGGUGUCCCAAAUGUGCUCUUAGUUCAGUUUUGUAUCUAUCAUUUUAAAUGUUGAAGUGUCCAUUGUGUUUUUUUUCCAUAUAAAUUCAACUGGGUGAAAUGUUUUCCUUUUAGCCACAUGUCAUUGAGGAAUUCUAUUUGAUCGAGGUAUAUCUAAUUGCACCAUAUUCCUCCCCUUCUUGUUCAGGUCUUAUUUACACACUCUAAAUUUCAUUUAGUGGUAUAAAUUAGGCCAUGACGACUCCUGGACCAUCCCUCGCUCGGCUCAGCCAGUCCAACCUGGACCUAAGUCUCUUUUUAAAUACACAUGGGCCCAUGGACCUUCAAAGUUGAGCCAAGCCAACUGUAGAUGUGGGCUGAUCAUGCCAUGGCCUGUGAUGGGACUGGCUGUACUUUCAUGCAUUAGUUGGCUCUAAGCUUUGAUAACCCAGUUUGACACCUCUAAGGAAAUCCUUGGUAUGUAUAAUCUUCCUACAUAUAUAAUUUCCGCUACACACUUUAAUUAUAUAUAAUUUCUGUUUUGCUAAGUUUAGAGCGUGUUUGAUAUGGUGGAAUAAAUAGCAUUUGACACUUGAGGAAGAAAAAAAAAAUCUUAUCAGUCAUACUUAGCAGUAAUAUUGAAUAUGGUGUCCCAAAUGUGCUCUUAGUUCAGUUUUGUAUCUAUCAUUUUAAAUGUUGACGUGUCCAUUGUGUUUUUUUUCCAUAUAAAUUCAACUGGGUGAAAUGUUUUCCUUUUAGCCACAUGUCAUUGAGGAAUUCUAUUUCUCCAGUAUUGUAUUAGACCAUAUGUGCCUGUUUUGUUGGAACAAAUCAAAAUUGACCCUCACAUUUUCUAGAAUAAUUCCAUUAUUUGAGGAAUAAUCUUGAAUUUUUAGUAUGUAUAAAUAGAACCACAUGAUGUAAUAUUUUGUAACGCAAAAUAAGAAGUGAAUUUCAGUUUAUAUAUCUCCAUAUUAUCUUGCAUUCAAACUGAUGUUAAAGCUUUGAAAAAAGAAAAAAAAACAUAUAAACAUUUAAUGAAAAAAAAUUAUAUACACCAAACACAACCUGUCCAAUAAUUUGGUUUCCCCUUUGCCUCAUUUAAUGGAAAAAAUUUGAUAAUUACUUCAUGCAUCAACCAUAUAGACAUUUAUUUAUCCAUAAAUAAAUCAAUUAUAAAUGCAUAGAACAACCCUCAAAAUCACUCAACUAUAAAAUCAAGCAAUAAAUCAAGAAUUAGAAUUACAGAAAAUAAACAAUUCUAGACCUACACUCUAGUACCUCUAAUUAGAACCGGUCCACUAGGGUUAGGAAACACAAAAAAUAAAAAUAAUAAAAUAAUAAUAAUAAUAAUAAAAUAAUUAAAAAAAUCUAUUUAUUGCAUUUCUAAUUAAUCGCCACAGAAGUGUCUAGAAGUUACGACUAUUUCAAGCAAUUAAUUUGUUUAUCUUCUUGCUUGACGUUGAUUGAUUCGCGAACUUCCAAAUUAGAUCUCAUCCAAUAAUUGUUCUUUCCUUGAUCUACAAGCUUCAUACCCUCUUAGGUAAUGGAAAUUGUAUUUUAUUCAAAUUAUAAUUGAAACUUGUUAUAUUCAUAACAAAAUUUUAACUCGUCAAUAAAAAGAUUGUGUGAAAUUUCUUCUUUCAAUUAGACUCACUAGGCCAACUAUCCCCCAAUAAAAAGAUCCAGAUUUUGCUGCUUAACACUUGGGCCACCACGACUAGGCCCAAUUAAAGUAGGCCAACUAUUAUCUUGUGAAACUUAAGCUAAAUGGCUACUGUAGACUAUGGUAGACCGUGGGCCGUAUAAGCAUCUAACCCAUUUAAAGAUGACCCACUUAUGUAAUUUGCUCUAAAUAAAAUGUUUCCUAUGUAUGAAAAAAACAUUUUAUUUGAGUAAAUUACACAAACUCUCUAGGCUGCUCUGUUGUAUAAAUUUUCCUAUUUUACUAGAACACCUCACAAAAUAUAAUAAAAAGUGUAGCAUAAUCCGUUAUAUUUUGAAUAUUAUUUGUUUAUUUAAAAGAUGAGAGAUUUUACCCAUCAGAAAAACAAUAUCCCAAAGUUAGGAUAAAUGUUUUCCUCCUAAAUUGGUAUUUUAUUUUUAUUUCAGUAAAUAAAUACUUUUACUUUGUCAUGGCUAAUUUAACUAAAGGACAAAAAAUGGAAAAACUGAAAACAUUUCAAUUAGGAACUAAUUUUUUUUCUUUUUCCUUUUUUGGGUAAAUUUUGUUUGUCUGCACAAUGUAAAGCACAUUGUUAGCCAUACAAGAAGUUGAGAAUAAUUUCUUUGAAAUACUCCAGUUCUGUGAACAGCAAAGAAGAUUAAAAAAAGGAAAGAAGACAAAAAGUAAAACUAAAUAAAUAAAUAAAAAAUGUACCUUACUUAAGCAUAGAGUAAUUCUAUAUUAUGCAUCUAUAAAGACUGAAUGCCCUUCUUGAUGAUCAUAGCAUACUUAAAAGUGUUAUCCCAGUGAGAGAAGAUGACAUAAUUAGAGUCAAGUAAGAUGAUUUUAAUUUACUUUGCUUGAUUUGUUGUGUUUAUAGUUUUUUUUUUCUCAAGUUUCCUUUUUUUAAUGAGCUCUAUUAUUGAAUUGCCAGUUCAAUUAACAUUAUCGAUAUUGUGCUUUGAAUAAACUCGUGAAGUAAUCAAGAAUAUAUUACUUUUUGAGGUCCCUUUACAAUGCCGAGCAAUUCAACUUUCUUGAACAAUUUGAAAGCACUGUUUGUCACCCAACAUACAACACUGUUUCAUUUAGUCAUCAAUUCUUUUAAAGUUUAUCACUAAACUUUCAUUUUGAUUGGCGAACAGAUAGAUGACAUAAUCUAGCGGGUCUAGAAUUGUGCCGGAGAAGCUAACUGAGGGUAACUUUAUAAGAAGUUGAGAAUAAUUUCUUUAGGAAUACACUAGUUCUGUGGACAACUGUGAAGCACAUUGUUGGCCCCCCAAGAAGUUGAGAAUAAUUUCUUUUGGAAUACACCAGUUCUGUGGACAGCAAAGAUGAAUAAUACACCAUUCUGUGGACAACAUUGAGUGAAGCACAUUGUUGGCCCUCCAAGAAGUUAAGAAUAAUUUCUUUCGAAUACACCAGUUAUGUGGACAACAAAGAAGAAUAAUACACCAGUUCUGUGGAUAACAAUGUGAAGCACAUUGUUGGCCCUCCAAAAAGUUAAGAAUAAUUUCUUUGGAAUACACCAGUUCCUCCAAGAAGUUGAGAGUAAUUUCUUUUGGAAUACACCGAUUCUGUGGACAGCAGAUAAAUAAAAAAUGUACCUUACUUAAGCAUAGAGUGAAUUACAUCUAUAAAGACUGAUUGCCCUUCUUGAUGAUCAUAGCAUACUUACAAGUGUUAUCGCAGUGAGAGAAGAUAACAAAAUUAAAGUCAAGUAAGAUGAUUUUAAUUUACUUUGCAUGAUUUGGUUGAGCUCUAUUAUUAAAUUUCUAGUUCCAUUAACAUUCUCAAUAUUGUGCUUUGAAUAAACUCGUGAAGUAAUCAAGAAUAUAUUACUUUAUGUGGUCUCUUUACAAUGCUGGGCACUUCAACUUUCUUGAACAAUUUGAAAGCACUGUUUGUUACCCAACUUACAGCACUGUUUCACCUAGUCAUCAAUUCUUUUUAAAGUUUAUCACUGAACUUUCAUUUUAAUUGGCGAACAGAUAGAAGUCAUAAUCUAGCGGGUCUGGAAUUGUGCCGAAGAAGCUAAUUGAGGAUAACUUUAUAAGAAAUUGAGAAUAAUUUCUUUUGGAAUACAUCAGUUUUGUGGACAAUAAUGUGAAGCACAUUGUUGGCCCUUCAAGAAGUCGAGAAUAAUUUCUUUUGGAAUACACUAGUUCUGUGGACAGUAAAGAAGAAUAAUACACCAAUUCUGUGGACAACAUUGAGUGUAGCACAUUGUUGUCCCUCCAAGAAGCUAAGAAUAAUUUCUUUCGAAUACACCAAUUAUGUAGACAGCAAAAAAGAAUAAUACACCAGUUCUGUGGACAACUAUGUGAAGCACAUUGUUGGCCGUCCAAGAAGUUAAGAAUAAUUUUUUUGGAAUACACCAGUUCUGUGGACAACAAUGUGAAGCACAUUGUUGGCCCUCCAAGAGGUUGAAAGUAAUUUCUUUUGGAAUACACCAAUUCUGUGUUGAGUCUCAAAGGUGAUGCAAGAUUGAGAUUUAAUGACAAUAAUGAAAUAUUCAAGAUCGUACCAUGAAAACAAGAUUAAAGUAAAGUACAAAAAAGAAACUAAGCAGAGGAACGAUGAAUUUUAUUUUAUCCGACAAUAUGGAGAGAAUAAUACAAGACAGUAAUAAUGCUUCAUCUUAAACUGACAAAGGAGUCUCUAAUUUAUAGGCCACGUCCAUAAACCUAAUGGAAUCCUAAAAGGUAAGAAAAUAUACUAGAAUCAGGUUAAACCGCGUAAAAGGAAAAAAUCUUGGAUGUAAUUUGAUUUCUUUCCAAAUUCAAGCCAAACGUGAUCUUCCAAAAUUUCAACCUAAUUUUGAGGCAUUAAACCUAACAUUCUGUGGACAACAAAGAAGAAUAAAGAAAAGGAAAGAAGAUAAAAAGUAAAAGUAAAUAAAUAAAAAAUGUACCUUACUUAAGCAUAGAGUGAAUUACAUCUAUAAAGAGUAAGCCCUUCUUGAUGAUCAUAGCAUACUUACAAGUGUUAUCCCAGAGAGAGAAGAUGACAAAAUUAAAGUCAAGUAAGAUGAUUUUAAUUUACUUUGCAUGAUUUGGUGUGUUUAUAGUUUUUUUUUCUCAAUUUUCCUUUUCAUCUCAAGCUCCAUUAUUGAAUAUCUAGUUCAAUUAACAUUUUUGAUAUUGUGCUUCGAAUAAACUCGUAAAGUAAUCAAGAAUAUAUUACUUUUUGUGGUCCCUUUACAAUGCCAGACACUUCAACUUUAUCGAACAAUUUGAAAGCAUAGUUUGUCACCUAACUUACAGCACUGUUUCAUUUAGUCAUCAAUUCUUUUUUAAGUUUAUCACUGAACUUUCAUUUUGAUUGGCGUACAGAUCAAAGGCAUAAUCUAGCGGGUCUGGGAAUUGUGCCAGAGAAGCUAACUGAGGAUAACUUUAUAAGCUGGAAAAAUUGCUUGCCAAAUUAUUUGGUUGGGAAUGGGCUUUGGGGUGUUGUCUCUGCUCAGGAGAUUGAACCAGAUAAGACAAAUAUACAAGAGCAUGAAAAAUGGAAGAAAAAGAAUGCUUUGGCUUUGCAUGCAAUUCAACUUUCAUGUGGACAAGCAAUAUAUUCGAAGUUUAUAAAUGCCGACAUUAAUGCUGACUACGUAUGGACUCAGUUGGUAGAAAAAGGAGAUCACGACAAAGAAAGUCGAGUCGACGAUAAUGGUAAUUCCUCAAUCUUUGUGAUGAACUAGGUCAUCUAAAAUUUUAUCGUGUUAUAAGAAAUGUGAAAUUGCACUAUAGGUUCUCAAUCAUUAAAAAUGAGCAAAGAACAAUGUGGUGGAGCCAAUCUUCCCUCUUAUUUAGUAAACUCUGUAGUUUACACAACUCCCUCACAUUCAGGCUGACUUCAUUGUUUGUAGGGUUGAGUGAGUACCUUGAAUACGAGCCCCUAUACAAGGCAAUUAAAAAAGGUAAUUGGCAUGCUAUAGAAGGUUUCUUUCAGGAGAAGACACUGCCAUUUACUGAAAGUAUUUCAUCACACAAAGAGACAGCUCUGCACAUGGCAACUUUAUCUAGACAGACUGAAAUUGCGAAAAAACUUAUAAAUUUGAUGGGCCCAAAAGAGUUAGAACUGAAAAAUGAACAUGGAGCUACGGCCUUAUCUUUUGCUGCAAUCUGUGGUGCAACAGAACUGGCCGAGGAUAUGGUAAGCAGGAACAAAGAAUUAGUUACAAUAGAAACUACAGGCCAAGAAUAUGGGCAACUGCCUGUGAUUGUGGCUGCAUUGUAUAGACAGAAGGACAUGGUUCAUUAUUUAUACAAUAAGACGCCAAAAGAUGUGUUGAGUCCCGAAAAGGGUGCAAAUGGAGUCACACUACUUAGUUACCUUAUUACUGCUGAAAUUUAUGGUAAGUGAAUGCAUAAUGUGGAGUCUAAUCAUGCUCUAUGAGGAUAAAGCCCCUUGUACGAUGGAUAUUGACAUGGAAUUGUGCCAGGAGUGAGAUGGCAUAAUGAUUGGCAAUGUUAAAAUUAUUUUUUGUCUAACUGCCAAUCACAAUUUGCCUAGUGUGAAUUUAAAAUUCCACGGCAGCGUAGCAUGAUCGGCUCUUUGUUAAUUUCGUCAAUUGCAGAUAAACGUAAUAGUAAUGCGUAUACAAGGAUUUUCAAUUUUAUUGGUGGUAAUUUUGUUUCACAACGUGCUUCUCCAAUUGAGCGUGAAACACUAAAAAUUUUUGUUUGGAUACAACUUAUAAUAUGCUUAAUAAACCUAGUUAAAGUCAAGCAUUAAUUUGAAUCACACAUUCAUAAUUCCUAUUCAUUAGUAUAAAAAAUUUAGUGGGUCCCAGUACUAUUCCUCUUUAUAAAUUGAUUUAUAAAUUUGUCAAAUGGAGGCUAUAUGUUUUCUAAUUUUGUUUUAGUAAAAGUUGCAAUCGCAAUUGAGAUUUGGGCUUAAUUCUCUAGACACGUAUACCUAAUUCUUGCUAUUUUCUUACUGUAGAUGUUGCUUUCUUGCUAUUGGAAAAGUAUCCACAGCUGGGUGUUAUCCCUGAUGUUCAUGACAAUUACGCUCUCAAAAUAUUGGCUCAAAGGCCUUCUGCAUUUCUUAGUGGGACUGAACUUUCAUUUUGGGAAAAAUGGAUCUACUACUGUAAGUAUGUAAUUGGUCACAUAUUAAUUUCAUUCACAAACAAUGUACCACAAGGGUACAUUUAGGUAAACUUUAGUUUCUUAUUCGUACUGUCUAAUACAAUAUACAAAUGUGCCAUACACUCACUUGUUGAACACAAUCGUUUUGAAAAGUAUUCCUUGUCUGAACUUUUUACACAAGGUGUAAGAGUACCCGAAGAGCAUGUAGAAAUGCAAACAUCAAGUACUAGUCAUGAUCACAACAUUCAAAUUCCUGAAUCAAACAACGAAGAUUUGGGAGGAAGGAUGGCACAUGGUAGCCUAACUAUAACUACUCAAGGUAUAUCAGAUUACGUCACACUCAUCCCCUUUUUUUCAGGUUUUCUUCGCAUACCCUAAAUUUUGUUUAGAUGUAUAAAUUAGGCGAGUACGACUCCUGAAGCUUUACUAGCUCAGCUCAGCCAGUGCAUCCCAUGCCUAAGCCUUUUAAAAUUUAUUUUGAACACGUGGACCCAUGUGUUAACUGUAGAUUUGGGCUGACUGCACCAUGUCCUAGUCCGGCUGUGCUUUCAUGUGUCAAGUGGCCCUAGGCUUUGAUAACCCACUACAUUUUGACACCUCUAAAUAAAUUCUUGUUGUACAGCUCUACAGUUGGUGCGCAAAUUGGGUUGGGGGAUAUUGCGACCCAUUGGUAUGUAUUAUCUUCCUAUAUAUAUAGUUUCUGCUACACAUAUGUACUGAAAAUCAAUUACACAUGAAACAUUAUUUAACAUUUGUUUUAUUAAUUUUCAGUUCCAAAGAUCCAUUAUAUAUACCGAAGGAAGUCAGUCCAUGUCGAAGUCAGGAAAUUCUUGAGGGUCGUGUUUAAAAAAAUGGCACAACUGAGCAAACCAGAGCUCGAAAAAAUGGACUUGGAUAAAAUAAUAAAUGAUGCCAUAGAGAACGGAAUUUUUGAAUUUAUAGAUGAAAUGAUUAAAUGUGCCCCAGAAAUUAUAUGGAGAAAAGAUAAAAAGGAGAGAACAAUUUUUUCAAACGCAAUUAUAUCGCGUCAAGAGAAGAUUUUUGGCCUUAUAUUUACCUUAGGAAAAGAGAAGUGUCUAAUGGGAAUGAGGUAUGAUAUUUUUGUCAACAAUUAUUUACAUCUUGCUGCAAAAUUAUCUCCUCCUUCUCGACUUGAUAUUGUAACUGGAGCAGCACUACAAAUGCAAAGGGAACUGCAAUGGUUUAAGGUAAUGUAUUUUGCUCCGGUACAUGAUUGCUGCUGCACAUUCAUCUAACUUAUCUAAAAUUGAAUCGUUAUUCUAUGUCAUUUCUUCCAAUAUGCAGGAAGUUGGGAGCUUGGUACAACCCAAACUUAAAGAGGAACUAAACAGCCAUUACAAAACACCGAAGAUUUUAUUCACUGAUGAACAUGAGAAGUUAGCCAAAAAAGCAGAGGACUGGAUGAAAAAUACAGCAGGGUCAAGCAUGAUAGUGGCAACUCUAAUUGCUGCUGUAAUGUUCACAACAGCUUUCACAGUACCAGGUGGUAAUAAAAAUGACACAGGAAUGCCAACAAUGCUAGAAACUCAAAGGAUUCCCUUCUUGAUUUUCAUGAUUUCGAAUGCCCUGUCGAUGUUCAGUUCAAGUACAUCACUGUUGAUUUUCUUCGGAAUUCUUACAGCGCGUUAUGCAGAAGAUGAUUUUCUCAAGUCCUUACCGACAAAAUUAAUAUCAGGACUGACGAGUUUGUUCCUUUCGAUUGUUACCAUGAUGGCAUCCUUUGGCUCUGCAUUGUAUUUGAUUCUUCAUGAGAAUUUGUCUUGGGUCACCGUUCCUAUCAUCGUCCUUACAACGAUUCCAAUAGUUCUUUUCUCCAUCUUGCAGUUUCCUCUCUUGAUUGAGAUGACCCAACGCACUUAUGGAGCCGGGAUAUUUGAUGAAUAUACGAAGAAAUCCCGUUUUGCUAAGUUCAGAGCAUGUUUGAUAAGGAGGAAUCCAUUGAGGAAGAAAAGACAUUAAAAAUUUUAUAGGUCUUAUUAUAGAGUACUAUUGAAUAAGGUGUCCCAAAUGUGCUGUUAGCUCAUUUUGGUUUCUGUCAUUUUAAGUAAUGAUGUAUCCAUGGUGUUUUUUCUUAUGAAUAAUUCAUGUAUUGGAUCUAAUUGAGUGUCUCGUAGAAUUCCGUUGUUUGAAGAGUCAUCUUGAAUUCUUAGUAUGUACAAAUAGAACCACAUGUAGCAAUAUUUUGUAAUGCAAAUACGAAGUGAAUUUCAGAUUUUAUAUCUCCAAAUUAUCUUGCCUUCAAACUGGUAUUAAAGCCUUGAAAAAGAAAAAAAUAAUGUCCAACAUUCUUGUUUCUCUUGUGCCUCAUUUUAAUGGAAAAAAUUUGAUUAAUAUUUCAUUCAUCAACCAUCCAUAAAUUUAUUCAUCCAUAAAUAAAUCCAAUCAUUCAAAUAAACGUAUAAAACAACCCUAGGAAUCUCUCGACUAUAAAAUCAUGCAAUAAAUCAAGAAUUAGAAUUACAACACACGAUUCUAGACGAACCCUCUAAUACCAGUUUUUGGAAACUGGUCCAUUAGGAUUAGGAAAAACAAAAAUCAAAAUAAGUUUAAUGGCCGUGGUCUUUAUUAGAUUACCAUGUGUUGCAUUUCUAAUUAAUAGCCACAAAAGUGUUUAGAUGUUACACCUAUUCCGAGCAGUUAAUUUCUUUAUCUUCUGUCUCGAGGUUUAUUGAUUUGCAAGCUUUCGAACUAGAUCCCAUCCAAUAAUUACUCCUUCCUUGAUCUAAAAACUUCUAACAGUUGGAUCUUAUCUCUGAUCUUCUCCUCGACCUGGUUGCACCUGAUUUAUGGCAGCAAUUAUCGAAAUCCUAAUCCUCAAGAACUCACAAGAAAAUAUUAUGAUAUCAAGAACUCUUUGAAGUAAUGGAAGUUGUAUUGAAUAUGUAUGUUCUUUCACAGUCCAUUAGAUUUAUACAUAUAGAACUAAAUAGCCUUAUUCAUUGUUCCAACACAAUUGGGAUUCAAAUUAUAAAGGAACCAAGUUAUAUACACAAUAAAAUUCCUAAACAAUCCCGAAUUUUAACUCAUCAGGUCGUCUUUGCUUUUGAUCAAUGGCUGACUUUGGUAAAGUUUGACCUAAUCAACUAUGCAACCUGUCAAUUCAAUUAUUACCAUAAUUAAAUCAAAAUUUUUAUUUGAAGCUAUCAAAGGCACCUAAUUGGACCUCUAUAAUUCAAGCUUCAGAUAGUUUGGGCUCAAUAACUUGGAAGAAAGAUCGGAAAAUGGAGAAAAAUUGCGAAAUUCCAAGUUCUUGGAUUACUGUGCCGUAAAUCCUAGUCCCUUUAGUCAAGUUAUAAUUGUAAUACUUUGGUCAACCUUUAUCUGUUGGUCAAAUAUAUCAAGCACCAAAAAUGAAAAAAAAUAAAAUAAAUUUAGAUGAAUAAGUUCAGACGGUGGAUGGAUGGUGGGGACCACCUUUAAGCAUUUGUAUGAAUCCAAAUUUUUGUCAAUACAAAUCCAUUACCUACAAUUUAUGAAGAGAGAAAUCGGAGCUAAGGGUCCGUUUGAUUGCAAAGAUGAAAUUUGGAUGAAAAGAAAAUGAAUUUCAAGAAAUUGAAUUGCCUAGAAAUUAUUUUACUGGGAAUUGUCAAUUAUGGUGUUUGAUUGAUAUAAUUUUCCACUUGAAAAAUAUUGAAAUAAAUGUGUAUUUUGAUGUUCGUUUAGUUUUGUUUUUCAUGGAAAUUAUCAAUUUAAGGAAUAUAAUUUUUUACAAUUGUUCCUAAAAUUUGUUCCCAUUGCCCCAAAAAAAAAAAUGCGGCCAAGAAAAGAAAUUCCCACCAUUUCACAAAAAACCAAGAAAAUAGGCGUGUGUAGGGCAAGCCAAGAAAACCAUUUGCUUAGAAAAUUUUGGCUAUAAACAAGCGAAAAGUGGGAAACGGAAUUUGUUUUCCAUUUUCCAUGGAAAAUUUAUGGCUAUCAAACAUAGCCUAAGAGAAAAGAAGAGGAAAGAAAAAAAAAUCAGAAAAUUGAAAAGAAGAAGAAUUGCUUUAACCAUGGACUCAUUUUAAUCUGGUGCUUGAAGUUGAUUCCUCUUUUGGCUACAAAAAUGAGGUAAGAAAUGAAAUUACAAAUUUCAAGAAUCUACAAUAUUUAUGAGUUUAGAUGUCUUAGGGGGAUGUAUUCAAUUGAAACUUUUAAUGACUUUUUGAAAUUUAAAAAAGUUUAGGGUAUUCAAUUGAGACUCUAAAAGUCACGAUGUAUUUAAUUGAGGCUUUUAUAGACUUUUAAAAAGUCUCCAAAAGUAACGGUAUAUUUAAUUAAAUUUUUUUAGAUAAGUCUUGGGGUAUUCAAAUUUUAAUGAUUCUAGGGUUGUAGAGUACUAAUUUUUAAGCAGAAAGAAUUGCAAAGAUUAAGUUUGAAAUUUGGAAAUUAAGUGCUAACAUAUAGGGGAAAAUGUUUAUGAAUACUUUAAAAAGAAAAAAAUCAUGGUGGGGGAAUAGGUUGUGUAACAGUCAGAAAAUUUAUUUAUCCGUGGCUGAAAAGAGACUUAUUUGGGAUAUACUUGUGUUUCAGGAAAUGACGAGAAGAUCUCGGGAUAGUUUAUCAAUCAAGUUAAUCUCCCUUACAUAGUUCUGUGAGUGACAAAAAAAUUUUAAUUUUCUAAUAUUAAUAAGGUACUUAUUUUAUUAUAUUAGGUGAGAUUGUGUGAAUUAUUUGUUCGAUUACAUGAUUAAUAUGGAAUGGUUCUUUCACUCUGAUAUAUGUGGAAUUUAAAGUUUUGGAUAUGGAUUCUUUGUGAAUUGGAAUGCGAGACAGAUGUGAUAUUGAGAUCGACCGAAAAAGUACCCAUAAUUAUAUAUUUCUUCUAGUUCACUAAGGGACUUUUGCCGUGUUCUAUACUAUAUUGAGGGGCUUUGGAUCGUGGAUGAAAGGGUCUUGACCGUGUACAUAUAGUUCACUGAGAGGCCUUGACUGUAUUCUAGAAUUGAUUAUCAGAGGUUUUGAGACCCACUUUCGUUCACGGAGGGGGCCAAAGGCUCGUGGCGAAAGUUCUUAGCCCAAGAGACGGAUUACAGAUUUCAGUUUUGUGAAUUUUUCAGUACAUUUGAUGUGAUGAGAUUAUAGUAUGAUUACCAACUUGUAUUCAUAUCAUGACUUGAGAUGAUAUUUUACGACAUUAUGUGAAUAUCUCAAUUUUUGGUUGUAAUUAUAUAUUGUUAUCUUGGGAAUUAUUGAAUGAUAUGAACUCAAUUUCAAUACAAUGUAUAAAUGAACAAGUAUCAUCAUUUUCGAAAUUCUCUACUCACUGAGCUAUCAACUCAUAUAUUUUCUCACGAUUAUUCUAACCAAGUAGCAACUGAGUUUUGCCAGCUUGAAUAGCCUAUUGAUUUUAGAGCCACAACCACAUGACAGUUUAGGUUAUUAUGCCAUUUGAAUUGAGCAUGUAAAUAUCACUUUGGGCUAACAUUAUUUUGACAUAAAAUAGUUUUUUUUUUUCAUUAUUUAGAAUGAUUGGUAAAAGGUCAAAGAUAGCCUCGGUGGUAGGUUUGGCGUCUAGCUGGAAUCAACAAUUAGCGCACAUCACGUUUCGGAUCCGCUGGAGUGAUUCAGGACGGGUCGUAUCAGUUGGUCUCAGAGCAUGGUUCAAUAAUAUGUAUUUUUUAUUUUUUUAAUAGCUUGAGUAGUUUAUGAAUUUUUUCUUUCACCAUAAUAUUUUCAUUGGGAUUGUUAAUCAUGUGGUGUGGUGGCAAAGUUCACGGGUUCUAAUAUUUUGUUGCAAAAUUCAUAUUGCUAUCGAAAUAUAAAGAAGAAGGCAUGGAAGUUGAGAUUAUGUAAGCAUUUGUAUCAUAGAUUGAGCCAUUGAGGAAUAACCCCGACAUGAAAAUGUUGAGAAGGACCCUACUGUUGAAAGGAUUACUGUUGGAGUUGAUUCUAUAUAUAUGUAACAUAAAAUAGAUGAAAAAUACAUUGUUGAAGAGACAAUAAAUUUGGCCGAAGGAUUUUGAUUAUUUUGGCAUAUUUCCAGUAUACAUUUGAACUAAUGGUGCGAAGCCACCUAAAUAAGUUGUCUAUUGGGUUGCGGAUUCUUUUACGAGUGUGCUGAGGAUUGAAAAAUCUUGUCAUACUUGUGUACUUGGAGAAGAAUCUGUGAUGGAAUUAUGAUUAUCUUGAGGAAUUAAAUAAUGGGUUACUAAAAUGAGAAAGAUAAGUAGAGACAAAUGGAGGUUAGAGAAGGAAAAAUUAUUUGGCAGGUUACUUGGAGGUGUAGAAAAUCGGAAGGUAAAGAGAUAGAAAAUGAUUAGUUAAAGAGAGGAUGAAAUUGAGGGCAAUGAAAUCAUAUAUGGCAGUGUAGCAACUAAGGGAAUGGUGGGAAAAAGUAGAAGAAGAAUCGGUUCUCUUUCGCUCUUAAAUUCGGGCAUAAGUUAAGGAAAUUUUAUGAUUUCAAAAAUCUGUUAAUGUUUUACGUGUACAUAUAUGUGUGAAACCGAAAAAAAAAUGAUAGGGGGAAGAGACAAUAAAUUGAUAUAAUGGAGAAACAAGGUAGAAUUAUAGUGAGGAAGAAUUUAAUUUUGGUACUAAGUGGAGUUGCUUCAUUUUCAAUGUUAAUCGAAUAUUCAAUUUUUAAAGUAUUAUAUAGGCAAGCUUUUAUGUAUAGUGAAUAGAGAAGGAAAAAAAAUGAUGAAUUGGGUUGUGAUUCCACUGAGUAUAAUGAAUUAAGGGAGUUCUGAUUAAUGGAUAUGGACACUUGUAAUUGACGGGUAUGUGCAAUAAUAAUAAUAAUAAUAAUAAUAAUAAUAAUAAUAAUAAUAAUAAUAAUUGGGACUCAUCCUUAAGUUUCUUGUUUCAUCUUCUAAUUACAAUAACGUGAUUAGAAAGUGAUUGCAAUUGAAUAUAAAUUAUCCUUAAUAAAAGAUAACGUGAAAGGAGAAAUGGGAUGGAAAAUGGAAACACAUAAGGGUUCCCUGCAUCAGUGGACUGGAAUGGGAAAUAGAUAAGAAUGAGCAAUAGAUGAAGUUAUUGUUAGAAUAUAGUGGUGUUAAUGAAACCGGAUUAUCACAUACCGUAUAUGUAGUUUAGAUACAAAUUUUGAGCAUACCGUAUAUUUAGUCUACUGUAUUUACAACUUACCGUAUAUGCUUUUAUCCGUAUUUGCACAUAUUUUCUUUACACUUUUCAUAUAUACCGUAAUUUCAUUUACACAUAGAAAUACUGUAUAUGUAAUAUACAUAUACUGAAUUGCAUAUAACAACUGUUAAGAAGAAAAUUCAAAUAUAUAUUUUUUUUCUUUUACAAUUUUUAUUUCUAACAUAGAUAUAACAAACAAUUAAAUUGCAAAAUAUAUGAAUCAAGUAAAUUGCAAACGUGUAAAUCGCUUAAAUACAUAAAUAACAUGUAAGAAUAAAUUGCAAAUAUGUAAAUUGCAGAAGAUAAAUGAAUUUUCAACCCGAGGCCUGUGCGAGCACAGUUUUCUUAAAACAGAUUCGUUCCCUCACAGUAAGUGCUUGAGAUUUAACCUGAGCGUCUAUUUUCGAGGAUACAACGGUGACAGUAGAAUCUAAACACUGCAGAAACUACUCUUGCGAACUAAGUUUGUAUUGAACAAUAUCACCACCAAGACGAUGCUGAAAAAUGCAAUAGAUUAUGUAUGCAGACAACACUAAUUUGACAUAAUAUUUUCGUGUGAAUACAGUAUUCUCGUGGUUAGAAUUGCUGGAAAAAUGAGACUUAAUAUAAGAUUAAAUCUGCAUAUUAACUCCAUAGCAAUAAACACUAGAGUUGCUUUAAUUUCUGGGAGUUUUGGUAGUUUUCGAAAACUCAAAGGUCAGUUGAAGAAAGCAAAAACUUGCAAAACGUGGACACUCCAAACGGGGCAAUUUUUGCUCCGUUCGGUCCGACAUUGUUGAGAGUCAGCUCUUUUCCCGAGGUUAUCUUCAGAACCACCUUUCCUUGUCCCUUGAUUUCAGAAGUUGCUGAAUUUCUCAUGAACAACUUCUCCCCAUUCUCAAUUGCUUUAAACGCAGCAAAUAGCUCCUUAUCAGAGCACACAUGUCUCGUAGCACCAGUGUCAAUCCACCACUCCUUAGGGUUUGAACUCACCAUGUUCACUUCAAAAAUGACAGCUAAGAGAUUCAGCUCCGACACAUCUUGUGCCAUGUAGUCAACCACAUUUGCUUCUUUCUUCUUAUUUGGCAAUUUGCACUCCGAAGACUUGUGGCCCACUUUUUCACAAUUGAAGCAUUUUCCUUAAAAUUUCUUCUUAAAAAUUCCAAUUGAAGCAUUUUCCUUAAAAUUUCUUCUUAAAAAUUCCACCUUUCGGUUCUUGCUUGGUCCUUUUGCCACCGGAUGGCCUAAACUUAUUUUUUGUAGUUCUUUCUACUUUGACCAUACCCCCACAACAUUAACUUUAGCAGCAUCAGGAUUGAACCACUUCUUUUUAGAACUCUUGUUGUCUUCUUCAAUUAGAAGUCUAACUAUUAGUUCUUCGAUGUUCAAUUUCUUUCGUUUGUACUUCAAAUAAUUCUUGAAAUUUUUCUAUGUGGGGGCAAUUUUUCAAUAAUUGCAGCCAUUUGAAAAGUUUCACUCAAAAUCGUCCAUUCAGCAUGAAUUUCGUGAAGAAUCACUUGGAGUUCUUGCACUUGACUAAUAACUAUUUUGGAGUCUACCAUUUUACAGUCUAGGAAUCUGUCGAUAAUGAACUUUUUAGCCCCUACAUUCUCAGUUUUAUAUCUUCGGUACAAAGACUCUCAUAGUUCUUUAGCAGUUUUCAUUGUACUAUACACAUUGUAUAGCGUGUCUACUAAGCUGUUCAUAAUAUAGUUUCGGUACAGAAAAUUCGAGUGGUUCCAAGCAUCAAGUGCAUUGAUUGAUUGAACAUCUCCCUCACUCUCAUUGAGUUUUGGAGCAGUCUCAGUCAAAAAUCUCGCAAGAUUCAAAGUGGCCAGAUAAAAUAACAUUUUCUGUUACCAUCUUUUAAAAUCCGAGCAUUGAAUUUCUUCGAUUUUUCUCCAUGAUUAACUAGAAUACUAACGGUGUGGCCAAUUGUUGGAGCCAUAGUUUGACUCACAACAUGACUUGGCAAUCUAGCCACAGUGGAGCCAAAACAGAACUUGGCCCUUGAGCCACAGCUGAGCCCAUAGCUUGAUUUCCAGUAGGCACAAUAUGGGUCACAUUCAUGUUGGUUGAUUCGGUUGCCAUUUUUAAAAAUCAAACCAGAAAAAUUAGUUUCUAAAAAUUAACAGUAUAAGAAACCAAUUUUUUCUUUUAGGAAUCUGUUUUAAAUUUGUUAUAAUAUAGUGGUUAAUGAAACUGGAUUAUCACAUACCGUAUAUGUAGUUUAGAUACCAAAUUUUAGCAUAUCGUAUAGGUAAUAUAUUAUAUAUGCAGCUUACCAUAUUUGCAGACAGCUUACCAUACUUGCAGCUUACCGUAUAUGCAGCCUACCGUAUUUGUAGCUUACCGUAUAUGUUGCCUACCGUCCUACCAUAUAUACUUUUAACUGUAUUUGUAUAUAUUUUCUUUACCCUUUUCAUAAAUACCAUAUUUCCACUUACACAUAGAAAUACCGUAUAUGUAAUAUACAUAUACCGAAUAGCAUUUACCAACGUUAGCAAGAAAAUUCAGAUAUUUUUUUUUACGAUUUUUAUUUCUAACAUAAGUAUAACAAACAAGUAAAUUGCAAAAUAUAUGAAUCAAGUAAAUUGUAAACGCGUAAAUCGCUUAAAUAAAUAAAUAACCUGUAAGAAUAAAUUGCAAAUAUGUAAAUUGUAGAAGAAAAUAAAUUUUCAACUCGAGGCCCCUGUGAGCACAGUUUUCUUAAAACAAAUUCGUUUUCUCAUCGUAAGUGCUUGAGAUUUAAUCCGAGCGUUUGUUUCCCCCAGAAUACAAGGUGACAGUAGAAUUUGAGCACUGUAAAAACUACUUCGACAAACUGAGUUUGUAUUGAACAAUAUCACCACCAAGACGGUGUUGAAAAAAUGCAAUAGAUUAUGUACGCAGACAACACUAAUUUGACAUAAUAUUUUCGUGUAAAUCUAGUAUUCUCGUGGUUAGAAUUGCUAGAAAAUUGAGACUUAUAAGAUUAAAUCUGCCUAUUAACUCUAUAGCAACAAACACUAGAGUUGCUUCAAUUUUUGGGAAUUUUGGUAGUUUUCGAAAACUCGAAGGUCAGUUGAAGAAAGCAAAAAAUUGCAAAAUGUAAACGCUUCAAAAGGGCCAAUUUUUGCUCCGUUCAGUCCGAUAUUCAUAUACGCAGUUGUGUCUGCACACAAGUUCAAGGUCCAAAGGUAAUUUCGGUCCGUGAUUUGCACCCCCUGUGCGCAUACGUGGAGAAAGCCUCUAUGCUACACAUGAUUACACCAUUCCAAGGUGUAAUCCUUUAUAAAGUGGUUCAUACUUUCUUCAUUUUUCUAUGUGGGACUAGUUUUAUUUUCCUCAUAAACCAUCUUCCAAUGGUCAUCUUUGAGCUCCAAUUUCUCAUUUAUCCAUUCAUCAGUUUUGGCAAAUGAAUAUAUGGUUUCAAUGCUCUCACAAAUGAGAACAAGGAUCAACUUUGUUCUUCCAAAUUUGACCAACGGGUCCCACACAAAUUUUAUGCCAAAAUCAUCCACUAGCCCAUUUUUUUCCAAAAGUUAUGAAAUCUGCUAUUCAUUUAUUAGUUAGUGUAUACUAAAAGCCAGGAUAAUCAAUAACUGUGGACCUUGAUUAGAUGUGAUGGUAGUUUUAGUUUUUGUUGUUACAGAACAGAUUGUAGAAACUUAUAAGUAGGAUAUAGAAUCAUCUUAUGAUAACAGGGAAUGAAGUCUAGUGGUGAGAAACAAGGUAAUCAAGAUUAAAAUAUUGACAAGGAAGCAAAGAUAGUUUCUUGAUGUUGGUUGUUGUUUUGUUUUGUUUGAGCAAAGCCAAAGAAACUGAAACAGAGAAGUUGUUGUGCUCAAGCUUCUUAUUUCGUUUUCUAUUAUAGUAAGGUAAGAAGUUUAGGAUUUAAGCAAGACAUAUAUAUUUUCUACUUAUAUGAAGCUGCAGUGCUUGCAAGUAUUAAAUAUACAAGGAAAAAUGAUGUGAAAGAAAAAUAAUUAGGAAUUGAAGACGGUAGUGGUAAGUUUUAUGUUGCUGAGAAAUUAGAUUUCCAUACGCAUAUGUAUAUGUGAGAUAGUGAAAGUAAUGGAAUAGAAGAAAGAGGAGCAGGACCAUAUGCCUUGGCUAUGUUCCAUUGUUUAUCGAAGGCUACUAAGGGAUUUCGAUUAUUAACAGGUGGAUGGAAAUAAUCUAAAGGGCACUGACAAAUGAUAUGUGAAGAGGAGAAGGGAAAUUACAAGUUCAAGAGUUUGGUUGUUUACAUGUAUAUAUAUUUAUAAAAAGAAAAAAGAAAAAAGAGAGAGAUGUUAAAUAGAUGAAAUGGAGAAAAAGCCCUUAAAUUAAUUAAAGAAAAGAGGGAGAAGGGAUAGGAAAUGGGUUCAUGUGAUAGUUGUGACUAUUUUUAUGCUUUUGGUUAUGGAAAUUGGGCCACUAAUAUCGGUAUAUAUAUGGGUAGACAUAUGAUAAAUUCAAUUUUUGGAGAAAGCAUUAACACUUCAAGCUAAAAUUGAAAUUAUUUCAAUAUAGCAUAAGAUGAGAAGACAAGGUUCAAUAUUGGGGUGUAGUGAGCGAACUAAUCAAGGAAAGGAAGAUAAUUAGAAAUAAGACUAGCAUGGUAGUUACAGAGUGCAUUAGUAUGUAAAUUUAGCAAGUAGAUUAGCCUUAAUGAAAUCAUGGAAUGGAUUAGUUCAGUUACUCCUAGUUAGCCUUGCUAGCUUGCUUGUUUAGCAUUCCUGAUGAACCCUAGCCAAUUGAAUUUGGAGGACAAAAUUCUUUGAAGGGGGUGAAUUUGUAAUAUCCUAGUCCCUUUAGUCAAGUAAAAAAUCUAGCUGUAAUUGUAAUACUUUGGUCAACCUUUAUUUGUUGGUCAAAUAUGUCAAGCACCAAAAAUGAAAAAAAAAAUUAAUAAUAAACAAAUUUGGAUUAUUAAGUUCAGCUGAUAGAUGGGUGGUGGGGACCACCUUUAAACAUUUGUAUGAAUCCAAAUUUUUUUCAAUACAAAUCCAUUACCUACAAUUUAUAGAGAGAGACAAGGGAACUAAUGGCUUGGUUGAUAGCCUUUUAAUUCCAUGGAAUUGGAAUUCCACCAACUGUCGCCACAUCAACAUUUUCCUUCUAUUGAUGGAAUUUCAAUUCUCACCAAAAUAGUGAGAAUUUGAAUUCCAGCUUUUCUUUUUUUCCUUUUUGUUUUUUGUGUUUUUGGCAAUGGAAACAAAUUUUAAGAAUUAUUGUAGAAAAAAAAAUUCCCUUUAAUUGACAAUUUUCAUAUAAAACAAAGUCAAAUGAACACCAAAAGAUAGAUGAUUUUCUUGAUUUUUUUUUUUUGGAUUUUGACAAUGGAAAAAAAUUUCAUCUCCAAUACCAGUAAAUUUUAUCCCUUUAAUUGAUAAUUUUCAUGUAAAAUAAAGUCAAACGAAUACAAAAAAUACUUUUAUUUCAACAUUUUUCACAUGAAAAAUUACACCAAUCAAACACAAUAAUUUACAAUUUUCAGGAAAAUGAUUUCUAGGCAAUUUAAUUUCAUCUUUACAAUCAAACAGACCCUAAGAGAAAAGAAGAGGAAAGAAAAAAAAAUCAGAAAAUUGAAAAUGGACUCAUUUUAUCUUGUGCUUGAAGUUGAUUCAUGUUUUGGCUACAAUAAGAAAUGAAAUUGCAAAUUUUUACUCCAUUCGGCCCGACAUUCGUGUGCAUAGGUCGUAUCCGCGCACAAGUUCAAGGUCCGAAGGCAAUUUCAGUCAGCAAUUUGCACCAUCCUGCGUGCGCACAUGGAGAGAGCCUCUAUACUACACAUGAUUACACCAUUCCAAAGUAUAAUCCUAUAUAAAGUGGUUCAUACUUUCUUCAUUUUCUAUAUGGGACUAGUUUUAUUUCUCACAUAAACCAUCUUCCAAUGGUCAUAUUUGAGCUCCAAUUUCUCAUUCAUCCAUUCAUCAAUUUUGGCAAAUGAAUAUAUGGUUUCGAUGUUCCCACGGAGUAGAACAAGGAUCAACUUUGAUGUUCCAAAUUUGACCAAUGAGUCCCACACAAAUUUUAUGCCAAAAUCAUCCACUAGCCCAUUUUUUUCCAACAAUCCCUCACAUGAAUGAAAAUUGAGAGAGAUAUGAAACCGUGAGACACAAGACUAAGUGAUAAAUUUCAACGGUUGAAGCCUGUAUAGGAUAGGUAGGUAUUACUCUUUAAACCUUCCCCUGUGAAAGCAUAUUUAUUUUACGAGCUGGCCAGUAGACGUGUUGUCCUUGAACUGUUCUACCAUUUAUCUGAACGAUGAUAUACUCCACACAGGAUUCUUCCUAACACAAUUUAGUUCUCAUUAUUAUGUUCGUUUUGGCCAUGAACAUAUGCCUAGUUCUAUGAGAGUUCUUAAGAAUUGAGCCCCGCCUAAUUCUCUUAGAAGCUGCUCCACUUCUUUAUCACAUUGGUGAUUUCUUAUUACAAAUAACCAGCAUUUCUUGGCUCGAAUAUCGACGCAUAAGAAUUAAAAAUUUAUUGUUUAUCCUUCAUCCUUAUGGGCAUCACUAUUACAUCAUAGGAAUGGACAGGAGGAAACACCCCCACUGUGAUUUUAUUAAGCCUUUACAAUUAGGUUGUCCCUUUGAACCUAGAUCUUGGGAUCUCCAGUCAAUUAGGUUGGGUUUCCUAUGUAAUGACUUAUUCAUUCAAGGGCUUAAGUCACAUCCAUUUCAAUGAUUUCCCAACUAACUCUCUAUUUAACCCUUAGGUUAGCGGAUCCGCAAUGUUAUUUUUUGACCUUACAUAGUUAAUAGUGAUCACUCCAGUUGAGAGUAGUUGUCUUAUGGUAUUGUGUCUACGACGUAUAUGUUUAGACUUACCAUUGUACAUGUUACUCUGUGUCCUUCCUAUUGCUUAUUAACUGUCACAAUAUAUGCAAAUCGCUGGCACAGGUUUUGACCAUCUUGGAAUAUCAUCUAAGAAGUUGCGCAACCAUUCCACAUCUUCACCACAUUUAUCUAGAGCUAUAAACUCAGAUUCUAUCGUAGAUUUGCUAUAACUGUUUGCUUAGAGGAUUUCCACAAUAUGACAGCACCUCUCAAUGUGAACAUAAAUCCACUAGUGGACUUUGAGUCUUUUAUAUCAGAUAUCCAAUUAGCAUCACUGUAUCCUUCAAUGACCGCUGAAUAUCUGGUAUAAUGUAGUCCAUAGUCACGAGUAUAUCUUAAGUACCUUAGUACUCUUACUAUUCCUUUCCAGUGAUCAGCUCCUAGAUUACUCUUGUAUCUACUCAGUUAACUGACUGUGUAGGCUAUGUCUGAUCUUGUACAACUCAUCAAGUACAUUAGACUUCCAAUAACUCUCAAGUAUUCUAUUUGAGAGACACAUUCACCUUUGUUUUUAGUUAGAUGUUGACUUGUAUCUAUCGGUGUUCUAGCCAAGCUAGUAUCAUCCUUAUUGAACUUUUUCAAAAUUUUGUCCACAUAAUGUGACUGACUUAGAACAAGCUCAUCUAAUGUUCUUAAGAUUUUUACUUCAAGUAUAACAUCAGCUAAACCCAUUCUUUCAUGUUAAACUUGAAUUUAACAUAUUUUUAGUGGAUUCAAUCAUCUUAUUGUCACUACCAACAAUAAGCAUGUCAUCAACGUAAAGACAUAAAAUGACAUAACCAUCUUUAGUGUCUUUGACGUAAACACAUUUAUCACACUCAUUGAUUUUAAAUCUACUCUCUAUCAUGACAUCAUCAAAUUUUUCAUGCCAUUGUUUGGGUGCUUAUUUCAAGCCAUAUAGUGAUUUCACCAAUUUACGAACUUUCUUUUCCUGCCCUGUGACGAAACCCCCUUGGGUUGUUUCAUAUAGAUUUCUUCUUCUAGAUCUCCAUUUAAAAAGGCAGUUUUAACAUCCAUUUGAUAUACUUUAAGAUUUCGCAAAGCGGCAAUCGCAAGUAUCAACCUAAUAGAUGUUAUUCUCGUCACUGGAGAACACGUAUCGAAGUAAUCAGGGUCUUUCUUUUGUUUGUAACCUUUUAUUACUAAUCUGGUCUUGACUUUUCGAUAGUUCCAUCCGCUCUCAUUUUCUUUUUGAAAAUCCAUUUAUAAACUAGUGGUUUGCUUCCUGGAGGAAGAUCCGUUAGCUCUCAUGUAUGAUUUUGCAGUAUGGAAUCUAUUUCACUUUUAAUGGCAUCCUUCUAUUGAGGUCCUUCCGAGGAAUUCACAGCCUCUUGAUAACUUUGAUGUUUACUUUCUAGCAUAUAGGUUAGAAAAUCAGGACCAUACGAUUUUUCUGUCAUUUCCCAUUUGCUACAUCUAACCUUAGUCUCCUCUUCUAGUUCUUCGUCAUGACUAUGUUCAGUCAUACUCUCAUAUGUUCGUUUGAAGGAGCUUGCUUCCUCUUUGGACUUGUAUGGAAAUAUAUGUUCAAAGAAUGAAGCAUUUCUUAACUCCAAUAUCGUGUUUUUUUAAAUGUCUGGGAUUUUAGAAUUAUACACAAAAAAUCGACAAGCACUACUAUUGUGUGCAUAGUCAAUGAAAAUGCAAUCUACUAUUUUGGCCCUAUCCUUACCUUCUUUGGUGUUGGAAUGACCACUUUAGCAAAACACCCUCACACUCGUAAGUACUUAUAGAAAGACUUUCUUCCUUUCCAUAACUCAUAAGGGGUCUUUUCCAUUUCUUUCGAGGAACCUUAUUUAAAAGAUAAUUUGCUGAUAACACAGCUUCUCCCCACAUGUUCUGAGGUAACCCAAAACUUACUAGCAUUGCAUUCAUCAUUUCCUUUAAAGUACGAUUUUUUUGUUCAGCAACACCGUUUUGCGGUGAAUAAGGUGCGAUGAUUUCAUGUAUGAUUCCGUGUUGUGCACAUAAUUUUGCAAAUAGUGCUUCAUACUCACCACCUCGAUCGCUUCUUAACACCUUAAUUUUCUUAUUAAGUUGAGUUUCAACUUCAUUCUUAUAGAGAAUAAAUUUUUCUAUAGCUUCAUGUUUACUUUUAGCAAAUACACAUAACAGUAUUUGGUGCUAUCGUCGACAAAAGUAAUGAAAUACUUGUUGUCACCUCUUGUUUGUACGAGUUUUAAAUCACAUACGUCACUGUGAAUUAAAUCAAGUGGUUCUGUGCUCCCUUCAAUUGAUUUAAACGAUGACAUUGUCAAUUUUGUCUCAACAUAGGUUUCACACUUAUGUUUUGAAUCAAUGUGGAACUCGGGUAUGCAAUUCAAGUUAACUAGUCUUCGUAAAGUAUCAUAGUUAACAUGUCCUAGUCUACGAUAUCACAAAUUGGAAGACUUAAGCAAAUAAGCAGAAGAGUUUGCUUUAUUUAUUUUUAGUUUAACAACCAUUACAUUGAGUUUAAAUAUACCAUCAGAAACAUAUCCUUUUAUGACAAACAUUCCAUUUUUUGACAAAAUAACUUUGUCUGACUCAAAUACAAUGUGAAAGCCAUGUUUAUUCAAAAGCGACCUGAACACUAGAUUCUUACAAAUUUUCGGCACAUAUAGCACAUUGUUUAGAGUCAGCUCUUUUCCCGAGGUCAUCUUCAGAACCACCUUUCCUUGUCCCUUGAUUUUAGAAGUUGUUGAAUUUCCAGUGAACAACUCCCCAUUCUCAAUUGCUUCAAAUGCAACAACCAGCUCCUUAUCAGAGCACACAUGUCUCGUAGCACCGGUGUCAAUCCACCACUCCUUAGGGUUUGAACCCACCAUGUUCACUUCAAAAAUGACGGCUAAGAGAUUCAGCUCUGACACAUCUUGUGCCAUGUAGUCAACCACAUUUACUUCUUUCUUCUUCUUUUGCAAUUUGUACUCCGAAGACUUGUGGCCCACUUUAUCACAAUUGAAGCAUUUUCCUUGAAAUUUCUUCUUAGAAAUUCCACCUUUCGGUCCUUGCUUGGUCCUUUUGCCACCGGAUGGCCCAGACUUUUUUUUGUAGUUCUUACUACUUUGACCAUACCCCACUACAUUAGCUUUAGCAACACCAGGAUUGAACCACUUCUUUUUAGAACUCUUGUUGUCUUCUUCAAUUAGAAGUCUAACUAUUAGUUCUUCGACGUUCAUUUCCUUUUGUUUGUGCUUCAAUUAUUCUUGAAAUCUUUCCAUGCGGGGGGCAAUUUUUCAAUAAUUGCAGCCACUUGAAAAGUUUCAUUCAAAAUCAUCUCUUUAGCAUGAAUUUCGUGAAGAAUCACUUGGAGUUCUUACACUUGACUGAUAACUAUUUUGGAAUCCACCAUUUUAUAGUCUAGGAAUCUGUCGACAAUGAACUUUUUAGCCCCUGCAUCCUUAGUUUUAUAUCUUCGAUCCAAAGAAUCCCACAGUUCCUUAGCAGUUUUCAUUGUACUAUACACAUUGUAUAGCGUGUCUGCUAAGUUGUUCAUAAUUUAGUUUCGGUACAGAAAAUCCGAGUGGUUCCAAACAUCAAGUGCACUCAUUGCUUGAACGUCUCCCUCACCCUUAUUGAGUUUUGGAGUAGUCUCAGUCUAGAAUCUCGCAAGAUUCAAAGUGGUCAUAUAAAAUAACAUUUUCUGUUGCCAUCUUUUAAAAUUGAAGCAUUGAAUUUCUUCGAUUUUUCUCCAUAAUUAACCAGAAUACUAACGGUGAGGCCAGUUGCUGGAGCCACAGUUUGACUCACAACAUGACUUGACAAUCUAGCCACAGUCUAAGUCACAGCAGAACUUAGCCCUUAAGCCACACUUGAGCCCAUAGCCUGAUUUUCAGUAGGCACAACAUGGGUCACAUCCAUGUUAGUUGAUUCAGUUGCCAUUUUUGAAAAUCAAACCAAAAAAAUUAGUUUUCAAAAAUUAACGGUAUAAAAAACCAAUUUUUUCUUUUAGGAAUUUGUUUUAAAUUUGUUAGAAUAUAGUGGUGUUAAUGAAAUCGGAUUAUCACUUACCGUAUAUGUAGUUUAGAUACCGAUUUUGAGCAUAAUGUAUAUGCAAUAUAUCGUAUAUGCAGUUUAUCGUAUUUGCAGGUAGCUUGCCGUAUAUGCAGCUUAUCGUAUUUUCAGACAGCUUACCGUAAAUGGAGCUUACCGUAUAUGCAGCCUACCGUAUCUGUAACUUACCGUAUAUGCUUCCUACCGUAUUUCCACCUACAUAUAGAAAUACCGUAUAUGUAAUAUACAUAUACCGAAUUACAUUUACCAACGUUAGCAAGAAAAUUCAGAUAUAUAUAUUUUUUCUUUUACUAUUUUUAUUUCUAACAUAAGUAUAACAAACAAGUAAAUUGUAAAAUAUAUGAAUCAAGUAAAUUGCAAACGUGUAAAUUGCUUAAAUAAAUAAAUAACCUGUAAGAAUAAACUGCAAAUAUGUAAAUUGUAGAAGAUAAAUAAAUUUUCAACCCAAGGCUCGUGCGAGCAUAGUUUCCUUAAAACAGAUUCGCUCCCUCAUCGUAAAUGCUUGAGAUUUAAUCCGAGCGUCUGUUUUCCAAGAUACAAAGUGACAGAAGAAUAUGAGCACUGCAGAAACUACUUCGGCAAAUUGAAUUUGUAUUGAACAUUAUCACCACCAAGACGACGCUGAAAAAAUGCAAUAGAUUAUGUAUGCAGACAACACUAAUUUCACAGAAUAUUUUCGUGUGAAUGCAGUAUUCUCGUGGUUAGAAUUGCUUGAAAAUUGAGACUUAAUAUAAGAUUAAAUCUGACUAUUAACUCCAUAGAAAUAAACACUAGAGUUACUUUAAUUUCUGGGAGUUUUGGUAGUUUUUGGAAACUCGAAGGUCAGUUGAAGAAAGCAAAAAAUUACAAAAUGUAGAUACUCCAAACGGGCCAAUUUUUGCUCCGUUCAGUUCGACAUUCAUGUACGCAGGUUGCUCCUGCACACAAGUUCAAGGUCCGAAGGCAAUUUCAGUCCGUGAUUUGCACCACCUGCGCGCAUACGUGGAGAGAGCCUCUAUACUACACACGAUUACACCAUUCCAAAGUGUAAUCCUUUAUAAAGUGGUUCAUACUUUCUUCAUUUUUCUAUGUGGGACUAGUUUUAUUUUCCACAUAAAUCAUCUUCCAAUGUUCAUCUUUGAGCUCCAAUUUCUCAUUCAUCCAUUCAUCAGUUUUGGGAAAUGAAUAUAUGGUUUCGAUGCUCCCACAAAGGAGAACAAGGAUCAACUUUGAUAUUCCAAAUUUGACCAACGGGUCCCACACAAAUUUUAUGCAAAAAUCAUCCACUAGCCCAUUUUUUCCAAAAGUUAUGAAAUCUACUAUUCAUUUAUCAGUUAGUGUAUACUAAAAGCUAGGAUAAUCAAUAAAUGUGGACCUUGAUUAGACGUGAUGGUAUUUUUAGUUUUUGUUGUUGCAGAACAGAUUGCAAAAACUUAUACGUAGGAUAUAGAAUCAUCUUAUGCUAACAGGGAAUGAAGUCUAGUUGCAAGAAACAAGUUAAUCAAGAUUAUAAAUAUUGAUAAGGAAGCAAAGACUUGAUGUUGGUUGUUGUUUUGUUUUGUUUGAGCAAAGCCAAAGAAACUGAAACAGAGAAGUUGUUGUGCUCAAGCUUCUUAUUUUGUUUUCUGUUACAGUAAGGUAAGAAAUUUAGGAUUUAAGCAAGACAUAUUUAUUUUCUACUUAGAUAAAGUGCAGUGCUUCCAAGUAUUAAAUAUACAAGGAAAAAAUGAUGACAAAGGAAAAUAGUUAGGAGUUGAAGACGGUAGUGGUAAGUUGUAUGUUGCUGAGAAAUUAGAUUAGUAUAUGCAUAUGUAUAUGUGAGAUAGUGAAAGUAACGGAAUAGAAGAAAGAGGAGUAGGACCAUUUGCCUUGGCUAUGUUCCAUUGUUUAUCGGAGUCUACUAAGGGAUUUCGAUUAUUAAUAGGUGAAUGGAAAUAAUCUAAAGGGCACUGAUAAAGGAUAUGUGAAGAGGAGAAGGGAAAUUACAAGUUCAAGAGUUUGGUUGUUUACAUGUAUAUAUAUUUAUAAAACAAAAAGAGAGAGAGAGAGAGAGAGAGAGAGAGAGAGAGAUGUUAAAUAGAUGAAAUGGAGAAGAAGCCCUUAAAUUGAUUAAAGAAAAGAGGGAGAAGGGAUAGGAAAUGGGUUCAUGUGAUAGCUGUGACUAUUUUUAUGGUUUUGGUUAUGGAAAUUGGGCCACUAAUAUCAGUAUAUGUAUAUGGGUAGACAUAUGGUAAAUUCAAUUUCUGGAGAAAGCAUUAACACUUCAAGCCAAAAUUGAAACUAUUUCAAUAUAGCAUAAGAUGAGAAGGCAAGGUUCAAUAUUGGGUGUAGUGAGCGAACUAAUCAAGGAAAGGAAGAUAAUUAGAAAUAAGACUAGCAUGGUAGUUAUAGAGUGCAUCAGUAUGUAAAUUAAGUAAGUAGAUUAGCCUUAAUGAAAUCAUGGAAUAGAUUAAUUCAGUUACUCCUAGUUAGCCUUGCUAGCUUGCUUGAUUAGCAUUCCUGAUGAACCUUAGCCAAUUGAAUUUGGAGGACAAAAUUCUUUGAAGGGGGUGAAUUUGUAAUAUCCUAAUCCCUUUAGUCAAGUCAAAAGUCUAGCUGUAAUUGUAAUACUUUGGUCAACCUUUAUUUGUUGGUCAAAUAUGUCAAGCACCAAAAAUGAAAAAAAAAAUUAAUAAUAAAUAAAUUUGGAUUGUUAAGUUCAGGCCGUAGAUGGGUGGUGGGGACCACCUUUAAACAUUUGUAUGAAUCCAAAUUUUUAAAAGGAAAUUCCACCAACUGUUGUCACAUCAGCAUUUUCCUUCUAUUGAUGGAUUUUCAAUUCUCACCAAAAUAGUGAGAGUUUGAAUUCCAGCUUUUCUUUUCUUUUUUUUCUUUUUUUUUGGUAAUGGAAACAAAUUUUAAGAAUUAUUGUUAAAAAAAAUUCCCCUUAAUUGACAAUUUUCAUGUAAAACAAAUCCAAAUAAACAUCAAAAGAUAGAUGAUUUUCUUGAUUUUUUUUUUGAGUUUUGGCAAUGGAAAUAAAUUUCAUCCCCAAUACCAAUAAAUUCUAUCCCUUUAAUUGAUAAUUUUCAUGUAAUUUAAAAUCAAACAAAUACCAAAAAAUACUUUUAUUUCAACAUUUUGCACGUAGAAAAUUAUACCAAUCAAACAUAAUAAUUUACAAUUUUCAGGAAAACGAUUUUUAGGCAAUUUAAUUCUAUCUUUACAAUCAAACGGAUCCUAAGAGAAAAGAAGAGAAAAUAAGAAAAAUCAGAAAAUUGAAAAUGGACUCAUUUUAUUCUUGUGCUUGAAGUUGAUUCAUGUUUUGGCCACAAUAAGAAAUGAAAUUGCAAAUUUCAAGAAUCUUCAAUAUUUAUGAGUUUAGGUGUCUUAAUUUCUUUCAAAAAUUUAAAUGGGAGAAAGAGAUUAAAGUGAUGAAGGACUUCAAAUUAAGUGAAGAGAAAUGAGUGAAAAGGCUCUUUAUGUGUGUGUGUGUGUGUGAAUUGCAAAGAUUAAGAUAGAAAUUGGGAAAUUAAGUACUACCAUAUAAGGGAACACGUGUAUGAAUACUUUAAAAAGAGAAAAAAUCAUGGUGGGGGAAUAGAUUGUGUAAUACUCAGAAAAUUUAUUUAUCCAUGGUUGAGAAGGGACUUAUUUGGGAUAUACUCGUGUUUCAGGAAAUGACGAGAAGAUCUUGGAAUAGUUUAUCAAUCAAGUUAAUCUCCCUUACAUAGUUCUAUGAGUGGAAAAAAUUUAUAUAUUUUAAAGUAUUAAUAAGGUGCUUAUUCUAUUAUAUUACGUGCAAUUAUGUGAAUUAUUUGUUCGAUUACAUGAUUAAUAAGGAAAGGUUCUUUCACCGUGAUAUAUGUGGAAUUUAAAGUUUUGGAUAUGGAUUAUUUGUGAAUUGGAAUGCGAGACAGAUGUGAUAUUGAGAUCGACUCAAAAAAAUAUCUAUGAUUAUAUAUUUCUUCUAGUUUAUUGAGGGGCCUUGACCGUGUUUUAUACUACAUUGAAGGGUCUUGGACCGUGGAUGAAGGGGUUUUGGCCGUGUACAUAUAGUUCGCUGAGGGGCUUUGAUCAUGUUCUAGAAUUGAUUAUUAGAGGUCUUGAAAUCGGCUUUCAUUCAUGGAGGGGGUCAAAGGCCCGUGGCAAAAGUUCUUAGUCCGAGGGGUGGAUUAUAGAUUUUAGUCAUAGGGGUACAUUUUUGGUGAUUUUUUCCAUACAUUUGAUGUGAUGAGAUUAUACUAUGAUAGCUAACUUAUGUUCAUAUCAUGACUUGAGAUGAUAUUUUAUGAUGUUAUAUGAAUGUCUCAAUUUUUGGCUAUAAUUAUAGGGAGAAGAAGAUAUUGUUUAUGAAGAUUUGAAGAUAUUUUCUAAUAUUACUGAGAAAAGGACUUGGUCGAGAUUAGAAAAAGUUCAAUAUUCCUGAAGAUAUCAAGCUAGUAUGUCAGAAACAAUUUCAGAUUGUCGAUCAUCUACAUUGCGAUUGUAUUUCUGUUCAUAAGAAUUCGAUAGAUAUAGGACUCUGAGUUCUUUUUUCAUAAUAUCUUCCACGAGGUUCUUAGCUCUUUUAAACUUGCUCCCCCCUACUUACUCUUAAUGGGUGGGCUCAUAUGGUUGACUCUUUCCUUUUGUGGACCAUUACAGGGUUAGUAGUAAAAUUAUUCUCUAAUAUUUUCAGGUCAAACUAUCACCCAAUAAAUUCCAAUAACAAAGCUAAUCCUUAAAAUGACUUUUAUUAUCUUUCUCCUUGCUCGCCCAAAUUCUGCCCCGAACUUGUAAUUACUCCAAAUAAGGUGCAUAACUUGAAAGAAAGUUUCCUCUCCUUUCGAGUAGCAACAUGCCUUGUUCUUACAACAAAUACUACAAGUAUUGUGAAUUUACUCUUUGCACUCAUUUAAUUUUCUUUUGAUUUUUAUUAAUGUUUCCCCUUCUAUGAAAGGAAAAAAGUCUGCUAGGGGUUCGAGCACUUGUUGACCUUCAAACUUUUGUGACUCUAUUUCUUAAUUUGAAUUCAAAACUUUGCGAAGCGGAGAGAAUGUUUCAUCCUUCUAAUUAAAACUUUUACAACAAUAGGAUAGAAACUACGAUAGGUACAUGUGCAUACUAAAAGCUUCUUUUGGUCUUUAAACCCUUCUAACUUUAAUUUUUGCGUCAUAGCGAGGAUUGAUUUUGAUGCAAUUCCAACUGAAAACUACUAGAAGAAAAGUUUUCAUGUGCUCACUUCUCCUAACGAUGUUUUCUCACUGCCGGCCAGAAGAUCAAAGGUUACGUCCUUGCAAGGGGCCUAGGAGAUCCAGAGGCAUUUCUUUGAAGAAAACUAAAACUCUUCCUCAAUUGUCGUGAAUGAUUCUACUUUUAGAAAAAUGAAGGUGUUGUGUACUAAUAAUCAUCUGGAACAUCAAGUUUACGUUGUCUUUCGGACCUUUUUUAAUAUUGUUUCUUAUGGUUCAUUUUGUGCAAGUUUAUUAAUGAAAACUUCAUUGUGAUGUGUUUGAUCAUUAAUUUGUUGUUCUUGUAAAUUGUCUAACAUCCAACAGUUGGAGGAACAACAAUAUUAGAAGAAGUUGAGGACAAAAGAAUUUGAACUAUUACUUCUUCAAUUUCCAUAAUAAGUGGUGCUACAAUCCCACAAACUUCACUAUUCUCAAUCAAUUUCAACAAUUCUAGUACUAUGGUUAGGAUAUUAAAAUCUAAAACCCUUCAAUUUUUUUGGAUAACCAAUAAAUUUCUAUGAGUCUUUCUUGGGUUUAAUUUUUUUUUUCCCAUGUGGAUUACAAAUUCAUACUUCUGUCUUAUAACCCCAAACAUGCAAGUGCCUUAUAAUGAGUUACCUUCUCGUCUCGUAUUUAAAUUGAGUCUUUAGAGUUGCCUUACAAGGAACCCCUUUAUCUAUAUUCACAAUAGACUUCAAAUCAAAUAUCUUCAAAAAGAUGGGAAAAGAAAAAUUAAAUAACAUACACUUCGGAGUAUUGUCUACUUACAUCAUACCCUCUGAUCGUAUUAAAUUCUGAAAGUGUCUGGUAUCAUGAAUAAGUAAUAAAAUGAUAACUAAAGAAUCGUUCCCAUGAAAACUAGAUCAUUCCCGCUAAAACUAGAUACUUAACCUAUGAUCAAUAAAUGUUAACUUUAAUCAAAUAGCCAAAUAUGUUUGAAGAAUUAAUACUAGUUAACUAAUUAAACUAUUCUAACGAUAAAAUUAUGAAAGCUUUGUAAAUUUAGAUAAGAUGAUUACUAAGACUGAAUCCCCAUUCUUAGUCCACUUUAAUGAAAUUCAAUAUCAUGACAAUAUGUAUGUGUUCUUGUUGAUCGAUGCUCCUAAAUUAUUUUAUAAUCUCUCUUGAGUAUAAUUAAAUCCAUCCUCUCGUAUGACCUUUUCGUAUCUCUAUGACAGAUGUGAACAUGGGAAUAUUCAUUAAGAGCGUGUUUGAGUCCUUUAUAUUGCCCAAAAUGUAUUUUGAAAUAAUAUAUUGAUGGAGAAUGUUUGGUUAAGAAAUAAGAAAAACUUCUGAAUUUUUGUGUAAUAUUAUUUUAUUGAAGGAUGUGUAGUUGAAAAUAAGAGAAAAAAUGUAUUUUAAAUAUAAAGGGGACCAAACAAGGACUAAAAACACUAGAACAUCUAUUGGAAUCAUACAAAUCAUAGACGUAUAUCUCUUUCUCUUUUAUGAACCUCAUAAUGGUUGUUAUAAGUGCAAUCUUCCAAUUAUUUCCCUCAAUAACAAUAAAAUUUACAAAUCAAUCCAAUUAGUGAUCAAAUAAUUGAAAUGCGUCAAACAUAGUAACAAUAAUUUCAGAAUACACACAUAUAGAGCAUCCAAAUAUUGAAUUUUUAUUCAAAGCUUCAUAACAAGGGUUCAUCCAUAUCUUAGUAAAUGAAAAUCUAGCCUAACAUUACAAAAGUACAAGAAAUCAUAAUAAUAUGUAGAAUGUUACCCGAUUCAUUGAUAAAUUAAGAAGAAAAAGAAGAAGAAGAAGAAGAUAAAUCUUGAAAUUUUGAAUCUCUUCAAUGAUUUAUCUAUUGAUCUCCAAUUUCAUCUUCUCUUUUUUGCCCAAGAAUCAAAAUUGGAUCUUCAAUUGAUUGAAAAUUUUCAAUUUCCUCUUAAUUUUUACAAAAUUUUGUUGAAUUGGCCACACUUUUCUUGUAAUAAUUCAUGAAAUAUAAUGUAUGAGGGGUCCCUUUAAUGUUUGCCUAUGUUCUUGAUUUAUAGAAUGUGAAAUUAGGUCAAGAAACACGUCUAAAUUGGGUUCCAAAUUAAAAAGUUUCAAUCAAAUAAAGAAAGUUACCUUUGCGUUGUGCAUGGUUAUGUCUCAGUUUAGCCGUUAGUAUUUUUAUCAAAUUUUGAUAUUCGGUAUUCGAUUGAUGAGAUUUAAAGUGCUUUAGAACUCUAACUCAAAGAAAUAAAAUUAUUCUAGAAGUAUCAUUUUUCCAAUUCAGACUUUUACUAUAUGAAAAAUGGGUGUCUCGAUCUAUGACUGAAAAUUUGGACUGGUGAAAAUACUUUGACUAUAUUUUAAUACUUCACUUAUUUGACUUCUAGUCACAUCUAGUUGAUCCUAUGUGAUCUCCAAUCAUCUUUUUCUGGUCCGAACUAAUUACUAGAUAUUAAAAAUUAGGUCCCCAAACUUUGGAAAUCCUCAAUUUUCGCUAAUUUUCGCUUCUUUCUUCCAAUUGCACUUUCAAUCAUUGAGUUUUUACCUAACAAACAAAAUAUACAUAAGUGUUAAUUUUACCUUUAUUUCCUAACCUACAUAAGCAGUAGGCUUACCUUUAAUUUUGAACAAUGCCUUACAUUUCCAGCAGCCUUUUUGAUACUAAAGUGACACAUAGCUUUCUUCUGCAUUUGGACAGAAGAUUCAUUUAUCGUUGUGGUCAAUGCUUAAUGCCCAUUUCAAACUUCUUUUUAUAUUUCUUUUCAGCUCUUUGAUGACUUUACAUGAUGAAUAUAAUUAGUUCCUUUAAUUUUAAGCCUUGUCUCCUCUUGCACAAACAUACUAUGCAAUUUAUUCACAUGCCACUUGUACUUUGAAGUAUUACAGUUCAUUUGUAGUGGACCUUAUUCAAUAAGAAAGGAGUUGAUAAUAUAUUGUAUCAUUAAGUUGUCAUCUGAAGUCAUUCCUAUAAUCUUUAAGACUUGCUACAAUAUUAGACAUCUCAAUAACAUGCUGAUGCAUGAAUCAUCAAAUUUUAUGGUGGUUAGAGUAUCCAUUAGUGUGUUAGCAAGAGACUUAUCAGGUGUUUGAGUAUGAUUUUUCACAAAUUUAUAUAGUCCUUAGUCAGUUUGAUCUUUCCUAUAACUUAUCAAAAAUCUUUUAUUUGUGAUGCUCAGUGAUGUGAGAGAUCAACAUAUUUUUCUACAUGAAAUAGAACACAUAAGUGAAAUCAAAGAAUUGAGCCCAUUGAAUAGUUGAUUAUCUAAAGCAUGCAAAUGUAGAGAUAUACGGAUGCAUUAUUUCCUUGAGUUUUAACUUAAGCAUUUAGAACAUAUUCAAAAGAACCGAUUUUGGGUGGCACGAUUUAUGAAGGGUUGGAAGAACAGUGAUGGCUAGUUCCUUUGGCAUUGGUUCUAGGGUGAUUAAAAAUCAUCCGAAAAUAGUGUAGUGUAAUUUUGAUCGACUCUCUCAUCCCAUCAAAUCAAUGAUAUUUUGCUUUUUCUCAAAUUCUCUUCCAAUUUUACUCUCUGUAAAAUAAUUAUUUCCAACAAACGUACUUUGUUUGACACUAACUUAUAACUAAAAUAAUUAUUUGUAAGCAAAAAAAUUUCGUUAUAAUUAAAAUAUUACUUAUAAGUAAUAACUAGAAUUACUUAUAAGUAAAAUAUUACUUAUAAGAUAAAAAAUUAUUUUUGUGUAAAAAUCUUACUAAUAAGACAAAACAUUACUUAUAAAAUAUAAAAAGUUAUUUAUAAGUUAAAAAAAAUCAUUAAUGAAUAAAAAUUAUUUAAAAGUACAAAAUUAACUUAUAAUUAUAAAGUUUGUAUACAAAUAAGAAAUAGUAACAUAAAAUUUUAAGUAAAUAUUUAUGUCUAUUUAACUUUUUAAGUUAAAUAUUAAUUAUAUGUAAAAAAAAAAUUACAUAUAAGUAAGAUAUCCUUUAUUAUUAAAAAAAUUUCAUACGAGAAACCAUAAAUUCAAAAUUUCACAAAGGGACGUAUAUGUGACUUUACUCUUAAAAAAAAUUUAUAAUCAGUGAAUAAUAAAUUCUAAAGCCUGGGUUACACUAUUUUAAAAACCAAUACUAAAACUACUCAUAAUCGGUCCAUUCAUAAACGCUAAAAAAAUUGGUUCUUUAAAAAAGGCUCAUAACUAGUACGAUGGAACUACCAAGCGGCCCCUAUGAGAUUUACUUAAUCAUUGCUUAAUGGUAAAAUAUUAACCAUCAAUACCAGUUUAGCCAAUUACAAAAGAAAUUUUGUCAAAAUAUGUAGUCCCAGCGAAAACAACACUUAAAUAAUUUAAAUCAUCGAAAUAAACUAUAAUUGAGAUGAACAAUAAUUGGAAAAUCACAAAUUCCUUGACCAAGCUCUUUACCUAUGUAUAAGAAUUUAUUUAUUUCUUGUAAAAACAUAGUUUGCAUAUACCUUAGUUUCCAAAUCUUAGAAAUUAAUGAUUUUAACAUGAACAUUCAUCAAUUAAGAUGUAUACCUUGAUUCAUAACAAAUUAUUGAAAGAUUAAACUUGCAAAACAAACCAAAUGAAAGAUUGAAAUUGUCCACUUACUGUCAAAGUGUGCAAUUAUCCUAAUAAGUUGUCCUUGAUAUUGCUAUUUGAUUUACGAUGGUAAUAAUAAUGUAGAACAAAGCAGUAUCACACAAUAAAAGAAGAAUACAAUCAAAUAUUCGUUGAUUAUGUGAAUACUUGAUUAUUUAGAGACAAUAAUUCUAAAGAUGAAUACCGAAAUUGACUUCUGAAAGUUUAAAUACAAAAUAAAUUAUACGUAAUUUCUUAAAAGUAAGGAACGCUAAGUGCUUUUAUACCCUCUACUUAUAAAAAAAUACCACUUGUUGUGAUCACUAAUUCUAAUUAAAUAAAACAUAAAUUAUAUAAAUAAAAUAAAAAUGUAACAACUAUUUCUUGGGAUACAUGUGCCAAGAAUGCAAAGUACAGUGUAGCGCAUCUUAUAGGACUCUUUUGUAGUUCUACAUAGAGGUGACAAUGGACUGAGCUGACUCGACCUUUAGACAUCUAAGCUGGGCUCGACCCAUGCUGACAAGAGCUGAGCCAAACUCCAUUCGUGUCCACAAACAAUGUUUGACUCAACCCUUUGGCCCAUGAUGACAUGAGUCAAGCACUAGCCGGCUCACGAGCCAAUCAUUUUUAAUAAAAUAAUACAAAAAUGAUUCAAAAAGAGAGUUGAACCCUGGCUCAUGAAUAUUUUUUGAACUUGACUUGGUCUACGGCUCAUCUCAAUACGAGCCCGAGCAAUCCAUGGACCAAUACGAGGUGAAUUGACAAGCGGCUUGGCCCAUUUGCCACUCCAAGUCCUAGAUUUGUCUUGUGCAAUUUUAAAUUUGCAGCUGAAGUCCUUAAACUAAAGAUAUUUACAUACAACCCUAGUUAACUUUAGUUAGCUUAUGCUUAAUACAAAUUCUUUAAAAUUUAUUUUAUAAAAAACUCAUUUUCAACCACAUAUAGACCUAUAACUUUUUUCUAUUUUUUGGUCACACAUUCUAAAAUAAAAUUAUUUUUUAUAGAAUUUAUUUUCAAAAAGUUUAUAUCAAUCAGACCCUUAAUAUAAUUAAAUAUGAUUGAUAUAUUAUUCAAUAACCAAUAAUAAUCCAUUAUUUCUGUAUCCCACUACAAAACACGACACAUAAAUACUUUAUCUCCAAUGGGUUUUGUCUAUAAUUCAAAUUUGAGCUUUAGUGUAUAUUUUAUAGGGGAGAGAAAAGAAGUAAACAUGAGAGACAAGAAAUAAGGAACAAGAGAGACAAAUAUUAAAUCAUAGUAGCUCAUCCCGUCUACAAGAGUUCCAUAUGCUUCACCUAGAUGUGGUGUAGCAAUAUGACUUAAGAACCUCAUCUCUAGUGGCAUUACAUCUCCAAUGGUCUUCACAUGAAUAAUGUCUUCAUCAAGCAUCGGCUUUUGUCGAACCUCGCGUAAGCUAGGGUCGAUGCACUCAAUGGGUUCAUCAUACAAGGGCCAGUUAAAAAGGACCUUUGCCUUCAAUGAUCAGCUUCUGUGUCAUGAUGAUUUGGACAACUAGACUGUGGGAUUAGGCUGAUAUGUUCUACAAGGAAACCACUUUAUCAUUUUUAAAUAAUCGCCUAGAAUCAUUUGUGAUCAAGAAGGAUCUGGGAGAAUGAUCUUCAAUAGGGUAAUUCAAUUGGGAAAGGAAACAAUAUUUUAAUAGUCACAAUUCCCCAGCCAAUGGAGGCGUUACAUGGGUGAAUUAGGGUUUGCAACAUAUAAACACAAUUUAAUCUCGAAACUCACCCAUGAAUAUCCUUGCAUAGGUUAAUAACACAUUUAUGUCAUUUUUUCAUUGUAGCCAAAACUCUAGUUUCUUGUCUCUCCCACAUUCCAUGUCUCUAUGUUCUCCUUCUCAAUUGAAAGUUGACUUGAUCAACAGAUUAACAACGAUCACUUGUCCUUUUUAUGGAACGAAGAUCUUGGUACUUAAAUAUUUCUCCAAAUGUGCGGAUAAUGUAUAAGUUAGCAACGUGGUGACAAGGGAUAUGUUGACAGCAAUGUCAUUCUAAAUUUUGAGAUCAAUGAAGAUAAUACGACUUUAUGAGAAAAAAAAAAUGAGUCCAACCUUACAUUCAAUUAGUUUUGAUCACGUUAUAAAUUGAAUUCGAGUGCACCUAACAACAUAAGUGAUCAAUUUAAAAAAAUUAAUGUGACCAAUGCACUCAACAAUUUAAGUGAUCAGUUAAUAGUAAUAAAUGUGACCAAUGAACAUUUAAUUUGAUUUUAUAAAAAAUAAUAUGAUCAACAAUUUUUUAUAUCAGAAUCACUCGUAGUUACACGUUUUAUUAAUAGUAAAAUAAAAAGAGUACAACUUAGAAGGGGGCUGGACUUAACCUCUAGCAAGUGAUGAUCAAAGCGAAUGAGACUUAUUGCAACCAAUGCAAGAAUUAUAUUAAAAAUAUAUUGAAUAGAACUUAGUCAAAUCUAGAAAUAUCUCCGCCUUUCAUGUGUUUUCAUGCGGCUCGUGAUAUAAUUGUGAGUCAUCAACAUAGUCAACCCACUAGAAGGUGACUUCUGAUUGUAACCAAAAGGGAAAUCCCCUAUUUCCAAAAAAAAUCAUCACGUAGAUAGCCAUAGGCAUCUCUUGCAUAAUUAGCAGAGCGGUAACAAAACUGUUGAGCAUUAUAGUUAAAAUCAUGUGUUCAUCCAACAAAGAUGGAUCAUCCUCAACAAUAACAUUGCAAUCGCCAAGCCCCAUGUCGUCAAUAUUACUUUGAAUGUUUUCUCAGAUUUUAUCUGUACUGUUAAGUUCUUGAACAUAAUUCACCGAUAAGGAGUUAGCUUGCUCUUAUGAUGUUGGGAGUCCUUAAAAUAAUAUGCACUAAAUCCUCCACAGCUUCCCUCAAUUUUGGACCUACAUGGACCCAGUGAUUUUAAAGUGAUCGGUGAGUCCCUACUUCACAAAAGAGUCGUUGAAAAUGCCAAACACGCACUUAUCUUUAUUUAUGGACAAGUCCAGUGAUUUUUCAUCCAUUUGCAAGUUAGACCCUGUAUUUUCUACAUUUUGCAAUUUGGUCCCUAAACUUUUCAAAAUCUGCAAAUCAUUCCCUACAUUUUUGGAAUUGUAGCUAUAGUCGCAGCCUCUGAUGCUCGAACUCUUGGAAAUAGUAGGAGUACCCUUAUUGAACAUGACACAACAUGGGUAUAUGUAUAAAAUAUGUGUUAGCUCCUCCAAGUUUCAAUAGGACACUUCGCCAUUUUUACUUCUUUCUUCUUCUUCUUCCUUUUUUUUUUUUUUUUUUUUUUUUUUUUUUUUUUUUUGAUUUUUGUUCUUUGUAAACUUAGUGCCACCUUUGAGAGGGUGAAAAAGGGCGAUAGCGCUAUGUUUUCUCUUCGUCUUCUUUCUUUUUUCUUUCCAUUUUCUUCUUUUUAUCUUUUUUUCGCUCUCUGUAUUGGUGGUUUAAGGUUUUGUUGGUAUAAAAUGAAAAUGGGUUCCAUAUAGUGCUGCUUAGUACUCCGCUAAGUCCAAAUUACAAUCAAAUCCCUCAAUUUUAUUUUAUAUAACAUUUAGUAAUUAACUUCCAAAAAUAAAAACUGAAUCCCAAAAUUUUAUUUUAUUUGUGUUAAUCCCUUAUUGAAUACUUAUUUCCUUCUUUAUGAAUAAUUAAUUUUGGUUUAUUCAAAAUGAUAUUUUGGAUAAGUAAAAAAAUUGAAUCUUGAAAGAUUUACCCAUGUACCUGUAUUCGAAAUUUGGACUCUUUUUAGCAAUGUCUCCAUAUCCGACAUUUAAAAAAAUAAAAGAUCCGACAGUUAGAUACGCACUUGUACCCGAUAUCUGUACUCGAAUCCGAGCAUCAUAGGUCGCAGCAAUUUACCCAUCUACCCACGAAUUUAUACUGAUCCCUUAAGUUUCUGCAUAAUUCAUUUCAAUCCCUUAGGCCCACUUAAUAAUAAGAUAGGCUUCGUACUUAUAAGCUCGGGGCCUUAAAAAGAAACAUGGCCCUACAGAUCAUGUUCCAAUGUAGCCCAAUCAAAUUUAUCUUGUCUAUUAGGCCCAAGUUUUCCAUCAGAAACAACAGUGGCCCUUCUCUCAAUUCACCUUCAAUUAGACUCAUUGGGCCAACUAUCCACAAUGAAUUGCUCCAUAAUCUAUUGGUUAGCACUUGACCCAGCAUGAUUAGGCCCAAUUAAAUCCACAUUGUAACGCGGGAAAAAUUUAUAUUUUAGGUAUAUUCUUUACACCAUUUCAAAAAUCAGGUAAGAAGUUUGAAAAUUCAAAAUUCAUGUUUGUAUUUAAUUAAUUAAAAAUAUUUAUUAAAUAAAUAUAUUAAAGUCACGGUUAAUUAAUUAAUGGUCAUAGAUUUCUUUACUGGUCAUAUGUCAUCAAAUUAAUUAAUCACAAAUUUAUUUAUGGUCACAUAUAAAAUUUUUUAUAGGUUACAAAUAAUUUCAAGGUCACGGAUCAAAAAUUUUAAAGGUCACGGAUUUUUUUUAGACACGGAUUAUCAAAUUUCAAGGUCACAGACCAAAUCGUUGAGGUAACAGAUUGUCAAAUUUUAAGGUCACAUGCUAAAUCGUUGGUCACAUAUACCAAAUACUCCAUUGCCGAACCCAAUCCACCACCAAUGAUUAGUCACAGAGCAACCAAAUGGUUACCACCAACAAUGUCGCCACCACUAGAUCCAACAUAUUGCCAACAAAAAUCACCACAACUACCACGAUCAGAUUUAUACACACAGAACUCACACAAAUCAGCACAAAUACACCACAGAUCUACCACCUGCGCCAACGACCGUCGUCACCGCUGUAGCCACAACAAUAAUCCUAAAACCACCAAACACAUAAAAUCACUGCAACCUCGACCUGUGCCAUCACCAUGCCGCUAUAGCCAUCAUGCAUAGCAUCGCGUUGAGAUCUUUGUUCCCUCCACAGAACCGCACACCUCCACUACCACGAUCAGAUUUUCUGAGGGUCUUUUGUGAUUGAAAAACGGCAGAACGCUUUCAUCUUUUGUAACUUGUUUUUGCCCAUUUAGGGAGCUGUGAUAGUGGAUUCGAGCUUAAUCCGUAUGUGUGGAUGCUCAACGGGGAUGUAGGCGUUAGUUGGUCGUCGAACCUCGGGGCCUUUCGGCCAAAAAUUCCUUCGUGUUCCUUUAUUUUCUGUUAAUUUGUAUUUUGUAUUUUUACUGUAAAAUACUCAAGUCACAAAAGAGUUUGUAAUACUGGGGAUUACAGUGGUAUCAUAGCCACUAUCAAAAUCCUUUCUCAAAAUAUUAUUGUUCGAAUCUUUUCUGUGACUUGGUUGUACUAAAAAUUGCCAAAACUGGCAUAUCUACUUUUAUUGUACAGGAAACAAUCUUCGAUUUGAAUCUUGAGUAGAUCUGCAAUAUCAGCUGGUACUUUCGACAUAAGUUGCAGAUCUGAUGAAAUCUAUACCUAGCUCCAACUUUAAUGCUUGUCGAAUCUUGAUUAGGAAUUAAGUUUAGGGAUUUUUUGAACCCCCUUUAAUUUACCUUUGUCUAGGGUUUCAUGAGACAACCCUAGAAUCUAAGGAAAUUAAGGAACAGUGAAGAAAAUCCAUUAGGGGUUUAUUACUUUGUGUUCUGCAAUUUAUGUUAUUGUCCUUGCAUAACCUAAUUCUUGUGUAUAGGGUUGACAAUACUAAUCAUCUAUCUGUAAUUGAUAUUAUUCAAUUGACUUUUGUGUUAGUACUCACGUCUGCAUAAUUUUGCAAGAAAGUGCUUUAUUUGUUACUGUAAGGAUUAAUUUGUCAAUUGUUAAGUUUAUUGAAUGUGAACUAUUCCUUAUGCUAUAUACCUCUGCUGUGUUCUGCAUAUAGUGUGAUCUGUUUAGCUGAGAUUAGAUCUUGUCUGAAUCAUCUUAAACAUUACUGUGACAUACUUGCACAAUAUGUCCAGUAAAAUUGAUAUUCAACAUUGGGAUGGCAAAGGAAAUUUUACUCUCUGGAGCCAGAAGAUGAAAGGCCUUUUAAUGCAAUUGAAAUGUGUUAAAGCAAUUGAUGAAUCUUGGCCAGAAACUUUAUCAAAAGUUAGGAAAACUGAGCAAGAUGAAUUAGCAUGGAGUACCAUAUUUUUUCACCUAUCUGAUAUUGUGAUUAGAAAGAUAGGAACCAACACUACUACUGCUGAAUUAUGGACAGCCUUAGAAAAACAAUAUGUUUCUAAGUCUCUACCAAAUAAGUGUUUUCUUUGAAAACAAAAUUUCAGCCAUAAAUUUGAUCUUACUGCAGAUCUAGAAGAAAAUAUGGAUAGAUUUAAUAAGAUUAUACAAAAUUUCAAUUGUGGGGAAAAGAUUUCAGAUGACCAGAAAGUAGUUGGUCUACUAAAUGCUCUGGGUGAUAAGUAUAAGGACAUAAAGAAUGCCUUAGAAUAUGGUAGGAGUGAUUUAACUGUUGAAAUCAUUCAGACUCACUCAAGAAUAAAGAUCUAGAACUUAAAUCUGAACAUAAAGUUGCCUUACAUGUUGAAAAAUCCAUGUCCAAUCCAAAACUCCUUGCAAAAGGCUUAAAUAACUUGAGUCAAGCUAAUUACAAUAGAGAUAAAAAUUUCUCUAAAAAGAAAUGGGGGAAUAAUAAAGGAAAGGAUAAAAAGGUAUACAAUGGAAAGGCUAAUAAUAGGAAAUGCUAUUAUUGCGUUAAAACUGUCAUUUGAUAAAAAAAAAAAAAAAUUGUUUCAAGAAUGCUAAGGAUCUGGAAAAUGGCCCUAAGCAUGAUAAUGGCACUUUAGCUAUUGUUGUUUCCUGUAAAAGGGAAGAGAAUGCUAAUAUUGGGGUAGCUUGUGUGCUCUCAUUAGAAAAAUUUGAACAUGAUUGGGUUCUAGAUUCAAGAUGCUCCUAUCACAUGAGCCCUAAUAUUAACUAGUUUACUGAUUUCACAAGCCUUAGUGGUGGGUGUGUAAAACUGGGGAAUAAUGAUUCCUGUCAUGUAAAAGGAAUUGGAAACAUUGUUUUAAAAUUGAAAAAUUGUCAACUCCUAAGGCUAAACCAUACUAGGUAUGUUCCAGCACUUAGGAGGAAUCUUAUAUCACUGGGGGUAUUAGAUGAUGAAGGGUAUAAAUUUGAAAUUAAUGAUGGUUUUACCAAAAUAAAUAGAAAACAGUUACUUAUAUUCAAAUCACCCAAAAUUAAUGGUAUCUAUACCCUAAACCCUGAUUUUGUCAUUCAGAAUACUGCUGUGAAUUUGGUCACACAACUAGAUAAUUCUGAAUUGUGGCACAAAAGAAUAGGUCAUCUAAGUGAGAAAGGCCUAAAGAUACUUUCAACGGCUGAUGGUGUUGGGAAUGACAAUGUUCAGAAAUUAACCUUAUGUGAACAUUGUAUUAUGGAAAAACAGAACAGGAUGCCCUUUAAUCAUGGUAUACAUAAGUCCCAAAAUAUACUUGAAUAUAUUCAUAGUGAUUUAUGGGGGCCUGUACCUUUGUCCACUGCAUCUGGAUAUAGAUAUUAUCUCCUUACUGUUGAUGACUACUCUAGGCAUUAGUUGGUUGCCGAACCUCGGGGCCUUUCAGGCAAAAAUUCCUUAGUGUUCCUUUAUUUUCUAUUCAUUUAUAUCUUUUAUUUUUACUAUAAAAUACUCGAGUCACAAAAGUGUUCGUAAUACUAGGAAUUACAAUUUAUUUAUUUAUUUAUUUUUAAUACAAAAACUCUUUGCCACAUGUUGCAGUAUUAAUUUUGGAUUACAUAGCUCCAAAUUAUCUUGCGUUCAAACUAGUAUUAGAGCCUUGAAAUAAUAAUAAUAACAACAACAACAAUAAUAAUAUCCAACAGUCUUGUUUCCCUUGUGCUUCAUUUAAAUGGAAAAAUUUGAUUAUUAUUUCGUUCAUCAACCAUACAUACAUUCAUCCAUUCAUGAAUAAAUCCAAUCAUUCAAAUACACGCAUAGAACAACUCUAGGAAUCGCUUAACUAAAAAAUCAUACAAUAAAUCAAUAAUUACGAUUAAGACACAAGAAAAUUUUAGACCUACACUUUAAUACCACUUUUUGAGCUGAUCACUAGGUUUAGGAAAAACAAAGAAACGAAAAUGAAAAUAAGUUUAAUGGACCAGGUCUUCACUAGAAUCUAUGUGUUGCAUUUCUAAUUAAUUGCCACAGAAGUGUUUCGAAGUUAAACCUAUUCCAAGCAAUUAAUUUCUUUAUCUUCUUGCUUGAGGGUGAUUGAUUUGAAAGCUUCCUUCUCAAUCCCAAAAACUAGUUUAAGAGGUGAUGCUUUCCUUUACAUUUAUAAACUGACCACCAGCCCGUUUCACAAUCGAUGUGGGAUAACUUCAACAAUCUUUCCCUCACACAUCGGGUCAUACUGGAGAUCAAACACGUCUAUCUCCCGCACAAAUUCGCAUCUUCUAUGACUGUUGGGCUUGAGUCGUGUUGAUAACCUGAGCUCUAAUAUCAGUGUUGGGUGAUAUUGAGCUUUCUCAACCCCAAAAAUUAAUUCAAGAAGUGACGUUUUCCCUCACACUAAUAAACUGACCAUCAGUUCCUUUCACAAUCAAUGUGAGACAACCCCAACAAGUAAUUGUUCCUUCCUUAAUCCACAAGUUUCUAACCCUUGGAAUCUUCUCCAAAACCUUGUUGCACUUGAUAUGUGGCACCAAUAAUCAAGAUUGCCAAUUACCAAAUUCCUAAUCCUCAAGAAUUCACAAGAAGCUAUUUCAUAUAUCAAGAACUCUCUUAAGUAAUGGAAGUUGCAUUGUAUGUUUGUGUUCUUUUUUCACGUCCAGUUAGAUCUAUAUAUAAAACUAAAUAGCCUUGUUCAUUGUUCCGACACGAUUGGGAUUCCAAUUAUAAAGAAACUUGAUAACCAAGUUAUAUUCAUAAAAAAAUUCCUUUUAGGAGUUGGUCAAAUUUUAAUUCGUCAAGCUCGUCGUUGCUUUUGAUCAAUGAAUGACGCGAUUUAAAGUCUAACCCAAUCAACCAUGCAACCUGUUAAUUAAAUUAUUACCAUAAUUAACUCCAAGUUUUUAUUUGAAGCUACCAAAGGCACCUGAUCGGACAUAUAUAAUUCAAGCUUCUCGGACAUAUAUAAUUCAAGCUUCCAAUAGUUUGGUCCCAAUAACUCCAAUCCAUAUUGUCCGGUCCAAUUAUGAAUCUAUACUUAUUCCACCUAAGGCCCACAAUGGCACUCUUGAAUUACAUAGAUUUGCAUAAGCAAUAUUAUUUCAAGUCUCCAUAGUUACAACCUUAUGACUUGCUAUCAAUAUGUUCGACGGACAUUUAAGAAGUGGUGCAGGAACAAAAUGAACUUUUUCUCUUUUAAUUAUUAUCUCACUUAAGCUAUCAUUUUCUUCGACGGUUUCUUUGCGAACAGAUCGUGGGAUUAACGGGCAUCCACAAAUGGUGAGUUCAGAUCAAACAACCCAUAAGAAAAUACUUAAGUUGGUUCAUUUGCAUAUUUGAAUAGGGGCGGGUAUCCAAAAAGAAUAUAUGUUCCUUUGUUUUCAGCUCCAAAUUUAUUGAGAUGUUUGACUAUAUAUAGAUCUUACUCAUUGGCACAACAAAUAUAAAAGUUCACAAAUAGAGAACACUACCUCUAUUUCGAAUUCUGUUAAUCUAUAAAAUAGUUAUUUAGAGUUCAAUUUUUCGCACGAUCAUUCAGUCGACUUAAAAUCUAUCAAGAUGUCCUAUCUAAUGCACUUCAAGAUAUGCUCAAUGGGCCAAUGUUAUGAAUCCUGAUAUUGUCUCACCACGAUCAAGACAAAUCGUGAAUUCCAUGUAGCCGAUCCUAUGACCAUACUAGAACAAAGUAUUAAUCUUUGCUCAUUCGCCAACAAUAAAUAUUCCAAGAUGUGGAAUUCGAGUAACAUAUGGGUUUAUGAUUCAGGUUUUUAACAGCAUUGAUGUGCAUGGGUUGGCUUUCUAUUGCAGGACUAUUAAGAGAGAGAAGAAAGCAUAAAAAAUUCAAUUUAAAAUCAAAUUCUGGAGUUCAUUAUUUGUCAUAUUAUGUAAGAGAAUCCAGGAUUAAUUAGUCGGGCACCUUUUUGGCAUAAACAAUAUAUCUUUGAGAGAUCACAUUUCUUAGGAUUGGUAGUAAUGGAAUGCUUGCAAGUUCUUUUUUUAAAGAGGACUUUGACAAUACAUUGAACCCAAAAAACUGAAAAUGGAGUGUCAAAAGCAAAUGAAGUAUGUCCAAAAGUCAACCAACCCCUUAGACUGCUAUGAAAAACACCAUCAGCUUUCAAAGUAGCACGAUCUAAUUCGCUUAACCCAAUUGAGCACUCUAAGGCCUAUUGAACUGACUGCUACAUAAGGCUAUAUUUACUCGACCUAAGAGCGCUUUUCAUUGGUCUAAUAUAUAUAUAUAUAUAUAUAUAUAUAUGUAUGUAUAUAAUGAGGAAAACAAAGGGAUCGUGAACCUUGCCUUUAAAUUUGCAUAUUUAUGUACAAUACAUUACCUUAAAAGACCAGUUCGAGAACGUUGCUGUGUUGAUGUUCUUGGGAAUUCUUACUGCACGUUAUAUAGAAGAAGAUUUUCUCAAGUCCUUACCGACAAAAUUAAUAUUAGGAUUGACGUGUUUGUUCCUUUCGAUUGUUCCCAUUAUGGAACCCUUUGGUUCAGCAUUGUAUUUGGUUCUUCAUAUGAAGUUGUCUUGGGUUACCGUUCUUAUCAUCAUCCUUACAAUUAUUCAAAUAGUUAUUUUCUCCAUCUUGUAGUUUCCUCUCUUGAUUGAGACGACAAAUCGUCUUACGGCUUUGGGAUAUUCAAUAAACCUAAGAAGAAAGUCUGCCAUUGCUAUGUUCCACUCACGUUUGAUAUGGUGGAAUAUAUAGUAUAUGACACUAUUGCAGAAGAAAAAGAAAUUAAAAUCUUAUCAAUCAUAGUAUAAAGUACUAUUGAAUACAAUGUCAUAUUGUUCUCUUCCUUCAUUUUGGUUUCUGUCAUUUUAAAUGUUUAUGAUAGAUUCCUGGCAUUUUUUCAUAUGAAUUCCAUUGAUGAAAUCCGUUUCUCCAUUUUUGUGGCAUUUAAUUAGAGGAUAUUUGCCUGUUCAUCCAAGGAAUAGAGGUUUUCUUUGUACUUGUUUGUACAUUUCUUUUUUUGUUAAUCUUGAAUUUUGAGACCCAAUAAAUCCAGGUGAUGAUAUUAAAACGAUGUUAGGAAAUUUAUAUCGACGCCUUAGCGAUUGGUUCAACCUGAAAACAACUUGGGCUAUUUGAAGCAACUUAAUUAAGAUUGCUCGUGGCCCAACACUUUAGUUGGCCCAUGUGAGUGUUAGCCCAAUUGGUGGUGACAUGAGAGUUAGCCCAUUUUGUGGUAAGUUGAGACUUUGGUUGUGUGGCCCAUUUACAUGUCUUUGGCCCAAAUUGGAAGGUAGCCUAAUCGAAGGCUUUAUCUCCAUCCUCUCCAGCCGUGUGUUUUGUGGGAUAAUUUGGCAUAGUGGAAAGAAAACGUGAGCAGCCAUCUUGAGGGGGGAAAAUAGGAGUUCAACCAUUACUUCUUCUAUUCUCUUCCGCCUUUGUUGGUGCAAGUUGUUCACCAUGCGAGGGUGGGUGUGUGCAAUAGAGGCAAGAAAAAUAGGUAGCCGUUAUGGGAGAUUUUGUAUUCAACAAUUGCUACCCUUUUCUUCUUCAUCCCUUUGUGAUAUUGCUACAACCACCACUGUAUCUCCACCUCUAACUAAGACUAAGUUGCUUCGGACAUAGAACUUUGGAGAUGCCAAUAUAAUUAUAAUAAAAGUACCAAAAUGCUCGUUAACUUACAAAACGAGGAUAGUAGGUGCAAUUUUCCUCUUUUAAAAGUUCAUGUUGCAUGUGUCAUUAAAUUAGUUGAUAGCGUGAACGUUAGAUAGAGCUAAGAGAAAUCUUCUAAGAAAUGAGGCAAUAACACCAUUUCACCAAUUUUGCAUCAUGUUGACCUCGAAAUGAGAUUAAUAAUUUUUUUACACUAUCUAGAAUUUUCUCCUCCUGGUUUUAUGAUCAAGCAAGAGCAAGAAAAGAAAAUGCUAUUUAAAAGUAGAAUAUUUUGAUAUUGCAUUCCUUUCUUUGUUGCCAAUUAUGUUAUUUAUAGAUUUCCAAUGAGGUCUUAGAGGUAAUUAAGUCCCUUUCACUAAUAAUGUGGCAAUCAUUCAUUGGUUGAUUUCUAACCGAAUUUGCUAACUUUUCACAUUUUAUUCACGAGUCUGUAUAUUUCUCAUUCAUUGGCUCUGAAAUCAUACUUAUAUUUUUACUCAUGUGUGCUUUGAUAAUGGUUAUUGUUGUUGUGGAAUAUCUAAUGAAACUAAUUAAAGAGUAUUUGCUCACUUAUGUUAUCUUGAGUUCUCAUGUGAUUUGGUUUGCCUUGAAAAUGUUUGCGGGCAGAAAUAUAGGUUCUCCGCUAAUCCUUUGUAAAUUUUAAUUACAACAAAUAUUUUCAAAGUUAGAAUCUAAUCAUUUAUAUUAAGUUUAAGACUUUAUUUAAUUUCUACGAUAAAUAUUUAAUUAUUUUAGAAUUUAUUUCGGUAUUAUGAGCCUUUAAAAAUAUUUGCGACAAACGAGCCUACAACAUGGCUUGUUUUGUGUGGUUUAACUGAUUCCUAGUGAAAUAAGGUCCGAUGAUUAACAAAUGAUCCCCGAAGUUCAGGCUUAACUAUUUUUGUUAAGUGCUGAGCUUGUGAACUUAAGGCAAGGAUUUUAAUACUAAAAAUACCUAAGGAUGUUCCACUCACCAAUGGCAGUUGAUGUAUGGCAUGAUGAAGGGACGUGUAAUGUUUACUAUGGUUCUUUAUAUAUAUCAAUGGGGAUGUUCCAUACUUCAAGGUACAUAGGCUGUUAGGGGUGAACAUGGUUCGAUUUAGAGGGUUUGAAAAGUUUCAAACCAAACCAUUUAAAGCGGUUCGGAAUUUUUCCAAACCAAACCAAAUCACUUCAAUUUCUAAACCAAACCAAUCCAAACCAUUUUUUUCGGUUCGGUUCGAUUUAAAACCACGGUUUAACAAUGAAAAAAUAAUUAUAUCUAAUAAGUUAAAUCGUAAAUAUUAAUCUAAAAUUUCACAUUAACACAUAAGUUGUAUUGUUAAAAAAAUUACGAAUCAAAAUUAUAUAAUUAUAAUCAUAAUAAUGCAACAACAUGAUAUAAAUAUUUUAAACUCUUAACCAAUACUAAUGACAUCCAUUUACAAUUUUAAUACAUAAUUUAUUAUUUUGAAUUCAUUGAUUAUAGUUAAAUGAUAUAAAAUAACUAAUAAAAGAAAAUGAAUAAAAAAUAAAAUACAAUAAUACCUAGCUACUGUGACUUUUUGUGAAUCAUUCAAUGCUUCUACCCUAUCCAAAUAUUGGGAAUUAAUUUUGAGGAAGCUUGAUAAUUAUUAGAACAAAACAACACAACUACCAAUAAAAACAUAGAACACGGUUCUUUACAUAAAUCAAUGGGUACGUAGGCUAUGCUCAUUUAAUUCACGUGUUGCUGACACAUAAUUAGAUUUGUCCCUUUGAAUUAUUUUUGGAUCAUACUAUAUGUAGAAUUUUUUUUACCAACUCCCUUACUACUCACAAUGAGAGUGCGGAUCAUAAUCCGACAUUUUUCAAAUUCCUGUGGGGUCUGCUAAUUUUGUGAGAGUGAGUACACCAUUUUGUCAACAAAAUUUUGUACAAAUAUCUUUAUCCAUUAUUUUUAGGCGCCUUUUUAUAUCCAAUGCUAAUAUCUUUCAUCAGAAAAUAUAAAUACAACACCUCUAUUAUUUGUUACGAGUACUUAUUCUUUAAAAACUUCUAUCUUCGUUUUUUCAUUCGUUGCCAUCACGUUGCAGAUGAUAUGGUGAUUCUAGUGAUUAUUAUUUGCUCCUUAAAAAUUCUUAGAAUACUUUUUAAGUAUAUAUUUUGUGCUUUUGCUUCUUCUCGAAUACUAUUUUUCCUCUAAGUCAUUUAGUGUAAUUCGGUAAACUUUUAUCUAAAAUUUUUUAGGAAAUUGAUUCUGUAAAAUGUCUUCCCAAAAUAGAUCCGUAAGUAUCGAAGCUACUUGUUCUAUAUUUAGGGAUGAUGGAGCAUACUGGUCAUUGUCUUCCUCUAUAAAUGUAUUAUAUUUUGACGUUGUUGAUUACAAGAACUAGUACAAGGGGAGGGAUUACACUUUAGGAGUGUGCCCAAUGAACCUUUAGAUGAAGCAAAUGGUACUAGUGGGAGUGGAGAUGAAGAUAUCGUUUAUGAGGCUUCGAAAGUUGAGAUUAGAAACAAGUUCAAUAUUCCUGAAGAUAUUGAGCUAGUAUGUCCGAAACAAUUCUUCACAAGAAUUUUAUGGAUACUCUUUUUCAUAAUUUCUUCCACGAGGUUCCUAGCUCUUACAACCAUGUCUCUACCCAACUUACUCUAAAUGGGUGACUCAUAUGGUUGGGUCUUUCCCUUUGUGGACCACUGUAGCGUUAGAAAUUAUUCUUUGAUAUUUUUAGGUCGAUCUAUCACUCAGUAAUGACCGGUGAGAGAGCUAAUCCUUAAAACGCCUUUAUUGCUCCCCCAUACCCUACAACAAACUUGUAAUUACUUUAAAUAGGGUGCACAACUAGAGACACAGUUUAUUCUUUGUUCGAGUAGCAACCAUCCUCACUCUUACGACCAAUAAUGUGAGUAUGGUGAAUUUACUAUUCACUCUCGUUUAAUUUUCUUUUGAUUUUUAUUAAUAUUUCUCUUUCUAUGAAAGGAAAACAGUAUGCUAGGAAAUUGAGCAACUAUCCUCGCUCUUAUGACGGAUAUCGUGAGUAUGGUGAAUUUAUAUUUGCUCUUGUUUAAUUUUCUUUCGAUUUUUAUUAAUAUUUCUCUUUCUAUGAAAGGAAAAAUGAUUGCUAGGAGUUCGAGCACUUUUUGACCUUCGAACUCUUGUAACUCCGAUCCUUAAUUUGAAUUCAAAGGUUAACGAAGCAGAGAGAUAGCUUCAUCUUUCAAAUUCAAAUUUUUACAACACUAGGAUACAAACUACGAUGGGUGUUUAAGUUAAAGACAGCUUCUUUUUGUCUUUAAAUGUUUCUAACUUUUAACCUCUUAAAGAAGUGCCAGUACAAAAAUUUGUAAUGAGGAUUUAUUUUGGUGUGAACUGUAGCGAAAAUCCCUCGAUAAAUCUUAAUUCCGGGCUCUAAAAACAAUUAAAAGAACACUUGUUUACCUUGGCUCGACCCGAGACUUUCGCCUUCACUUUGGACUGCUCUCUUUCUCUCUAACCCCACAAAGGAGAAGGGUGGUGGUGUUAGCAAUCCACAAAGGUAUGGAGAGGAAGAAGAAGCUAUCACAAUGGUUGAAUCUUACUUACAACCUCACAUGGCUUCCCUCUCUCUCGGUUGCCUCUCUUCUCUCAACUCUCCUCUCCAUUGCUACAACACACACACCAAAAAUGGCUAGGAGAUAAAUACAUAUAUAUAGGUUAGUUUAGGUCACUCUAAUUGGGCCUAGGGUUUACUAAGUGGGCUACCAGUUAACCUAAACUAAUGGGCCAAUAUUCAACUCCAUAUUAAUUACUAAAUGGUCCAACUAACCAAAUAAUCAUCCAACCCAAACCCGAACAAUCCAAAAGUGUAGUUCGUCUUCGAGCCAAGCCAAGUCCAUGGUGUUGAUAAAUAAUCCGACAACUAUUUCAAAUCAUCGUCCGGAUUAUUGGGUAUCAAAAACCCAACAAUCUCCACCUUGAUGCCCAAUAAUCUGCAAGCAACCAAAACACACAGUUUAUACUUGCACAAUCAAGGUAAUCCAAUAAAAUUGGAAUCACAGACCUUACCUCGUGUUUCCUACUUGAAACACAUACCAUACCUGCUCCAUGUACUCACUGGGGCUAAGGUCAAAAACACCUAAGUAGAAACAAAUAUUUAACAGUAAACAAUCAAAAGCAAAUACACAUGCGAUGAUGAUAUACUAGGAUAACACACACAGAUCUUUCAGAAACAUGUUCAUGUAGAACCAUAGAUUAACACCAAGUCAAUCAAACCACGGUCAACCACAUAUGCAACACAUGCAUAAAUGACCCUAUGAAAAGAUCUCACCACACUUAUCCUAUCCCAUUCCAUAUUGCUCACACCUCGAGAACGCAUAUCUCCUCUCAUCGCCCACCAAGCUCACUAGACAGAUCACUCAACUCAUGUCUAACUGGAAAGUCACAAUAGAUCCUAAACUCUCGGGAUAAUCCUUUAUCACCAUAUCACUUCUCCCAACCUACGUGAAUAAUGGGACUCCACCUUACGGAAGUGAUAGAAAUGUCUCUCUCACACUCCACCUGAUCAGGGUCUCUUUCACAGAUAAAGGAUUCUACACAUUUGAUCACAUCUCCACUCAUGAUCCAAAUGUCACACUCUACAUCCCUCGUGCAUAUCACCAAUGCACCUCUAAGCAUCUAUACUCCACCUUACCAAAAGACGUCCAAUUCACUACUAAUGCAUCACAAACUCACUAUGGCAAAACAACACCUUUCGGUGACCACAAAAGUUACUCCAAUCACCAAAGCUCCCAAAAAUCCACAAAGAAAAUGGCGAAGGUAGCACUCACAAAAAAAAUCGAAGAAAGAGUCGGUUACUUCACAACACUCACAAAGGAGGCUCACAAAGAGGAAGAAUAUAACCCUAACAUGGCUGCCUCACAUAAUCUCACAAAACCACACAGGCUCACAAAGAUAAAGAAGAGAAACGACUGCCCAGCUUUCUUCUCACUACCACACUCUCACACCACUCACAGAACAAAUAGAGUAUGUCAUAAGUCUCAAUCCACUAUGCAUGCAAACACAUUACACAAAGUAAUAAGAUCACACUCAAUUCAUGCAAUUACUCACAUCAAACAAGUUGAAAGUGUAACAUCAAUACUGCAACAAAAUUAAGUGACCACAUACAUGUAGAAAGGAUUACAUACAGAUGCAAUGCAAUAACGAGGUUUACUCUCUCAAUAAACCCCAUUGGGUCAUCACUCAACCCUACAGCCAUAUUUACCUCGUCUCUGUCCUUAUCCUUCCUUUUAUUAUCAUCUUAGAACAAUCUAUGCCACCAUGUCCAAAUUUUAUAAUAGUUAAAACAUUUCUUAUUUUUCGCACUUACCUUAGACAUACAUUUGCCACCAAUGCCAAAUAAUGACCACAAAUAAAGUAUGAACAUAAUUCACAUAGAAUAGUCCAGUAAACUUUCCUAAGGCCACAUGCAAUUCUAAUAAUGUAGAAAAAUUGACAGCAAAUUCACAAAAAAUUUAAGACAAAUAAUUCCUAGGUCUAGCAACAGGCAAUGGUUACCCCUUUAUGGUAACCCCAAACCUAAUGUCACCCCACACGAUGACCUCUAAUAUAAAAAAUAAAUUACUCUAUAUAAUAAUUUUAACUAUAAUAAUAAAAGGUAAAAGACAUUAUACCGAGCAGACCACACCUGAAGGUCCAUAAAUAUCGAGACAUAUGAAUUCACCACUUUAGGAAUUCACUGUUCAUCCUAAAGUCAACAGCAACUACAGCAACACAAAAACAGCACCCGAACGUCGAAGGGCAAAAUCAUCCAACUUUCACUGUAUUGCUCCAAACUGAAAUCUGACAACACUAAAGGGUCCAUCUCAUCAUGGGGAAGAUUUUUUCUGAAGACCACUUCAUUUGAAUUGGACGGACGUGCCCUCACAUGCCGGAGUCGUCUUCCCCACGCGUCGGUGACCUGUCAUCCUUCCAGCUUCUUUUUUGCUUGCACAGUCCAUCGGUGGUGUCCGUUUUGCCAAACUCCUUUUGGUUUCACCAGAAAAUGCCAAAACAGAUCCGCAGAAAAUUGAAAAAAUCGAACAGUUUCUACCUCUAAUUUCCAUAUCCGUUUCUGACCACUUCUAACCCGUUUUUAGCCCCAAAAAUCACAGAUUUAUCAGCAACACAAGCUCUGAUACCAUUUGUAGCAGAAAUCCCUCGAUAAAUCUUGAUUCCGGACUCAGAAAACAAUCAAACGAACACCAAUUUAUCUUGGCUUGACCCGAGACUUUUGUCUUCACUUUGGACUGAUUUCUUUCUCUCUAACCCCACAAAGGAGAUGGGUGGUGGUGUCAGCAAUCCACAAAGGUAUAGAGAGGACGAAGAAGAUAUCAUAAUGGUUGAAUCUUACUCACAACCUCACAUGGCUUCCCUCUCUCUCGGCUGCCUCUCUUCUCUCAACUCUCCUCUCCAUUUCUACAACACACACACCCCAAAAAUGGCUGGGAGAUAAAUACAUAUAUAUAGGUUAGUUUAGGGCACUCUAAUUGGGCCUAGGAUUCACUAAGUGGGCUACCAAUUAACCUAAACUAAUGGGCCAAUAUUCAACUCCAUAUUAUUCACUAAAUGGUCCAACUAACCAAAUAACCAUCCAAUCCAAACCCAAACCAUCCAAAAGUUUAGUUCGUCUCUGAGUCGAGCCAAGUCUAUGGUGUCGAUAAAUAAUCCGACAACUAUUUUAAAUCAUCGCCCGGAUUAUUGGGUAUCAAAAACCCAACAUGAACCCAACUGGGGAAGCUCCAGUAGAAAAAUUUUCAAGUGCCCAUUUCUCUUAAAGAAGUUUUCUCGCUGUCGACUAGAGGAUUAAGUGAUAUAUCCUCACAAGGCCCUACGAGAUCUAGGGGCUCUUCUUUGUAGAAAACUAUACCCUCACAAAAACUCUUGGGGUGGCGGGGUGGUGGGGUUCUUCUGUAGGUGUUACGACCACCCUUCCUCCUCAAGGGCCUUCCACGGUGGAGUCUAAUCCAAUGAUCCCUUUGCCAAUUCGCUGGAAGGAUUUUACUUUUGGAAAAAGAAGGUGUUAGAUACUGAUAACCAUCAAGAAUAUCAUGUGUACGAUUGAAAAUUUUUUGUAAUUGAAAAUUUAUUAAAUCCUAUGUUAUCGACCAUUAGCACAAGGGAAGGAAAAAAAAAUUUUAACUUUAGUCUUAAUUGUUUCUAGAGGUAAGUAACGUAAUCAGAUGCAAAAAUAGCAUGUAUUAACGUUGAUUGUUUUCAGAGGUUGGAUGAUGUUGUAUGAUGUUUUAAUGAAUGAAGUUUUUCAAAAAAAUAAUUUGUUUUUCUUUAACUUUGUUGUUAUAUGGUGUUUAAGUGAAUUAUUUACAUAAAUGUAAUAUUAGAAUGUAAUAUGGAUUUCAAAUACUAUUUAAAAAAAAUGAUAAAUUUUAAUAAGAAUAGAUUAGAGUGGGAUAGAUAUAUAAAAAGAAUUGAUAAAAAAUUAGCGGCUCCCUUGACUGCCCAACAGGAAACUUAACACUUUCCAUUUGCUAAUAUGGUAUUAAAAAUUUCACUUAUAAAAUGGAGAAUUCGGAAAGUUUCAGUUACAGUAUUUUAUGUGUUUGUUUUUACAUUUUUAAGUAUACUUAGCCAUUGGCCCCGUUUUAUCAAAAACUCAUUUUUAAUUGCAUAUUCUUCAAUAAAAUAAUUAUACACGUAAAUCGAUUUUUUUAUUUUAUUUUUUUAACCGCACAUUCUCCAAAUAGCACUAUUUUCACCAAAAUGAGGCUCAAAUAAGUUCUUUUUUUAUUAUUAUUAUUUUUAAAAUAUAUUUUUCUCUCUCUUCUCUUCAACCAUACAUUUUUCAAUAAAAUAAUAUUAUACACAAAUCUAAAAAAUUUCCUUAUUUUUUAAUCACAAAUUCAAGAUUAAUCUACUGUUCUAAAAUACAUUCUUUGGAACUAAUGAUGCUCAAAUAGUAGUCCAUAAAUUUUUUGGUAUUUAAUGAAAUGUUUUAUUUUUAAUGGUACAUAUAUGGUUUUUCCCUAUUUAUCUUGUCUAUUAAGCUAAGUUUACCACCAACAACAACAGCGGCCCUUUUCUCAAUGGCCAAAUAUCCACCUUCAAUUAGACUCAUUCGGCCAACUAUCCCCAAGAAAUUGCUCCAUAAUCUGUUGCUAAGAACUCGGCACAGCAUGAUUAGGCCCAAUUAAAUCAACAUUAUAAUGCCCAAGUAACUUAGGUUCAUCUAGAGAAGUAACGUAUUUUUGUCAAAUAUUUUUUUGUUUAUUUACAUUUUUAUUAAUUUAUUUAUUAAUAGCAAUUCAACCCAAACUACUAUUAUCUUCUGAAAUUUGAGCUAAAUGGCUUCUGUAGAUGACCCGUUUAAAGAUGACCCACUUAUGUAAACAUUUUAUAUAAAGUGAAUUAUGGCUUUAUUUUGUGAGGAUUAAAAUUAGAUUUUUAGUACAUUUUUAUAAAAGUUGAUAAAAUGUACAAUUGAAAAGUUGUGAGUCAUAUAAUAUAUGUGAUUAAAAUUAAUUGUUGAUUUUGAUUUAAAUUAAAAUCUGAAUUUUAAUUUCUACCAAACAUUGGCUAUAUAAACUUUCCAUGCUAUUGCGCAAAUUUUCUUAAUUUACUCGAACACUUUUAAAAUGUAUUUUGAAGUGUAGCAUAAUCCCUUAUACUUUGAUUAUUAUUUGCAUAUCUAAAAGAUUUGAGAUUUUACCCUUUCAAAAAAAUUAAUUUGUCCAAAGGUAACAUGUUUUCCUUCAUAAUUUGUAUUUGAUUCUUAUUUUUAGUAAAUAAAUGCUUUUACUUAGGCUCGGAGAAGUGAUGUGUAGCAAUGAUUAGCCCAGGAUGCGGAUCUAGGUGUGUUGUUUGUUCAAUCUUUUGAUACAAGCGAUUGAAUAAAUACUGUAUAGUAGUAGCUUCGAAUCCAGCCACUAAUCCAGCCAAUCCACUUCUUUUCUCUCGGUAGGUGGGGGAAGUUAAUGAACAUGCGACCGCAAGUAAGCGUCAGUGCCUGGAGACUAAACAACAUAGCCUGAAGUGGGUUUAAUUUAGUUAAAAGCACUAUUCUAAAAGGCUAGGAGCCGCCAAUGCGCGAUGCACGGCCGAAACGCCAAAUCAAGUGGUUUGGCGCUUUAUUUAGCUGUCAACAGCCAUCGUUGACCUCUAAGGCACGGUCUCAUCUAGGCGGCAUAAUUAUAUAUUUUAUUUAAAUUAUUUUUAUUAUUUUUAUUUUUUUCACAAUCCUUCUAAAUUAAAACUUAAAUGUUGCUUCUUCACUUCAUUGGUUCUAAAUUUAAAAUAGUCGCUUGAAACCUUGAACAAAAGAAAUCUCUCAAAAAUUCCUAUUUAUUCACUAUUUAAUAUUUACAAUUGAAACUUAUCUUUUUGUUGAAAACUUUGAAAAAUGUAUAAAUUUCCUAUAAAUUUAUUUUAAAUGAUUCGCUGGUAUUAUUUUUAAUUAUUAAAAUAUUUUUCGAUUGAUUAAAAAUUAAAAUAAGAAAAUGCUUUUUUACGCUUAUGCCUCACCUAAGCUCACCUAACCCAUAGUUUGGCCUUCAUGCAUCUUCACGCAUUACGCCUUUUAGAACAUUUGUUAAAAGACCAGAAAAAAGGAAAAAAAACUAGAAAACAUUUCAAUUAGGAACUUUUUUUUCCUAAUUUUUUUGGUAAAUUUUGUUUGUCGGCACAAUGUGCAUCAUAUUGUUGGCUCCAAGAAUAAUUGCUUAGGAAUACACCAGAGUUCUGUGGAUAGCAAAGAAGAAUAAAAUAAGAGAGAGGACAAAAAGUAAAAGCAAAAAUAAAAUAAACUAAAGUAAUGUACCUUACUUAUGCAGAGGGUAAUACUAUAUUAUGCAUCUAUAAAGACAGCUUGCCAUUUAUUUAUGGUCAUAGCAUAUUUACGAGUGUUCUUCCAUGCGGAAGAAGAUGACAAAAUUAAAGCCAAGUAAGAUGAUUUUAAUUUACUUUGCAUUAUUUGCUAAGUUUGUGGUUAGUUCUCAAGUCUCCUUUUCGUCUGGAACUCUAUUAUUAAAUUGUUAGUUCAACUAGCAUUCUCAAUAUUAUGCUUCGAAUGAGCUUGUGAAGAAACCAAAAACGUAGUACUUUUUGUGAUCCUUUUAAAAUGCUGGGCAAUUCAACUUUCUUGCGCAAUUUGAAAACACUAUUUGUCACUGAUGUCACGAAAUCUUUUCGAUUUAAAUUAUUGUAGCUACACGAUUCGUUAACAAGUAGUGAAAUUGAUUUUGAGUCCAAGUAUUGUAUCCACAGAAAUUGUACUAAUUUAAAUUUAAACUAUCAUUGCCUUAAUUGAAACGAUGAAAACUUAUAAUUUUUCUAUACUUCAAUUGUAAUCACUUAAAUUAUAUAUCAAUGCAGAAUCUAAACUAAUUAAAAUUAAUGUAAGGUUAUAAUUAAAUUAAAUAGGAUUCAAUUAUGAAGACAUAUUUUUAAUUUGUAUAACAAUCUCUUUCGAGUAAAAUUAAACAUAUUCUUACAUGCAACUCUACUAUAUUUCUAUCACAGAUGCAAAUAUACAAAAAUGUAUUAAGCAUUUAGGAUUUAUGAAUACUUAAAGAUCAUAUAGAGUAUAGCAGUAUAUUUCUAUUCCCCUAUCGAACUCUACAAUAAUUGAAAUUGUGUCUAACUUAUUUUCAAUCUUUCAAAAGUAAAACAAGUCACAAAACUUAUACAAUUACUGUGCAUAUAAUUGUAGAGAAAAAUAAAUACAUGUCAAUAAUUCGUUAAUUGAGAACAUGUUUUGAAUGUCAAAAAUAAAUAAGGUUAAAAAAUCAAAGGUUCUUGAUAUAAGUUUGAUCGUAAUCAUAGCACAAAUAUAAUAUAAUUAUUCAUAAUAUCGGACUUAAACGAAUAAAAGUGAAAUGAUAUCACCAAUAAAUUGAUGGAACAUAAUUAGUUUUCCAAAUUGAGAUUGCUGUGUUUUUCCCAAUAUUUGGCCAAAUUCCUCUUGUGUGUUUUUCAGUCUUUUGCCUCUCUGAGAACGUGUCUCUCUCAUUCUUUUCUUUUUUUCUUUUCUAUUUUUUUAUUUCCCAAUUUUUGGGCCUUUUAAUUCCCAUUAAUUCCAUUUUUUCCCUAUUAGGAGUCCAUAUGCCAGUGCCAUCCUCUUCUCUCUCCAAUUCUGCCCUUAGCCUUAAAAUUAAAAAAAGGAAGUCCAAUCGUGAGUCUAGCCUGUUUAGGUCUUCCAAAUAUAAAUUCUUCCUAAACUAUCAUUCAUGCGACCUCGAUGAACUGGCGCAAGCAACAACGCCUGUGAUUGAAGGGGCCAAGAUUUGUGUGACUACGGCAGUACUGGGUACCCAAGACCGCUCUGUGUAAAGAGCUGCAGCUGGCGAGCUUAGGUGCACCAAAGACGAGGUUGGGGAGGCAAGCUUUCCAAGGGCGGCUCAGGGUGGUUUCUCUUCAGAGGUUGAAUGUCAUCCACUGUCUCCUUCGAAGCAAAGCUUACCGCCAAUGGAGCCUCCCUCUUGUUCCCUUUAGCAGCAGUUGCUGCCUUAGUUUCCUUAUAUCCCAACAUUUCUGGAUUGUGAGCUGAAAAACACAAAUAAACACAACACUUAGAAUUUCUAUAAAAAAAUAACCAGCUCUUCCAUAAAAUAGUAACUUAAUCCUUACCUAAACUAGCUGGGAUGGAAUCGAUGUUCCAACCGUGGAUGGAUGUGGGACUCUUAUUUAGAUUAAACACACCUGGAAGAGGUUUGAAUUCGAGAUAACGUACUUACAUGAUCUUUGUCUCUUCGGCAAGGCCCUUAUCUCCUCAGCUCGUCUCCGAGUGUCCUUUGUCAAAGUCGUUUUCUUGUAAUAUGCAAAACAAGGCAAAGUUUAAUGUUACUUCACUAGUUACCUCGGCCAAAGCAUCAAAAGACAAUUACUUACAUAAAGAAUGGUAGAUUGUGGGGACGACAUCCUUCCUAUUCACUUCGAUAGGGUGAAACUACCACUCCCUUAACACAUAAAAGAAUUCCUCCUUCCAUCUCUUGACGGAGGAGGGAUUGUCCAGCUCUAAGGAACCACCCGUCCUCGGCCUAACAUUGGUAUUGCAACAGUUGAAGUUCUUCCCAUCCUUCUUGAAUGUGAAAAGGGAUUUAAAUUGCUUUACACUCAGCUCAGGAUUCCUUAACCUAUUCCACAAGAUUAAGGUGGCGAUUAGAGUUCGCCACCCGAUGGGGCAUAGCUGAGUGGGAGCUAUACCCAGAAGCAGAGAAACUUACAGAUGACUCUAGGAAUGGGCAGUGUAAGUUCGACAUGUAAAAUGGUCGAACUUAGAUAACACAUCCCCCUGGAGGAGCGUCAGUGUGGUCAGAAGGUUCAGGGAUUAUCAUUAUUACCGAGCUCGAAAUGUCAUACCUACCUUUCCAGCUCGCUAACAAAUAACCCGUUACAACCGACUUAUAUGAGCUCGUCUCCCACUCCUCAGGGUUAUUCCUCUCACUAUCCCCACGGGAGCCGACCUCCUCUCCUCUCGAACCAUUACGGUCUGAUUCCAUAAUCACAUGGUGCCCUAGAUCUACUGGGUUAACUAUUGAAAUAUGAAUGGGAGUUAAGAUUUCUUGGUAAUUGGACAAAGAACUAGAAAUGGGAGGGAUUGACUCUUCUUCCUGGUUUCCCGAGGAGUAUACCCUAGACUCGUCGAAGUUCAUGAAAAGGCUGAAGAGAAAAUGUGAAGAGAAAAGAACAAAGAGAAGAAGCAAAUGAAUACUUAGGAAUUGUGCUAGUUUCCCCAGGAGUGUACCUUAGACUCGUCGGAGCUCAUGAAAAGGUUGAAGAGAAGAAGUAGAGGAAUACCUAGGAAUUGAGAACCGACGACCUCACUCAGAAGAAAGAAAGACGCACUAAAAUUUUUCUUGCUGCCUUGGAGAGAAUGAUUGCACACACUGAAUGGCGAAAUGAAAUGUAGAAAAGGAUUUAAAAUGAAGGAAAACCAAACGACUCUACCCCAACCGUUGGAUGAAGAAAAUGAGAGAAAAUGGACGGAUUCGAUUCACCCAGUCAAAACUAAGUUGUUUUGACAAAACAUUCCAAAGAAGCCACGAAAGGUGCGGUGCAGCUCACCCCCAGCAGAAGCAUGACACCUGGCACUACAAUAAUGGCACUUCUAGGAAAAAGUACCAGCAGAGUCUAGAGGUCAGUCGUCCUCCAAAGUAGUACUGACUUGUGGGGUAUCUGUUGACCACUGACCUAUGGUCUCACAUUUAAUGUUCGUAGGACCCAUCUCAUACAUAAACCAGGUUGGCUACAUAUGUUCAGCUCAGUCCACUACCGCCAUAAUCCCAAAAGACAUAAUGAUUGAAGAUUCCUUACAUCUUGUCCUAUCACCCAAUCAAUUACACACACUUGCUGGAGAUGACAUCAACACCGCCCAAACCUACCAAUCAACCACCUUAGUUCCCUUAUCCCUUGUAGGCCAUCAUCACCUGAAGGAAACAUUGACAUGAUGACAACCGGCCUCAUCAACCAAUUGAGGGAAAGAGCGGCGGUGCAUUGUUCGAGCUCAGUGCAAGUGGUUGAUUUGAUUGACAUGACAUAAUUUAGGCUAGGGACCCCUUUCAAGGCAAGCUAAGCCUUCCACACCUACACAUUGUACACUUUAACCUUUCAUUAUCAAUGCAAAGUGUCAUUUUUCUUGAAAAAUUGACUCAAGAAUAGUCCAUAUAAUUUUUGACGUCAACAAAGUCCAAACCCAAUUAAAUUUGAGUUCCAAUCAAAAUGUGUGUCAAAAUCCAUUUUGAUAACAAUUUUCACUUGGUUCUUGCUAUAUUAAAUUGUAAUUUGUACCAAUGUCCAACAAUAUUUUAGAUUGUACAUUCUAACCCUCAAGUCCAAUUAACCGCACAAUCAAUUCAUAUUUUAGUUCAAUUCAAGCCUUUCAAUUUCUAAUCUGUAGGACCAGUUUGAUUCCCAUUUUUCUAAAAAUGAGAAUAAAAUAUAACAAUUACGGGAACUACACAAGAGAUAGAAAGUCAAAUAUGGUGACUUGAUGUGAUAUAUAAUGGUCAUAUUUUUCAUUUUUGUGGCUAAAGAAUGGGAAUCAAACGGGGGCAUAGAAUUAGUAUCCAAACUUCCAUUCAAUGGUCAAUUUAUACUUUUUCUCUUUCCAAUUGCUUCAAAAUGAGCCUGUAACUAAACAUAGGAGUAAAUUAAUCCAAGUUAAGUAAAAUUCAAUAGUUUCAUGAUAUAAAAGUUUAGUAAUAUGGUCCAAAUAAGUGCACAAAAAGUACUUAUCAACCUUAUGAGGAACUAGCCCAUCUAAAAUCUUAUCAUGUUAUAAGAAACAUGAAAUUGCACUAUUGGUUCUCAAUUAGUAAAAACGAGCACGUUAGUUAUCGACCUCUUUAUUACAUUUUCACGAAAAGUUUUUAAAGAUGAAAAUCGUUCAAAUCUCCGUUAAAUUAUCAUGCAAUCUUGGGUAGCUAUCUAUAAAAUUUAACACUUAGAUAUUCUUCCACAAGAACAAUGUGGUGGCACCAAUCUUUCCUUUUAUUUAAUAAACUUUGUGUUCGACACAAGCCCCUCACAUACAGGUCGGCCUCAUUGUUUGCAGGGUCGGUAAAGUACAUUGAUUAUGAGCCCUUAUACAAGGAAAUUGAAUAAGGUAAGUGGCAUUCUAUAGUAGAUUUCAUUCGGCGAAAUCUAGAGGCCAUUAGGGGAAGAGUUUGUUUUGGACAUAAACACACAGCUCUAUACAUUGCAACUUUGUUUUGGACAGAUCAUGGUGGUAAUUUCACUCUCAGAAUAUUGACGCAGAAACCUUCUGCAUUUCCUAGUGGGACUAACUGACAUUUUGGGAAAGAUGGAUAUACUAUAGUAAGUACAUAAAUGCUCUCCUAUUCAUUUCAUUCACAAACAAUGUACCAUGAGAACACAUCUUGAUAAAUUUUAGUAUCUUUUUCAUGCUAUCUAGUACAACAUUACAAACUUGCUAUAAAUGUACAUGUUGAACAUGAUCAUUUUGAAAAGUAUUCCCCGUCUAUACUUUUUACACACGGUGUAAGAGUACAUUCACCUUGGGAAAUUCAUGACAAAGAGCAUGCAGAAAUGCAAACCUCAAGUAUUAUAGUUUGUGAAUCAAGCGAUGAAGAUAUAAUGGAAAUGAUGGAACAUGGAUGCCCAGUCUAGCUAACUAGAACUACUCGAGGUACAACAAAUUGCACCACACUCCUCCCCUUCUUGUUCAGGUCUUAUUUGCACACUCUAAAUUUCAUUUAGUGCUAUAAAUUAGGCCAUGACGACUCCUGGACCACCCCUCGCUUGGCUCAGCCAGUCCAUCCUGGACCUAAGUCUCUUUUUAAAUACACAUGGAUCCAUGGACCUUCAAAGUUGAGCCCAGCCAACUGUAGAUGUGGGCUGACCAUGCCAUGGCUUGUGAUGGGUCUGGCUGUGCUUUCAUGCGUUUAACUAGCUCUAGGCUUUGAUAAACCAGUUUGGCACCUCUAAGUAAAUUCAUGUCGGGCAGCUCUAGAGUUGGUGCACGAAUUUGGUUGGGGGAUAUUGCAAUUCCUUGGUAUGUAUAAUCUUCCUACAUAUAUAAUUUCCUACUAGGCAUUUUAAUUGUAUAUAAUUUAUGUUUUUCUAAGUUCGGAGCAUGUUUGAUAUGGCGGAAUAAAUAGCAUUUGACACUAUUGAGGAAGAAAAAAAAAUCUUAUCAGUCAUACUUAGCAGUAAUAUUGAAUAUGGUGUCCCAAAUGUGCUCUUAGUUCAGUUUUUGUUUCUAUCAUUUUAAAUGUUGACGAGUCCAUGGUGUUUUUUCCCAUAUAAAUUCAACUUGGUUAAAUGUUUUCCUUUUAGCCACAUGUCAUUGAUGAAUUCUAUUUCUCCAGUAUUGUAUUAGACCAUAUGUGCCUGUUCUGUUGGAAUAAAUCAAAUUUGACCCUCACAUUUUCUAGAAUAAUUCCAUUAUUUGAGGAAUAAUCUUGAGCUUAGUAUGUAUAAAUAGAACCACAUGAUGUAAUAUUUUGCAACGCAAAAUAGUAAGUGAAUUUCAGUUUAUAUGUCUCUAUAUUAUCUUGCAUUCAAACUGAUAUUAGAGCUUUGAAAAAAGAAAAAAAAACAUAUAGACGUUUAAUGAAAAAAAAUUAUGUACACCAAGUACAAUCUGUCCAAUAAUCUGGUUUCCCCUGUGCCUAAUUUAAUGGAAAAAAAUUGAUAAUUACUUCAUGCAUCAACCAUAUAGACAUUUAUUCAACAACCCUCGGAAUCGCUCAACUAUAAAAUCAUGCAAUAAAUCAAGAAUUAGAAUUACAAAAAAUAAACAAUUCUAGACCUACACUCUGAUACCUCUUUUUGGAAUAGGUCCAUUAGGGUUAGGAAACACCAAAAAAAAAAAAAAAAACACCUAUUUAUUGCAUUUCUAACUAAUCGCCACAGAAGUGUCUAGAAGUUACGACUAUUUCAAGCAAUUAAUUUGUUUAUCUUCUUCCUUGAUGUUGAUUGAUUAACAAACUUCCAAACUUGAUCCUAUCCAACAAUUGUUCUUUCCUUGAUCUACAAGCUUCAUACCCUACCAUCUUAGGUAAUGGAAGUUGUAAUGGAAACUUGAUAACCAAGUUAUAUUCAUAACAAAAUUCAUUUUAGGAAUUGGCCAAACCCAAAUUUUAACUCGUCAAGUUCAUGUGAAAUUUCCACCUUUACUAGGCCAACUAUCCCCCAAAAAAAAAGCUCCAUACUCUGCUGCUUAGCACUUGGUCCACCACGAUUAGGCCCGACUAAAGUAGGCCGAAACUAUUAUUAUCUUGUGAAAUUUAAGCUAAAUGGCUACUGUAGACUAUGGUAGACUGUGGGCUGUAUAAGCAUCUAACCCAUUUAAAGAUGACCCACUUAUGUAAUUUUCUCUAAAUCAAAUGUUUUCUAUCUAUGAAAAAAAUAUUUUAUUUGAGUAAAUUACAAAAAUUUUCUAGGCUGCUCUAUUGUAUAAAUUUUCCUAUUUUACUAGAACACCUCGCAAAAUAUAUUAAAAGGUGUAGCAUAAUCCGUUAUAUUUUGAAUAUUAUUUGUGUAUUUAAAAGAUGAGAGAUUUUACCCAUCAGAAAAACAAUAUCCGAAAGUUAGGAUAAAUGUUUUCCUCCUAAAUUGGUAUUUUAUUUUUAUUUCAGUAAAUAAAUACUUUUACUUUGUCACGGUUAAUUCAACUAAAAGGAAAAAAAUGGAAAAACUGAAAACAUUUCAAUUAGGAACUAAAUUUUUUUUUCUUUUUCCUCUUUUUUUUUUUUUUUGGGUAAACUUUGUUUGUGUGCACAAUGUGAAGUACAUUGUUGGCCCUUCAAGAAGUUGAGAAUAAUUUCUUUGGAAUACACCAGUUCUGUAGACAGCAAAGAAGAUUAAAAAAAGGAAAGAAGACAAAAAGUAAAAGUAAAUAAAUAAAUAAAUAAGAAAUAUACCUUACUUAAGCAUAGAUUAAUUCUAUAUUAUGCAUCUAUAAAGACUGAUUGCCCUUCGUGAUGAUCAUAGCAUACUUACAAGUGUUAUCCGAAGAUGACAAAAUUAAAGUCAAGCCGGAUGAUUUUAAUUUACAUUGCAUGAUUUCUUGUGUUUAUAGUUUUUUUUUCUCAAGUUUCAUUUUCAUCUCAAGCUCUAUUAUUGAAUUGCUAGUUCAAUUAACAUUCUCGAUAUUGUGUUUUGAAUAAACUCGUGAAGCAAUCAAGAAUAUAUUACUUUUUGUGGUCCUUUUACAAUGCUGGUCACUUCAACUUUCUCGAACAAUUUGAAAGCACCGUUUCUCACCAAACUUAUAGCACUGUUUCAUUUAGUCAUCAAUUCUUUUUUAAGUUUAUCACCGAACUUUCAUUUUGAUUGGCGAAUAGAUAGAAGGCAUAAUCUAGCGGGUCUGGGAAUUGUGUCGGAGAAGCUAACGAGGAUAACUUUAUAAGAAGUUGAGAAUAAUUUCUUUUGGAAUACACCAGUUUUGUGGACAACAAUGUGAAGCACAUUGUUGGCCCUUCAAGAAGUUGAGAAUAAUUUCUUUUGGAAUAUACCAAUUCUGUGGACAACAAAGAAGAAUAAUACACCAGUUUUGUGGAAAACAUUGAGUGAAGCACAUUGUUGGCCCUCCAAGAAGUUAAGAAUAAUUUCUUUGAAAUACACCAGUUUUGUGGACAGCAAAUAAGAAUAAUACAUCAGUUCUUUGGACAACAAUGUGAAGCACAUUGUUGGCCCUCCAAGAAGUUAAGAAUAAUUUCUUUGAAAUACACCAGUUUUGUGGACAGCAAAUAAGAAUAAUACAUCAGUUCUUUGGACAACAAUGUGAAGCACAUUGUUGGCCCUCCAAGAAGUUGAGAGUAAUUUCUUUCGGAAUACACCAGUUCUGUGGACAGCAAAGAAAAGUAAAGAAAAGGAAAGAAGACAAAAAUUAAAAGUAAAUAAAUAAAAAAUGUACCUUACUUAUGCCUAGAGUAAUUAUAUAUUAUGCAUCUAUAAAGAUUGAUUGCCCUUCUUGGUGAUUAUAGCAUACUUACAAGUGUUAUCUCAGUGGGAGAAGAUGACAAAAUUAAAGUCAAGUAAGAUGAUUUUAAUUUACUUUGCAUGAUUUCUUGUGUUCAUAGUUUUUUUUUUUCUCAAGUUUCGUUUUCAUCUCGAGUUCUAUUAUUGAAUUGCUAGUUCAAUUAACAUUCUCGAUAUUGUGUUUUGAAUAAACUCGUGAAGCAAUCAAGAAUAUAUUACUUUUUGUGGUCCCUUUACAAUGCUGGUCACUUCAACUUUCUCGAACAAUUUGAAAGCACCGUUUCUCACCAAACUUAUAGCACUGUUUCAUUUAGUCAUCAAUUCUUUUUUAAGUUUAUCACCGAACUUUCAUUUUGAUUGGCGAAUAGAUAGAAGGCAUAAUCUAGCGGGUCUGGGAAUUGUGUCGGCAAAGCUAACGAGGAUAACUUUAUAAGAAGUUGAGAAUAAUUUCUUUUGGAAUACUCUAGUUUUGUGGACAACAAUGUGAAGCACAUUGUUGGCCCUUCAAGAAGUUGAGAAUAAUUUCUUUUGGAAUAUACCAGUUCUGUGGACAACAAAGAAGAAUAAUACACCAGUUUUGUGGAGAACAUUGAGUGAAGCACAUAGUUGGCCCUCCAAGAAGUUAAGAAUAAUUUCUUUGGAAUACACCAGUUUUGUGGACAACAAAUAAGAAUAAUACAUCAGUUCUUUGGACAACAAUGUGAAGCACAUUGUCGGCCCUCCAAGAAGUUGAGAGUAAUUUCUUUUGGAAUACACCAGUUCUGUGGACAGCAAAGAAAAGUAAAGAAAAGGAAAGAAAACAAAAAUUAAAAGUAAAUAAAUAAAAAAUGUACCUUACUUAAGCAUAGAGUAAUUAUAUAUUAUGCAUCUAUAAAGAUUGAUUGCCCUUCUUAGUGAUUAUAGCAUACUUACAAGUGUUAUCUCAGUGAGAGAAGAUGACAAAAUUAAAGUCAAGUAAGAUGAUUUUAAUUUACUUUGCAUGAUUUCUUGUGUUCAUAGUUUUUUUUCUCAAGUUCUAUUUUCAUCUCGAGCUCUAUUAUUGAAUUACUAGUUCAAUUAACAUUCUCGAUAUUGUGUUUUGAAUAAACUCGUGAAGAAAUCAAGAAUAUAUUAAUUUUUGUGGUCCCUUUACAAUGCUGGUCACUUCAACUUUCUCGAACAAUUUGAAAGCACUGUUUGUCACCCAACUUACAUCACUGUUUCAUUUAGUCAUCGAUUCUUUUUUAAGUUUAUCACCGAACUUUCAUUUUGAUUGAUGAAUAGAUAGAAGGCAUAAUCUAGCGGGUCUGGGAAUUGUGUCGGAGAAGCUAACGAGGAUAACUUUAUAAGAAGUUGAGAAUAAUUUCUUUUGGAAUACACCAGUUUUGUGGACAACAAUGUGAAGCACAUUGUUGGCCCUUCAAGAAGUUGAGAAUAAUUUCUUUUGGAAUACACCAGUUUUGUGGACAACAAUGUGAAGCACAUUGUUGGCCCUUCAAGAAGUUGAGAAUAAUUUCUUUUGGAAUAUACCAGUUCUGUGGACAACAAAGAAGAAUAAUACACCAAUUUUGUGGAGAACAUUGAGUGAAACACAUUGUUGGCCCUCCAAGAAGUUAAGAAUAAUUUCUUUGGAAUACACCAGUUUUGUGGACAGCAAAUAAGAAUAAUACAUCAGUUCUUUGGACAACAAUGUGAAGCACAUUGUUGGCCCUCCAAGAAGUUGAGAGUAAUUUCUUUUGAAAUACACCAGUUCUGUGGACAACAAAGAAAAGGAAAGAAGACAAAAAUUAAAAGUAAAUAGAUAAAAAAUGUGCCUUACUUAAGCAUAGAGUAAUUAUAUAUUAUGCAUCUAUAAAGAUUGAUUGCCCUUCUUGGUGAUUAUAGCAUACUUACAAGUGUUAUCUCAGUGAGAGAAGAUGACAAAAUUUAAGUCAAGUAAGAUGAUUUUAAUUUACUUUGCAUGAUUUGGUGUGUUUAUAGUUUUUUUCUCAAGUUUCCUUUUCAUCUCAAGCUCUAUUAUUGGAUUUCUAGUUCAAUUAACGCUCUCGAUAUUGUGCUUUGAAUAAAACUCAUGAAGUAAUCAAAAAUAUAUUACUUUUUGUGGUCCCUUUACAAUGUUGGGCCCUUCAACUUUCUCGAACAAUUUUAAAGCACUAUUUGUCACCCAAUUUACAGCACUAUUUCAUUUAGUCAUCAAUUCUUUUUUAAGUUUAUCACUGAACUUUCAUUUUGAUUGGCGAACAGAUAGAAGGCAUAAUAUAGCGGGUUUGGGAAUUGUGCCAGAGAAGCUAACUGAGGAUAACUUUAUAAGAAGUUGGGAAUAAUUUCUUUUGGAAUACACCAGUUCUGUGGACAAUAAUGUGAAGCACAUUGUUGGCCCUUCAAGAAGUUGAGAAUAAUUUCUUUUGGAAUACACCAAUUCUGUGAACAGCAAAGAAGAAUAGUACACCAGUUUUGUGGACAACAUUAAGUGAAGCACAUUGUUGGCUCUUCAAGAAGUUGAGAAUAAUUUCUUUGGAAUACACCAGUUCUGUGGACAACAAAGAAGAAUAAUUCACUAGUUUUGUGGACAACAAUGUGAAGCACAUUGUUGGCCCUCCAAGAAGUUAAGAAUAAUUUCUUUGGAAUACACUAGUUCUGUGGACAGCAAAGAAAAAUAAUAAACAAGUUCUGUGGACAACAAUGUGAAGCACAUUGUUGCCUCCCCCCCCCCCCCCCAAAAAAUGGGGGAAAUUUUUUUUUUUUUAUAUAAGGAUCAGAUAUCCGAUAACAUAGCAAAUCAAAUAUGGAUUUAACAAUCAAAUAUUCGUUGGAUUAUCGGAUUGGAUCGAAUAGGAUAAUAUUUCUAAACGGAUCGGAUCAGAUCCGGGCAGAUCCGAUAUAUUUACAGCCCUAAUUUGUACAUAGGCAUCAGUAAAAUAAAUAUUUCGAGACAAAGCACGUAGAAAGCAAGGUGAAAAAAUGCAAUACCGUUCAGGUCCAUGCUAUCUUUAUCAAUCACCUCACAAAAUAACAAAACGUUUGAUAGAAUUUCAGAAAGGUGUGUAGAGUUUAUGAUUCAAUACAUUUGCAUUAUAAACUGUAUCGGAGUAGAGUUUUACCCAAGAAGUUGAGAGUAAUUUUUUUUUUUGGAAUACAUCUAGAUAGCAAAGAAGAAUAAAGAAAAGGAAAGAAGACAAAAAGUAAAAUUAAAUAAAUAAAAAAUGUACCUUACUUAAGCAUAGAGUGAAUUACAUAUAUAAAGACUGAUUGCCCUUCUUGAUGAUCCUAGCAUACUUACAAGUGUUAUCCCAGUGAGAGAAGAUGACAAAAUUAAAGUCAAGUAAGAUUAUUUUAAUUUACUUUGCAUGAUUUGGUGUGUUUAUAGUUUUUUUCUCAAUUUUCCUUUUCAUCUCGAGCUCUAUAUUGAAUUUCUAGUUCAAUUAACAUUCUCGAUAUUGUGCUUUGAAUAAACUCAUGAAGUAAUCAAGAAUAUAUUACUUUUCGUGGCCCCUUUACAAUGUCGGGCAUUUCAACUUUCUCGAACAAUUUGAAAGCACUGUUUGUCACCCAACUUACAGUACUGUUUCAUUUAGUCAUCAAUUCUUUUUUAAGUUUAUCACUGCAUUUUCAUUUUGAUUGGCGAACAGAUAGAAGGAAUAAUCUAGCGGGUCUUGGAAUUGUGCCGAAGAAGCUAACUGAGGAUAACUUUAUAAGCUGGAAAAAUUGCUUGACAAAUUAUUUGGUUGGAAAUGGGCUUUGGGGUGUUGUCUCUGCUCAGGAGAUUGAACCAGAUAAGACAAAUAAGCAAGAGCAUGAAAAAUGGAAGAAAAAGAAUGCUUUAGCUUUGCAUGCAAUUCAACUUUCAUGUGGACAAGCAAUAUAUUCAAAGUUUAAAAAUGCCAACAUUAAUGCUAACUACGUAUGGACUCAGUUGGCCGAAAAAGGAGAUCACGACAAAGAAAGUCAAGUCGAAGAUAAUGGUAAUUCCUCAAUCUUUGUGUUGAACUAGGCCGUCUAAAAUUUUAUUGUGUUAUAAGAAAUGUGAAAUUGCACUCUAGGUUCUCAAUCAUUAAAAAUGAGCAAAGAACAAUGUGGUGGUGCCGAUCUUCCCUCUUAUUUAUAGACGGCGCCACAUGAGGUCAUGUGGGGUCAAUUGACCUCACAAAAACUUCCGACUCUUUUUUUUUUAUUUUUUUAUUUUUUUGUGAGUUGUGAAAUUUAUAAAUUAUUCAAACUUCUUGCCAAACUUAUUUUUUUUAAUAUGUAAAUUAAACAAAAUUUUGCUCAUCGUCAAAGUCCAAUUGCACAAGCCCAUUGCCAAGCCCAAUUGUCCUCAAGCCCCACGGAGAGAAGAGAAGAGAAGAAGAAAAUGAAGAAUCGACUGACCUAAAGAGUUCGAGAUUGCCAAUUCACAAUUCAUAUUUUGAGAUUUUCUUUUCUUGUGCCAAUUUUGUGAUUUUUUUUCCAUCUAGGUAACAAAUAUAUCAUCUACUUGUUUGACAUUUGUUUUUCUUCCAUCUAGGUAGCUCCAUAACAAACCUAUAUUAAUUGAAUUUGGACUUGGCUUUAGUUUUUCCUGUUAAUUUGGAUCUUUAAUUAGUUGCUUUUAAUUUUUAAAUUUGAGAUAUGCAAGUGUAUUUCUACUUGUUGAAAUUUGAAAAAUAUAUUAUGACCCUGUUUGACAUACAUCUUUUUUUUUUUUCCAAAAAAUAUAUUCUUAAAUUGUAAUUUGACUUCAUUUCAACCACACAUUUUUCAAUAAAAUAAUAUUGCACGCAAAUUCAAAACUUUUCUUAUUUUUUAAUACACAUUUUCCAUCAAUACACCAUUCAAAAAUGCAUUCGCAAGAAAAUAAUGUGGCUCAAACAAGAGCUACAUAUAUACAUAUAUAUAUAAUGUACCCUUGUCCGUUUGACCCCACAAUACCAAAUGUCUAGCUCCGUCCCUGCUCUUAUAUAGUGAACUCUGUAUUUGACACAACUCCCUCACAUUCAGGCUGACUUCAUUGUUUGUAGGGUUGAGCGAGUACCUUGAAUACGGACCCUUAUACGAGGCAAUUGAAAAAGGUAAUUGGCAUGAUAUAGAAGGUUUCUUUCAGGAGAAGACACUGCCAUUUAGUGAAAGUGUUUCAUCACACAAAGAGACAGCUCUGCACAUUUCAACUUUAUCUGGACAGAUUGAAAUUGCGAAAAAACUUGUAAAAUUGAUGGACCCAAAACAUUUAGAACUGAAAAAUGAACAUGGAGCUACGGCCUUAUCUUUUGCUGCAAUUUGUGGUGCGACGGAAUUGGCCAAGGAAAUGGUAAGCAUGAACAAAGAAUUAGUUACAAUAGAAACUGCAGGCCAAGAAUAUGGGCAACUUCCUGUGAUUGUGGCUGCAUUGUAUAAACAGAAGGGCAUGGUUCAUUAUUUAUACAAUAAGACGCCAAAAGAUGUGCUGAGUCCCGAAAAGGGUGCAAAUGGAGUCACACUACUUAAUUACCUUAUUACUGCUGAAAUUUAUGGUAAGUGAAUGCAUAAUGUGGAGUCUAAUCAUGCUCUAUGAGGAUAAAGCCCCUUGGGAUAUUGCCAUGGAAUUGUGCCAGGCGUGAGAUGGCAUAUUAUGAUUGGCAAUGUUAAAAUAAUUUUUUUGUCAAACUGCCAAUCAAAGUUUGCCUAGUGUGAAUUUAAAAUUCCAUGGCAAUGUAGCAUGAUCGGCUCUCUGUUAAUUUCGUCAAUUGCAGAUAAACGUAAUAGUAAUGCGCGUAAACAAGAUUUUCAAUUUUGUUGGUGGUAAUUUUGUUUCACAACGUGCUUCUCCAUUUGAGCGUGAAACAUUGAAAAUUUCUGUUUGGAUACAAUUUAUAAUAUGCUUAAUAAACCUAGUUAAAGUCCACCAUUAAUUUGAAUCACACAUUCAUAACUCCUAUUCAUUACUAUAAAAAAUUUAGUGGGUCCCAGUACUAUUCCUCUUUAUAAAUUGAUUUAUAAAUUUGUCAAAUGAAGGCUAUAUGUUUUCUGAUUUUGUUUUAGUAAAAGUUGCAAUCGCAAUUGAGAUUUGGGCUUAAUUCUCUAGACAAGUAUACCUAAUUCUAACUAUUUUCGUACUGUAGAUGUUGCUUUGUUGCUAUUGGAAAAGUAUCCACAGCUGGGUGUUAUCCCAGAUGUUAAUGGCAAUUACGCUCUCCGAAUAUUGGCUCAAAGGCCUUCUGCAUUUCUUAAUGGGACUGAACUUUCAUUUUGGGAAAAAUUGAUCUACUAUUGUAAGUAUGUAAUUGGUCACCUAUUAAUUUCAUUCACAAACAAUGUACCACAAGGGUACAUUUAGAUCAACUUUAGUUUCUUAGUCGUACUGUCUAAUACAAUAUACAAAUGUGCCAUAAACUCACUUGUUGAACAUGAUCGUUUUGAAAAGUAUUCUGUGUCUAAACUUUUUACAUAAGGUGUAAGAGUACACGAAGAGCAUGUAGAAAUGCAAACAUCAAGCACUUGUCAUGAUCACAACAUUCAAAUUCCUGAAUCAAUCGAUGAAGAUUUGGGAGGAAGGAUAGCACAUGGUGGCCUAACUAUAACUAAUCGAGGUACAUCAGAUUACGUCACACUCCCCUUUUUUUCGAUUUUCUUCACACCCUAAAUUUAGUUUAGAGGUAUAAAUUAGGCGAGUAUGACUCCUGAACCUUCACUAGCUCAGCUCAGCCAGUGCAUCCCAUGCCUAAGCCUUUUUAAAUUUAUUUUGAACACAUGGAUCCAUGUGUUAACUGUAGAUUUGGGCUGACUACACCAUGUCCUAGUCCGGCUGUGCUUUCAUGUGUCAAGUGGCCCUAGGCUUUGAUAACCCACUACAUUUUGACACCUAUAAAUAAAUUCUUGUUGUGCAGCUCUACAGUUGGUGCGCAAAUUGGGUUGGGGGAUAUUGCAAUCCAUUGGUAUGUAUUAUCUUCCUAUAUAUAUAGCUUCUGCUACAGAUAUGUACUGAAAAUCAAUUACACAUGAAAUGUCAUUUAACAUUAGUUUUAUUAAUUUUCAGUUCCAAAGAUCCGUUACAUAUACCGAAGGAAGUCAGUCCACGUCCAAGUUAGGAAAUUCCUGAGGGUCGUGUUUAAAAAAAUGCUACAACUGAGCAAACCAGAGCUCGAAAAAAUGGACUUGGAUAUAAUAAUAAAUGAUGCCAUAGAGAAUGGAAUUUUUGAAUUUAUAGAUGAAAUGAUUAAAUGUGCACCAGAAAUUAUAUGGAGGAAAGAUAAAAAAGGGAGAACAAUUUUUUCGAACGCAAUUAUAUCACGUCAAGAGAAGAUUUUUGGCCUUAUAUUUACUUUAGGAAAAGAGAAGUGUCUAAUGGGAAUGAGGUAUGAUAUUUUUGACAACAAUUAUUUACAUCUUGCUGCAAAAUUAUCUCCUCCUUCUCGACUUGAU